rnacentral:lncRNA from 1 species
AACCCCCACCUCGCCCGCCGCGCGAUGGCUGAAGUUAGAGAAAUGACGAGGUUGAAGAGAUUGCUCUAGCAUGGACUCCAAGAAAUAAUAUGGUGUCAGAUGGAUGUCGUGGUGGUGGCGUGUGUCGUACUCCUGGACGUGAAUGCUUGUUCUGGCCCAUGCCACCCUACUACUCCUACUACUUACUCCUACUAUAUAGUACUAGUAUCGAGGAUUCGAGGUGCUGGUUACGUACAGCAAACACAUUAACAUAUGGCUACAGUAAAAACACCUGCCCGACGCGUGAAGCAUGUGAAGCUAGUACAAAUAGUGUACAACUAUUGUUGAUUGGCCUCAUCCGAUAACCUGUUGCAAUGCACGUACAAUUAUGUAUUCAGAAAAAUUUUUUCCUCGUCGCACCACUCACUCAGAGAAGUGACUCGAAAGCCAUUCCUAAAUUUAGUAAGUUUAUCACAGGCAUAUCAUUUUAUUACAUACAAUAGGUCAUCAACCCACAUCGACAACGAGGAUACAUUAUAAAUACUAAAGUUUUCACCAUACAAAAAAUAACAAGCAAUAAAAUGAACUUCAACUCAACCAUUCCUCGGUGUUGGAAAUGCUUGCUUUGAACCACAAGUGAUUCUCUGGGACGGGCCAUCCAUUAUCGAUCUGGAGACCAACGCAGGACUGAUCAUCCAGGCUGAAGCGGCCUACUAUAUCAGUACCAGGGUAGGGAACCACCCAAUUGUCCGAGGUAUAGACACAGCUGCUUCUCAUAAAUGGUACUAGUAACAUUGUGUCAACAGCAGUUGGGUCACCUUUCACCAUCAUCGGAUAGUUUUGUCCAAGGAAGAGCGAGUUUUCUCCAAGACUAUCAAUUCUGUACCAGGGAGAAGGAGUUGGCGCUAGCACACUAGUAUCCAUCCCGAAUACCAUGCAAUGGGUGUUGGAAUAGGUCCGGAGAGUGCGACCAUGGGAGACUACACCUGCUUCCUUAGCAGUAACAUCAUCAGUGGGCUGUAUACACACAAGAAGAGGUGAUCCAUCGGAAUUAGUUGCCAGGCGCCACAGAGUAUAUGGGCGCUACUCGUCCUCAUGCUUGUGAUCAUCACCAUCGUCAUCUCCCCCUUGGUUAUAAAAUUUUUCAAGUAUAGGUGGUGGGAUGUUCACAAGACCUUGGAAACACAAGAAGAAGCUUAAUUAGUAAAGGGAAACUUGCUAACCCGCAUGCAUGUGGAUGAAACAAUUAUAAUUACGCUGGAAGACAAACGUACCGAAACUACGAGGAUCCCAUGCAAAACAGUGCCACGAGUGGUGGCAGCAAACACAAGGCCCUCGUAUUGAAUUGCAUCACAGUACUCAUCCAUGUACAGAAACUGAUUUUUGAGCAAUAUCCAUCGAGUCAAACCACCAAGGACGGCAACAAGCUUGUUGAAGAUAGAAUUCCAAGAGCGGUUGGGAACUUGACAAAUUGCUAUCUUCCGUAGAAGAUAAUCACCAUGAUCGUAUUUGAACGUGCGUACAAUACCGGUGUGCUCAACCUCUGGGCAGUCUGCUGAGAUUUUUGGAAGUGGAACCCGGUCACGAGUGUACACAUUCACAAGUUCCCACUCGCAGUUGGACCCAAUGUAAACAACCCAAUCUCCAUUUGCGCCUGCCCAAGCCUUGCCCUCAAGCGAUGGCAUCUUAACAUCAUACGUAUCAUUAUCAAGCGGCAUCAACUUGCACAGGCUGAGGCCUCCGUCGUGCCGGCGCCAGUCAUCAGGGUCACGGCGAAGAAGAUAGGGGAGAUCAAACCGCUCCUUGACUCUUGGGUUCCUUGUAAUGAUGUUAUUAGUGGUCUUCACUGGGAUGAAAUGAGCUACCUUGGUCAAACGAUCGACUACAACCCAUAUCGAGUCAUAGCCUGAACGAGUCCUGGGCAAUCCUGUGAUAAAAUCCAUGCCUAUCUUAUCCCACUUCAAUUCGGGUAUCGACAAUGGUUGUAGCAAUCCUGCUGGCUUCUGAUGCUCUGCCUUCACUCUUUGACAUACAUCACAAACUGCUACAAACUCCGCAAUAUCCUUCUUCAUUCCGGUCCACCAAAAACUAUCCUUCAAAUCCAGAUACAUUUUGGUAUAUCCUGGGUGAAUCAAAUACGGCGAAUCAUGGGCCUCCUGCAGAAUCAACUUCCUGAUCUCUGGGUCAUUAGGCACAUAUACGCGGACCUCAAACCAUAAGGUAUCAUGCUCAUCCUCACGAGAUCCCUUAGCUUUUCCUUUGCUCAUCUUCUCCUUUAUCUCGGCAAUCUCCUUGUCGGUCUUCUGANNNNNNNNNNNNNNNNNNNNNNNNNNNNNNNNNNNNNNNNNNNNNNNNNNNNNNNNNNNNNNNNNNNNNNNNNNNNNNNNNNNNNNNNNNNNNNNNNNNNUUUUUCUUUUAAAAUUUCACUUGUUUAAUUAACUACAUUCAAAGAACUUUCUACAGUUUUUUUAGAGAAGGACAACCUAUGAUUUGCUAGCUAGCUAGUUAGGUAUUUUAACACAACAUUAAUAGCAAGGAGAAGGAGAUGAACUGUUCACAGCCAGGCAGGCAGGUCUCGCUGGCUUUUUCCUGUAUCAUUGGCUACUCCUACUUCCUUCUCUGACAAAGACCUGUUCUGAAUCUGUAAUACUGAUUCAUAGUGAUGAUGGUGGAUCGACUAUAGACCUUUACUAAUCCAUGUACAACAAAAAUUACGACGUACAAGGUUAAAAAUCCAAGGGUCAAACCCUAGUCAAUCGAUCCGGCAAAUUCUACACGAAUCUGGCAUGACAUCCAGUGCGAUUAACAGGAGUUUCAAUUAUAAUUAGCCUCCACGAAGCUGCAUGGAGGAGGAUGUAAUCGUGUUUUGUUUCCUUGUCUGAAACUUCACUUUCCAUCAAUCUGAAAAUAAGUGGUAGAGGGUAAAGGAAUGAAAAAAAACAUAUGUAGAGGUUUUGCAACAGCUAAAGCCACACACACAAAAACAUUAGUAUGCUAGCUGGUCCAUGGCAUUGACAAGUCAAUUGAUUCGAUGCAACCAUAUGUAUGAAUAAUAUGGCCAAGGAUAAGAGAAGUAAAAAAUAUAAAUAUACUGAUAGGCUCUUCUUUUGUUCACGUGUGCAUGUUGCAUGAGCCAAGUGUAUCGGCAUUAUGGCUUGUGUUUGCUACAUGACGGCGAUAGGCCAGUUCCCAUUCAGUCAGGCAUGAUAUGUCCUAAAUUCAUUUAUUCACGUAUCGUGUAGAAGGAGAACUUAUUUCAUUUAUGUUUUGUAGGUUCCUUGCUUACAAGAAAAUAGAAAAAAAGACACUUAUAUAAUUACCAGACAAAAUCAACUGUAUAUUGCUCUAUCUUUCCUCUUUGUUCUGUAUCAGUAUCAACAAUCAUAGUACUAAUAGCUUCCUAUACUGGUGGUAAUAAAUUCAAUAAAAGAAACCUAGAAACUAUAUGAACAACUUGAAACAAUAUGUACAAACUUAGAUUAACCAACGAAUGAAAUACAAAAGAAGUGUUCAUGUCUACGUGGAGUGAAUCAAUCAAGCCACGCAAAGCCCUAAUACUUUGUUUUCUAUUAGUAACUCAUAUGACAAUACAACCGCUCCAUAUGAAAAGGUAAUACGAUGAGUCAUCUAUGCUUAUCCAUCUUACAUAUAUAUUGUACAAAAAAUAUAAAGUUAGUUCAGAAAAAAUUGUGUAUAGAACAAUCUUCGCAUUAAUAGUGUGAUCUAUCUCAAUGACACACACAAAAUUACAAACUUUGUUCCCUUAAGUAUGCCAAUCUGGAUACGCCUAACAACAUAUAGAACAUGACAAACUAACUCGGAGCAAGGGACAAAAUCUAGAUCAAUGUUUGAAGUGUAAAGUGAAUACGAUGAGUCAUUUGUCGUUAUCAAGCAUUCCAUACACCUAGAUGAUAUGUGCAAGAACAAUCAACUAUGAAGAACAAUCCAAAAUCACACUAGUAAGUAGUGCAAUGAAACACAACAUACCAAAUUAUUAGGUAAUCGAUAAGCUUAAGAGCAGUUUUUCAAGAAGCGAGUGUAAAGAUUACAAACUUAGUUCCCUUAAGUUAUGCCAAUCUGGAUAUACCUAACAACAUGCAGAACAGCACAAGCUAAAUCAGAAAGACGGACAAAAUCUAGAUCAAUAUUUGAAGUGUAAAGUGAAUACGAUGAGUCAUUAUGCGUUAUCAAGCAUUUGAUACACCCAGAUGAUAUGAGAAAGAACAAUCAACUAUGAUGAACAAUCCAAAGUCACGCUAGUAAGUAGUGCCAUCAAACACAACAUACAAAAUUAUUAGGUCGAUAAGCUUAAGAGCACUUUUUCAAGAAACGAGUGUGAAGAUCAAAAACAAAUGUGCGAUGCCAGCUAUAAAUACGACUACACCAUGAGGGUCUCUUCCAUCAUCUAACCUUCAAGGACCUAGAGUUGAAACACCAAAGCCAAGUGAGCAAUAGUAAACACAAAUCAAACAUGAAGACCUUCAUCAUAUUUGUCCUCCUUGCCAUGGCGAUGAACAUCGCCAGUGCCAGUAGGCUGCUAAGCCCUAGAGGCAAGGAAUUGCAUACUCCACAAGAACAAUUCCCCCAACAACAACAAUUCCCCCAACCACAACAAUUCCCCCAACAACAACAAUUAACGCAACAACAAUUCCCCCGGCCACAACAAUCCCCUGAACAACAAUAAUUCCCCCAACAACAAUUCCCCCAGCAACCACCACAACAAUUCCCCCAACAACAAUUUCCAAUACCAUACCCACCCCAGCAAUCACAAGAACCUUCCCCAUACCAACAAUAUCCACAACAAGAACCAUCUGGGAGCGACGUUAUAAGUAUCAGUGGCCUAUGAAAUGAAGAGAUGUAAUACUAGACGGGUGAAUCAUCGUUGUUAGUCAAUGGAGCAUAAUGUAACGAUGAUAAAUAAAGUGAUGUGCACCAUCAUGUGUAACCCCGACCUGUACUAGUCCAAACAUGGGAAUAAAAGACAAAUAAGUUCUUUUCUGAAGCACAUUGCUCGCAAUUGUUACAUUCAUGCCCUAUUUUGAUUUCCAUCCCUAACUACAAUCUCAAUGUUAUGUGACGUCUACUUAUUUAGGAAGUGUAGUAUUAUAUGAACAUAACAUAAUUAACAUGUACGAAACUUGUUUCAAAUUGAAGUACUAUUAAUUCGGGAGUAAGGACUAAUUACAAUUUAACAUUUCAAUGGAGAGUGCUACUUGUAGACUGUGUUGUUAAUUCCCCAAGGAGGAGAGGAUGAUGAAGUAUAGUACAAAUAAGUAUUUCACUAAGUUAAGAAUCAAGGUUAUCAAUCCAGUAGGUGAACCACACAAAACCUUGUUAACAGCACCUGCACACACAAAAGCAAACACUGACACCUAACGCAAAUAAGAGGCUUGUCAAUCCUCGUAGACGUUAUUUGCAAUGAUUAAUUCUCGUAGUGAUAGAUGGACAUGAGUUGUCAUUUGAUAACGUGAUCACAUCAUUAGGAGAAUGAUGUGAUUUACAAGACCCAAACUAUGAAUGUAGCAUAUGAUCUUGUCAAGUUUAUUGCUAUCGUUUUCUGCAUGUCAAUUAUAUGUUCCUAUGACCAUGAGAUCAUGCAAGUCACUGACACCGGAGGAGUGCCUUGUGCGUAUCAAACAUCACAACGUAACUGGGUGACUAUAAAGAUGCUCUACAGGUGUCUCCAAGGGUGUCUAUUGAGUUGGCAUGGAUCGAGACUGGGAUUUGUCACUCCGUAUGAUGGAGAGGUAUCUCAGGGCCCACUCGGUAAUACAACAUCACAAUAAGCUUGCAAUCAAUGUGACUAAGAAGUUAGCCACGGGAUCUUGUAUUACGAAAUAGAGAGACUUGCCGGUAACGAGAUUGCACUAGGUAUGGAGAUACCAAUGAUCGAAUCUCAGGCAAGUAACAUACCAAUGGAAAAAGGGAACUUCAUACGGGAUUGCCUGAAACCUUGACAUCGAGGUUCGACUGAUAAAGAUCUUCGUAGAAUAUGUAGGAACCAACAUGGGCAUCCAGGUCAUGUUAUUGGUCAUUGACCGUAGAGGUGUAUCGGUCAUGUGUGCAUAGUUCUCGAACCCGCAGGGUCUACACACUUAACGUUUGUUGACGAUAUAAGUAUAGUUGGGUCAUAUGGUGGUUACCGAAGNNNNNNNNNNNNNNNNNNNNNNNNNNNNNNNNNNNNNNNNNNNNNNNNNNNNNNNNNNNNNNNNNNNNNNNNNNNNNNNNNNNNNNNNNNNNNNNNNNNNGUCCUCUUCAGGUACUUCAGGAUAUUCUUGACCGCUGUCCAGUGUUCCAUGCCGGGAUUACUUUGGUACCUUCCUACCAAACUUACGGCAAGGUUUACAUCAGGUCUGGUACACAGCAUGGCAUACAUAAUAGACCCUAUGGCCGAGGCAUAGGGGAUGACACUCAUCUUUUCUCUAUCUUCUGCCGUGGUCGGGCAUUGAGCCGUGCUCAAUUGCACACCUUGCAAUACAGGCAAGAACCCCUUCUUGGACUGAUCCAUAUUGAACUUCUUCAAUAUCUUGUCAAGGUAUGUACUCUGUGAAAGACCAAUGAGGCGUCUUGAUCUAUCUCUAUAGAUCUUGAUGCCUAAUAUAUAAGCAGCUUCUCCAAGGUCCUUCAUUGAAAAACACUUAUUCAAAUAUGCCUUUAUACUUUCCAAGAAUUCUAUAUCAUUUCCCAUCAAUAAUAUGUCAUCCACAUAUAAUAUGAGAAAUGCUACAGAGCUCCCACUCACUUUCUUGUAAACACAGGCUUCUCCAUAAGUCUGUGUAAACCCAAACGCUUUGAUCAUCUCAUCAAAGCGAAUGUUCCAACUCCGAGAUGCUUGCACCAGCCCAUAGAUUGAGCGCUGGAGCUUGCAUACUUUGUUAGCAUUCUUAGGAUCGACAAAACCUUCCGGCUGCAUCAUAUACAACUCUUCCUUAAGGAAGCCAUUAAGGAAUGUCGUUUUGACGUCCAUCUGCCAUAUCUCAUAAUCAUAGUAUGCGGCAAUUUCUAACAUGAUUUGGACGAACUUCAGCUUCGCUACGGGUGAUAAAGUCUCAUCGUAGUCAACCCCUUGAACUUGUCGAUAACCCUUAGCGACAAGUCGAGCUUUGUAGAUGGUCACAUUACCAUCCGCGUCCGUCUUUUUCUUAAAGAUCCAUUUGUUUUCUAUGGCUCGCCGAUCAUCGGGCAAGUCAGUCAAAGUCCAUACUUCAUUUUCAUACAUGGAUCCUAUCUCGGAUUUCAUGGCUUCUAGCCAUUUGUCGGAAUCCGGGCCCGCCAUCGCUUCUUCAUAGUUCGAAGGUUCACCGUUGUCUAAUAACAUGAUUUCCAGGACAGGGUUGCCGUACCACUCUGGUGCGGAACGUGUCCUUGUGGACCUACGAAGUUCAGUAACUUGAUCCGAAGCUUCAUGAUCAUCAUCAUUAACUUCCUCCCCAGUCGGUGUAGGCACCACAGGAACAUUUUCCCGCGCUGCGCUACUUUCCGGUUCGGAAGAGGUGACUAUCACCUCAUCAAGUUCCACUUUCCUCCCACUCAAUUCUUUCGAGAGAAACUCCUUCUCCAGAAAGGACCCGUUCUUGGCAACGAAGAUCUUGCCUUCGGAUCUGAGGUAGAAGGUAUACCCAAUGGUUUCCUUAGGGUAUCCUAUGAAGACGCAUUUCUCCGACUUGGGUUCGAGCUUUUCAGGUUGAAGUUUCUUGACAUAAGCAUCGCAUCCCCAAACCUUUAGAAACGACAGCUUAGGUUUCUUCCCAAACCAUAAUUCAUAUGGUGUCGUCUCAACGGAUUUCGGCGGAGCCCUAUUUAAAGUGAAUGCGGCAGUCUCUAAAGCAUAGCCCCAAAAUGAGAGCGGUAAAUCGGUAAGAGACAUCAUAGGUCGCACCAUAUCCAAUAGAGUGCGAUUACGACGUUCGAACACACCAUUUCGCUGAGGUGUUCCAGGCGGCGUGAGCUGUGAAACUAUUCCACAUUUUCUUAAAUGUGCACCAAAUUCGUGACUUAAAGAUUCUCCACCACGAUCUGAUCGUAAGAAUUUUAUUCUCCUGUCACGUUGAUUCUCAACCUCACUCUAAAAUUCCUUGAACUUUUCAAAGGUUUCAGACUUGUGUUUCAUUAGGUAGACAUACCCAUAUCUACUUAAAUCAUCAGUGAGAGUGAGAACAUAACGAUAUCCUCCGCGAGCCUCAACACUCAUUGGACCGCACACAUCGGUAUGUAUGAUUUCCAAUAAGUUGGUUGCUCGCUCCAUUGUUCCGGAGAACGGAGUCUUGGUCAUCUUACCCAUGAGGCAUGGUUCGCACGUGUCAAAUGAUUCGUAAUCAAGAGACUCCAAAAGUCGAUCUGCAUGGAGCUUCUUCAUGCGCUUGACACCAGUGUGACCAAGGAGGCAGUGCCACAGAUAUGUGGGACUAUCGUUAUCAACUUUACAUCUUUUGGUAUUCACACUAUGAACAUGUGUAACAUCACGUUCGAGAUUCAUCAAGAAUAAACCAUUGACCAGCGGGGCAUGACCAUAAAACAUAUCUCUCAAAUAAAUAGAACAACCAUUAUUCUCGGAUUUAAAUGAGUAGCCAUCUCGAAUUAAAUGAGAUCCAGAUACAAUGUUCAUGCUCAAAGCUGGCACUAAAUAACAAUUAUUGAGGUUUAAAACUAAUCCCGUGGGUAGAUGCAGAGGUAGCGUGCUGACGGCGAUCACAUCGACCUUGGAACCAUUCCCGCUCGUCCUUCGCCAGUCUCCGUUUAUUCCGUAGUUCCUGUUUUGAGUUACAAAUAUGAGCAACCGCACUGGUAUCAAAUACCCAGGAGCUACUACGAGUACUGGUAAGGUACACAUCAAUUACAUGUAUAUCACAUAUACCUUUGGUGUUGCCGGCCUUCUUUUCCGCUAAGUAUUUGGGGCAGUUCCGCUUCCAGUGACCACUUCCCUUGCAAUAAAAGCACUCAGUUUCAGGCUUGGGUCCAUUCUUUGACUUCUUCCUAGUAACUGGUUUACCGGGUGCGGCAACUCCCUUACCGUCCUUCUUGAAGUUCUUCUUACCCUUGCCCUUCUUGAAGUUAGUGGUUUUAUUCACCAUCAACACUUGAUGUUCUUUUCUGAUUUCCACCUCCGCUGAUUUCAGCAUCGAAUAUACCUCAGGAAUGGUCUUUUCCAUCCCCUGCAUAUUGUAGUUCAUCACAAAGCUCUUGAAGCUUGGUGGAAGCGACUGAAGGAUUCUGUCAAUGACCGCGUCAUCCGGGAGAUUAACUCCCGGCUGAGUCAAGCGGUUGUGCAACCCAGACAUUCUGAGUAUGUGCUCACUUACAGAACUAUUUUCCUCCAUUUUACAGCUGAAGAACUUGUCGGGGACUUCAUAUCUCUCGACCCGGGCAUGAGCUUGGAAAACCAAUUUCAGCUCCUCGAACAUCUCAUAUGCUCCAUGUUUCUCAAAACGCUUUUGGAGACCCAGUUCUAAGCUGUAAAGCAUGCCGCACUGAACGAGGGAGUAAUCAUCAGCACGCUGCUGCUAAGCGUUCAUAACGUCUUGGUUUUGUGGGAUUGGUGCUUCACCUAGCGGUGCUUCUAGGACAUAAUCUUUCUUGGCUACUAUGAGGAUGAUCCUCAGGUUCCGGACCCAGUCCGUAUAGUUGCUGCCAUCAUCUUUCAGCUUGGUUUUCUCUAGGAACGCGUUGAAAUUGAGGACAACGUUGGCCAUUUGAUCUACAAGACAUAGUGUAAAGAUUUUAGACUAAGUUCAUGAUAAUUAAGUUCAUAUAAUCAAAUUAUUUAAUGAACUCCCACUCAGAUAGACAUCCCUCUAGUCAUCUAAGUGAUACAUGAUCCGAAUUUAACUAGGCCGUGUCCGAUCAUCACGUGAGACGGACUAGUCAAGAUCGGUGAACAUCUCCAUGUUGAUCGUAUCUUCUAUACGACUCAUGCUCGACCUUUCGGUCCUCCGUGUUCCGAGGCCAUGUCUGUACAUGCUAGGCUUGUCAAGUCAACCUAAGUGUAUUGCNNNNNNNNNNNNNNNNNNNNNNNNNNNNNNNNNNNNNNNNNNNNNNNNNNNNNNNNNNNNNNNNNNNNNNNNNNNNNNNNNNNNNNNNNNNNNNNNNNNNCAUCUGACGUUGGUGCGGAGGGAUACUACACUGCCGCCUACUCCACCGUCACCCGAGAGCCUUUCCACCAUCAGCGCCUGGUUCUGCAUGCUGAUGGGCUGGACCGAGCUAACAGAGCUCUUCGCCACGAGUUGUACACCACUCGUCAGCACCUUUACAGGGCUCUGACGCGGUUGCACCCCUUUGUCCGGUCUGGACAGCUGCCGCGUUCUGCGAUCUACCCAGCCAGGACCGUGAUGCCCCACGGUGUCGGAUGGCCAGAGGUGGGAGGCUACGCUCCCGCACUUGGUCCUCUUCUGCCACCUGAGCGUCGGGUUCUACACCAGAGUAUCCGCGGCCCCCAGGCCACUGACGUGGAGGACUAUCCGUUGCCUCACUACCAGCUGUCAGGUUACAGCUACCUUCACAGUACCUCCUGGGACUGAUGUAGUCUUGCUCAUUAGUUUUAGAUGCACUCGCGAGCCUGCGUGCCGCCUAUGAUGACUUAGUCUAUGUACGGAACUCUAUGUCCGACCCCUUUUGUAAGUUAUGCCGACUAUCUAUGUGGUAUCUGUCGUGCUCCUUCCAUUAUGCAUGUUUCAUCAUGAAUGACUCUUGUCUAUGCAAAUUCUCAAUACUGAACUACCCCUGUUAUAUAUUAGCAGGAUGGUUAGACCAGCUGGUCGUGGUCGUGGUGGCAAUUUCCCACCACCGCCUGAGUACAUGGCUGGUAUGAUCCAACAACUUGAGAUGAAUCGCCAGUUCAUGGAAAACAUGAUGGCUCAGUUUCCUCGCCCCAAUAUGAACCAGCAUCCAAACACAACCACUCUGCAGGAUUUCAUACGCCUCAACCCAAGUGUGUACCGCAGCUCAACCCAGCCGCUGGAUGCUGAUGACUGGCUCCGUGACAUCACCUAUGAGAUGGAGUCUGCUGAUGUAGCCCCUGCCAGCUAUGUCACUUUUGCUUCCUUCUUCCUGAAGGGACCCGCAGCUCAAUGGUGGGACAGCCACAGGCGUACUCUGCCAGUUGGAACAAUCAUCACCUGGCCAGACUUUCAGGCUGCCUUCCGUGCCCGCUUCAUUCCUCAGGGAAUCAUGGACAGGAAGAAGCGUGAGUUUCGCAACCUCACCCAAGGCAACAAGACUGUUGAAGCUUAUCAGCGGGAGUUUCUGGACUUAUCCCGCUAUGCUGAAGAAGACGUUGCAACCGAUGCUCGCAGACAGGAGAAGUUCCGUGAAGGCCUUCAAGCUGACAUCAAGCUCACACUUCUAGUGCACGACUUUGCUGAUUUCGCCACCUUGGUGAAUAAGGCCAUCAAUGUUGAGACUGGUCUUCAAGAACACCAUAGCUCUCAAAGGCGCAACCGUGACACGGGCUCAUCUUCGGGCCCGCCCUCGCAGAAGCGUAAGAUAUGGAUCCCGAACAGCAUGUACCGUCCAAAUGCACCAGCUCCAAGGCAGUCGUACGCUGCACCUCGUCCGCCUACUGCUCCAACUAGGCUGCCAAGGCUUCCAGCUCCGCCACCCCAAGCUCCUGUUCCCACUCCCAAUAAUGGCCUGUGCUACAAGUGUGGUCAACCAGGUCACCGUGCUAGGGAUUGCAUUCAGAAUCAGAAUCAACUGGCCCUUCCAGCCGCUGGCCGUGGAAACAACCAGGCCCGCAACAACAAUGCCAAGUCUUAUGGCCGUGUUCAUGCCAACCACAUUGAUCUGAAUGAAGCUCGAGACCAGCCUGCUACUGUGAUGGGUACACUCCUCGUAAAUUCAGUACCAGCAUCUGUUUUAUUUGAUACAGGAGCAUCGCAUUCAUUCAUGUCAGAAGAUUUUGCAUUCAUGCAUGGCAUUAAAAGUGAAGACAUGAACGCUUCUCUAUUAGUGCACACCCCUGCGGGCCAAUGUCGAACCUCCAUGAUUUGCAACGACGUCCCUGUAGAAAUUGAAGGACUGGAAUUCCUUGUCUCUCCCAUCGUACUGAAGUCCUGUAGCAUUGAUCUCAUUCUGGGAAUGGAUUGGUUAAAGGCGCAUACUGCUUCUAUCGUUUGCGCCACUAAGACCGUCCAUCUGCUACACCCUUCUGAUGAAAUAAUUAGCUAUGAUGCUCAUCUGGUUCGGAAUGCCGAGGCCAGGCUUUAUGCCUUAAACGCAUUGAACGUUGCACCACUCAAGGGCAUUGAAAACAUUCCCGUCGUGCGUGAAUUCCUAGACGUCUUUCCUGAAGAACUCCCAGGGAUUCCCCCUGCUAGAGCUGUCGAAUUCGUCAUCGACUUGAAACCAGGCACCACUCCUAUAGCCAAGAGACCCUACAAGAUGCCGCCGCAUGAACUCCUUGAGCUUAAGGAGGAAAUCGAUAAAUCUCUUCAAAGUGGUUUCAUUCGCCCAAGUUGCUCUCCUUGGGGAGCACCUUCUCUCUUUGUCAAGAAGAAAGAUGGGACAAACCGAUUGGUCCAAGACUACCGUCCUAUAAAUCAAGCUACCAUUCAGAAUAAGUAUCCUCUUCCUCGGAUCAAUGAUCUGUAUGAUCAGUUGGAUGGUUCAUCGGUGUUCUCUAAACUCGACUUGAGGUUGGGUUACCACCAGAUCCGUGUUCGUGAGGAAGAUAUCCCCAAGACCGCCUUUGUGACUCGUUAUGGUUCAUACGAGUACACCGUCAUGUCUUUCGGCUUAACCAAUGCUCCAGCCACCUUCUCUCGCCUGAUGAACUAUAUAUUCAUGGAUUACCUCGACAAGUUCGUCGUGGUUUAUCUGGAUGAUAUUCUAGUAUUUUCCAAGAACGAAGAGGAACAUGCUGAACAUCUUCGCCUCGUGCUGGAAAAGCUACGAGAGCAUCAACUUUAUGCCAAGUUCUCCAAAUGUGAAUUCUGGCUUCCCGAAGUAACCUAUCUUGGGCAUGUCAUCUCUAAGGAUGGUAUUGCCGUCAACCCUGAACGAGUUCAGGCUAUUCUCGAUUGGACUCCUCCGAAGAACGUUAAGCAAGUCAGAAGUUUUCUCGGUCUCGCCAGCUACUGCCGUCGAUUCGUCAAGAACUUCUCCAAGAUUGCCAGGCCUCUGACUAACCUAUUGCAUAAGGGCGUCAAGUUCCAAUGGACAGAUAAAUGUCAGGAAAGUUUCCAGGCACUCAAGGACAAGUUGACUUCUGCCCCAGUACUAGCUCCUCCUGAUACUAUGAAGGACUUCGUCAUUUACUGCGACGCUUCCCGUCAAGGACUAGGCUGUGUCCUAAUGCAAGAGCGCACAGUGGUUGCUUAUGCCUCUCGGCAAUUGCGCCCUCACGAGGAGAACUACCCAGUUCACGACCUCGAACUUGCUGCUGUCAUUCAUGCGCUAAAACAGUGGCGACAUUACCUACUCGGUAAUCGCUGCGAGAUCUUCACUGACCACCAAAGUCUGAAGUAUCUGUUUACUCAGCCAGACCUGAACCUCCGUCAACAGAGAUGGAUGGAGACUGUUGCAGACUUUGAUUUGGGUAUUUCCUAUACACCAGGCAAGGCUAAUGUAAUGGCUGAUGCCUUGAGCCGCAAGUCUUACUGCAACCACCUCCAGGUUCACAAAGUCCAGCCCUCACUUGUUGAAGAAUUCAGAAAGCUAAACCUCCAUAUUGUACCUCCGGGUGCACUCGCUCCCCCUCCUCCGGAGUUCCGCAAGAUGAAUCUCCGUGUUGUUUCCCAGGGUUCCCUCUAUACCCUGGCUGUUGAACCCGAUCUCGUGGGCACCAUAAAGACAAUGCAGGGAUUUGACUCUGAAGUCUACAAGAUUAAGCAAGANNNNNNNNNNNNNNNNNNNNNNNNNNNNNNNNNNNNNNNNNNNNNNNNNNNNNNNNNNNNNNNNNNNNNNNNNNNNNNNNNNNNNNNNNNNNNNNNNNNNUUGGGCUUCCGCUUGAAGGUUGCCGAGUACACGUCGUGUAGCAACGAUAAGUGGUGGGAGCGUGUGUGACGAAGUACACCCCUGCAGGGUAUGAAACUAUUCGAAUAGCCGCGUCCGCGGUAAAGGACUACUUGGUCGCUUAUGCAGUUCAUAGACAAGUAAAUGGAUACUAUUACAAGCCUCAAGAUAAGUGUGAGUACCGCGGAUGGCUCUCUCGUGGGAUGACGAGGGAGGAUCCACGGUGGAGUAUUGAGAUGGUGAUUAGUGGACUCGUGUGCGAAAACUAUUUCACAAGUGGUGUCUCGUAGGAUAGCUUAGCCAAGAGUCAAAGCUGGCUUGCUGCAAUAACUCCACUACCUUCUUGAGAAUGAACAUGUAUAGUAGGAUCUGUUGUAAGACUUGCUGAGUACCUUUGUACUCAUGUUGCUUCAAUUACUGUUUUCAGACGACAACACCGCCCCUUCCGAUGGGUUCUACGUAGAACUCGACAACGACGAGUGACUUUCCACCCAGGUGGUGAUCUAGGCUUGUGAAGGGCCUACGUAGAUAGACAGGCUUCGUCAAGCCUUCUUUCUUUCUAGCGUCUGUACCCAGACAGUUUGCUUCCGCAUGUGCUUGUAUGAUUGUAUGACUUGAGUGUCGGGUCAUGUGACCCCUAUCUGUAUGAACAAGUUAUGUAAGGCUCUCCGGAGCCCUUUAAAUAAAGUACUUUGAGUUGUAGAGUUUUGUUGUGAUGCCAUGUUGUAUUUGCACAUAUCGAGCAUAUUGUGUGUAUGAUUGAAAUGCUUGGUAUGUGUGGGAUCCUACAAUCUAGUUGUUUAUCCUUGGCAGCCUCUCUUAAUGGGAAAUGUUGUCUAGUGCCUCUUUGAGCCAUAGUAGUCCGCUACAGCCCGGUUCACCGGAGUCCUGCUAGCCCAGCACUACUGCUCUGGACACUUGACUGGCCGGCAUGUGAUUCAUAUCGUUCCUGUGUCUGUCCCUUCGGGGAAAUGUCAUGCGGUGACAUCUGGAGUCCUGCCUAGCCUGCUACAGCCCGGGUUCCCGGAGUCCUGUUAGCCCAGUGCUACAGCCCGGAUUCACACGAUGCUGACCGACACGUUCGAUAUUGAUUCAUGUAUGCCUGUCCCCAUACGUUAGUGCCGCUUUGGGUUCACGACUAGCCAUGUCCGCCCGGGUUCUCUGUCAUAUGGAUGCUAGCGACAUUGUCAUAUACGUGAGCCAAAAGGCGCAAACGGUCCCGGGCCAUGGUAAGGCGACACCCGUGGGAGUAUCGUGCGUGAGGCCGCAAUGUGAUAUGAGGUGUUACAGGCUAGAUCGGUGUGACUUGGAAUCGGGGUCCUGACAGCGUUGGCAUCAGAGCCGGACUGCCUGUAGGUGCGCUAAGCCAAACUGGUCGAUGUCGAGUCUAGAAAUGCUGUAGUUAUAUGUAGGGGAAUUGAUUGUGGGAGGGAACGUAAGGAGCUUUUACUCCUUACCUUAUGCCCUCUGAUCUGAGUCAUUCUCUUCUCAUUCUACGUGGGUUAAGGACUAGGCUCUCUUCUGUCUAUCAGGUUCACGUGUUACUAAUCCGUAGUAACUUAUAGGAUUGUUGGUUCCAUGCUUCGGUUCAGUUUCUACUACACUUGGUAUGCUGUCAGUUGAACCAGAACCUUGAUAUGAUGUUGUUGAGUGGUAUUGCAAAACUGUUGCAAAUGUCUCAAAUCCUUUUCCAAGCAUUUACAGCCGUUAUGCUGUCAGAUCUAUCAGAUCUCACUCUCGUAAGUGACCGUGAAGGGAUUGCAACCCCUUUAUCGUGUUGGUUGCGAGUUUCUUAUUUGUUUGUGUAGGUGCGUGGGACUUGUGCAUGAUCUCCUACUGGAUUGAUACCUAGGUUCUCAAAAACUAAGGGAAAUACUUACGCUACUUUACUGCAUCAACCCUUUCCUCUUCAAGGGAAAACCAACGCAGUGCUCAAGAGGUAGGAAGGCGCUCGGGCACCACAUGGAGGCAUUCUUCAUCGCACGCGUCCCUCAUGAGGGCACAAGGCAUGGAGUGCGUGGUGCUCAGGAGUUCAUCACCAAGGCGACCGAGGAGCUUCAAGAGGCAAGAGCCAUGCGCGGCGUCCGUAGCCCAGCACCUGGCGCAGCUCCUUGUCCUGGCGAGGACGACGAGCUGCGCGUAAGCGUCAACAUCCCAGGGCUCAACAGGGCCGCAUCCCAAGAGCGCUUCUGGCCUUCGCGCGUUGGUCGGUGCGAGGGUCCACCUCACAGCUAAGUUCGCAUGCCAUUGGGCUUGGCAAUCGCGGCUGUUACCUUCCAACGUUGCCUGCGGAGCGUACUGGCGGCUCAGGAGGCCAGGCAUCAGGCGGUCCAGGCAGAGAUGGCGACGGUCCUUCAUGAGCCUCCCAAGCCCCAGUGCCUCACGAGGCUCAGGACCCAGGCGGCUCGUGAGGAGAGGCUUCUUCGACAUGCGUCUUUGGCUGCUCCAACCUCUCUCCAGCAACGGUGCCAGGUGACUCUUUCCGGUUCAUUCAGUUGGGGGUGCCCCUCGGGCUGCGUUAUCCCCAAGUCGCACGGGCCUGUCCCUGCGACAUGUAUCCUUUGCAUCUUUAAUCUACUCUAUUGGGGGCGCCCCUCGGGCUGCAUUAUCCCCAGGCUGCAUGGGUACCUCCCUGCGGCAUGUAUCGUUCUCGCAUUAACCAGAACUAGCUUGCCUCCUCCCAUGAGUUACUUUAUGAUUAUCGCCUACUUGCCUGUUGCCCUUCGCGGCCUCCCACGUUGCUGACCGGUCUCCUGCUCAUCCCGCAUCGGGGGCUCCACAUGCUGGCACGGCGCUUGUGCUCGGGUCCGUCCCUGCAACGCUGACAAACCUGAGUGAUCGAGCCCUGGCUCGCGGCCUGCCCUAUGCACGUAACCUCACCGGAUCCUUAGUGCCUUCAUCUUCUUGCGAAAAGAUCAGCGGCAGGACAGCAAACGCGAUUAUGAGCCGUAUUCUCCUCUCGAACUAACCCGCAGGAAUCUCUGGAGUUUAGCUACGGGUGGCCCCGCCGGCUACCCUCCUUUCGUACGAUUCGCUUGCGCGUUAAAGGGGGGCUCCUGAGCAUCGCGCCUCAGGAGCUCCUACUGACUCUCUAGCCCUCACCCCCUGGCCUUGACAACGGCAUCAUGACCUGGCAUGCCAGUGGCGGCUGAGCUUCGCUCGAGGGUCGGGACCCGAGGACGCAGAGCACUUAGAUGAGCGAGGAAGGAGGAAGCCGGCGUGAGCCUCGCCUGGUAACACCGUCGCUCAAGCACAAGUCAGACGCUGCACAGGGAACCACCUCGGGCUCGAUAAGAUAAGUCACAUAUUCGUGUUAGCGCUACGCUGCAGUUGGGAAUUUUCGACUCUCGCAACCUUGCUCCGGCAAUGCUGCCUUCCUUUUUAGCCUUCAGGAAGCUACUUGCACGCCAAAGGGGACCUCUUGAGCAUCACGCCUCAGGAGCUCUUACCGGACCUUGGUCCGCUCACCUCCUGGCCUUGAUCACGGCAUCGCAACCUGGCAUACCAGCGAUGGCUGAAGCUUGCCUGGGGACUGGGACAUGCCGACGUAGAGCGCUAAGCUGCCGCGAGGACAAAAAGGGGGGACAGUGCCGAAGCAAGACAUGCAACCACAAUAUUAUAGUAGGAAUAAUGAACAUCGGAGCAAAAGCAUUACAGUUUCUUUACACACACCCACGGGGUUCGUCUCGAUUCAUCGCAGGGAACAAAAGAAGGAAAAACCCNNNNNNNNNNNNNNNNNNNNNNNNNNNNNNNNNNNNNNNNNNNNNNNNNNNNNNNNNNNNNNNNNNNNNNNNNNNNNNNNNNNNNNNNNNNNNNNNNNNNUCUGCUUCGCUGGGUCUAGGUAUCUGCUUAUCUUCCCCGCGUAACCGUAAGGAAGUUUUACUCCUAGGAGGCAGGUGAAAAACUGCUCGAUCUCCUCCUGACUUAGAGUGAAGCACGCGGGAGGGUAGUCAUUUCCGGUCUUCUUGGCCUUUUUGCCUUUGCGACGACUUUCUGUGUCCUGCUUCGCCUCAUCAUCAUCAUCAUCAUCAUCAUAUAUAGCGUGAAGCUCCUGCCUGAUGCCCAUUGAUUUCAAGUCUGCCCUUGCUUUCGGCCCAUCUUUGGUCCUCUCUGGCAUGUUGAGCAGGGUACCAAGAAGACUCUCGCACACGUUCUUCGUGAUAUGCAUGACAUCAAGGCUGUGAGGCACACGGUGGAUCUUCCAGUACGGCAAGUCCCAGAAAACAGACCUCGUUUUCCAUACCUUCAGCAGCGGCUCUGGCGCCUUUCGCUUCUUUCCCGGCUCCGGCGCCUUUUGCUUCUUUCCCGGCAGUGGGCAGUCUUUCCAAUUUUUCAACAGCUUGUCUAUUUCCUCGCCGCUCCUCGUACACGGGCGUUUUCGGGGUUCGGUUUCACCAUCGAACAGAUCCUUGCGUUUCCUCCACGGGUCAUCGUCGCGAAGCCACCUUCGAUGUCCCAUGAACACGGUUUUCGAAGACUCGGGAUCUCUAUCUAGCUGGCGAUACGUUGUGUCAUCCAUGCACCUUACGCAUCCAGAAAAUCCAUGGACUACCUGCCCCGCAAGAUAUCCGUAACCGAGAUAGUCGUGCACCGUCGUGAGCAGUGCGGCUCUCAUAGGGAAAUAUUCUUUCUCUGCGGCGUCCCACGUAUUGGCUGGCGUUUUCCACAGCGUGUCAAGCUCCUCUUUCAGCAGCCCCAGAUACAGAUUGAUGUCGUUCCCUGGUUGUUUCGGCCCUUCAAUUAGCAUACUCAUGUGAAUGUACUUCCUCUUCAUGCACAACCAGGGGGGAAGGUUGUACAUCCACACAAACACAGGCCAGGUGCUAUGUGUGCUUCUCUGGCUGCCAAACGGAUUGACUCCAUCGGUGCUCGCGCCCAGCACGAUGUUCCUUGGAUCGUUCCCAAAUUCUGGGUAUUCGAAGUUCAAAGCUUGCCACUGGCUCGCAUCCUUAGGGUGACUCAGCAUCUUGUCUUUUUUAUCUAUCUCCGGAUCAUUUGUGUCAUCUUCUCGCUUCUUCUCCUCCCUAUCCGCGUGCCAACGCAGGAGCUUUGCUACCUUAGGAUCCGCGAAAUACCGCUGCAGACGAGGAGUGAUCGGAAAGUACCACACCACUUUUCGAGGAGCUAUCUUCCUCUUCUUGUAUCGAGUGACACCGCACACCGGACAUAUGGUAGACUCCGCGUGCUCGUCCCGAUAAAUGAUGCAACUGUUCAUGCACACAUGGUAUUUCACGUGCGGUAAAUCCAGAGGACACACGAUUUUCUUCGCCUCCUCCAAACUGGUCGGGCACUUGUUCCCCUUGGGAAGACGUUCGUGCCAGAAUGACAUGUUCUAGUCGAAGCAUGCGUCGGUCAUUUUGUGUUUUACCUUCAUCUCCAGAGCCAUGAGCGUUACUUUCAGGCGGGUAUCCUCGGGCCUGCAUCCUUCAUACAAUGGAGUAACCGCGUCUAACUCAAGUUGAUCCAUCUUGGCUUUCUCUCGGGCGGCAGCUCUUGCGUUAUCCGUCUGCUUGAGAAGCAGCUCUUGAAUAUGAGGGUCCUGCACCCAGCCCAUCGAUGGUCCAGCGUCGUCUGCUCCGCCGGCAUCAUCAUCAUGUCCUGCAUCUUCUACAUGAUGACUGUGUACAGCAUCACCGUCGUGAUCAUCUCCUGGGGAUUCUUCGUCUUCUCGCCCCCCCGAGCCGCGGUGGUUGUCUUGCUGCCCUUCCUCAUUUCUUGCCCGGCCCCCAUGGAUGACUUCAUAGUCAUCUUCAUCACCUUGCCACCGAUAGCCAUCCAUGAAACCACGCAAGAGCAGGUGGUCCCUCACCUGCCCGGAAUCCGGAUCCACAAUAAGGCUAUUCAGCUUGCAUCUUCGACACGGACAUCUUAUCUCCGUCUCGUUCUUUUGAAGCAUCUCGGCCUUCGCGGACCUCAAAAACCUAUUCACGAUGCCUUCGAUCAUCGUGCGGACCAUGGUCGCCUGCGGGGUAGAGCAAAACGAUAUUUUAGAACCAAGAAAAAAUUUGGCAUGACUUUCCCUAAAAAUAGGACCAAAAAGAAUGCUUAAUGCCAAAAUUCUCGCCGAAACGGAAAUGAAUCAACAUUCCGGCAAAAUAUUGGCAACUAUCGCAUUUCAAAUACCGGUACACCUCCAAACACAAACACAUAUGCAACACCACAAACAUAUGCAACACCACGAACAUACAUAUAUCUAGCUAGGCCAUAAAAAAUGCAUGUGCACAUUGUUGUAGGGAGAACAACAUAAAUAUAGCUUCCCCCCUUACUUACCCAUCAAAACAAGGUAACUUAACCACUUAAUUUGAAUGAAUCUAUGGUGGAAAUGAGGUGAAAAAGAGGAGGCACCCGAGACAAGGAGGAGGCGGUGGAGAGAAUGAAGUGGGGAGAAAGUGAGUGUGGGAGGAGAGGCUGUCCAAAAUAUCUUGUUGCUGCCCACUUACUAAUGCCGCACCAGCAACAAAUGCGCCAUUAGUAAUCCAGGUUACUAAUGGUGCACCCUCUGGUGGUGCGCCAUUAGUAGUUUUGCAAAAAAAAACACACUAAUGGCGCACACUGCCACGGUGCGCCAUUACUAGUUUGAACUAGUAAUGGCGCACCGCGUGCGAGUGCACCAUUAGUACUUUUGCAAACAAAGGAAUAAAAACAAUAAUAAAAAAAUAACAUUAGUGGCGCACCUUCUGGCUGGUGCGCCAUUACUAGUUACAACUAGUAAUGGCGCACCACCAGUGGAUGCGUCAUUAGUAUGUUUGGACAGGCGCACUAAUUCAAAAAAAAAUUUGGUACUAAUGGCGCACCGUGGGCAGGGUGCGCCAUUAGUAGUUUCAACACUAAUGGCGCAUCAGAAGGUGGUCCACAUGUCUGGUGCACCAUUAGUGUCAAUUCCAUCUAUAGCCCUUUUCCUAGUAGUGCAAAGCUCUCUCCUCGCCGGCCAGGAAAAACAGAGCAGUGGGAGUGCUCUGCUCGCGGGCGAGGGGUAUAUAUAGGUAAUUAAUUGGUCCCGGUUGGUGGCACGAACCGGGACUAAAGGGCAGCCUUUGGUCCCGGUUCAAGCCACCAACCAGGACCAAUGGUGGUGGCCAAGAGCGAGGCACAUUGGUCCCGGUUCGUCCCACCAACCGGGACCAAAAGGUCCAGACGAACCGGGACCAACGGCCCACGUGGCCCGGCCGUCCCCCGGGGCUCACGAACCGGGUCCAAUGCCCCCAUGGGUCCCGGUUCUGGAUUGAACCGGGACUAAUGGGCUGACCUGGCCUGGACCAUUGCCCCCUUUUCUACUAGUGCUGGAAGACACACUGUUGAGAUAUAGAUAUUGCAUGUGUAUUUCUUGUACAACAAGCCCUCCUCCUUCCUUGUAUAGUUGAGGACGUGGCCCUCCUAUGUACCUGUAUAUACGUGCAUAUUGCACCCGAUGAAUAUAUCGUGAGCUGCAUAAUUCUCUACAUGGUAUCAGCCUUAGUCCGAUCCCUCCUACCCUAGUGCGUCGCCGUUGCUUCCAAGCCGCCGCCGCUUCACAAGCUACGCCCGCGUCACCGAGUUCUAGCCGCCACCGUAGCCUCCCCCACNNNNNNNNNNNNNNNNNNNNNNNNNNNNNNNNNNNNNNNNNNNNNNNNNNNNNNNNNNNNNNNNNNNNNNNNNNNNNNNNNNNNNNNNNNNNNNNNNNNNCUUUUAAGAAAUGAUAGCUUAGGUUUCUCUAAACCAUAGUUCAUACGGUGUCAUCUCAUCAGAAUUACGUGGUGCCCUAUUUAAAGUGAAUGUGGUUGUCUCUAAUGCCCAACCCAUAAAACUAUUGUGGUAAUUCAAUGAGAGACAUCAUGGUAUGCAUCAUAUCCAAUAGGGUGCAGUUAUGAUGUUCGGACACACCAUCACACUAUGGUGUUCCAGGCUGUAUUAGUUGUGAAACAAUUUCCACAAUGUCUUAAUUCUGUGCCAAACUCAUAAUUCAGAUAUUCAUCUCUAUGAUCAUAUCAUAGAUCUUUUAUCCUCUUGUCACGACGAUCUUUCAACUUCACCCUGAAAUUACUUGAACCGUUCAAUAAUUCAGACUCGUGAUUCAUCAAGUAAAUAUACUCAACAUCUACUCAAAUCGUCUAUGAAGUAAGAACAUAACGACAUCCACUACACGCCUCAGCACUCAUUGGACUGCACACAUCAAAAUGUAUUACUUCCAACAAGUUGCUUUCUAGUUCCAUUUUACUGAAACCGAGGCUUUCAGUCAUCUUGCCCAUGUGGUAUGAUUUGCAUGUCUCAAGUGAUUCAAGAUCAAGUGAGUCCAAACGGUCCAUUUGCAUGGAGUUUCUUCAUGCAUAAACACCAAUAGACAUGGUUCGCAUGUCUCAAACUUUUCAAAAACGAGUGAGCCCAAAGAUCCAUCAACAUGGAGCUUCUUCAUGUGUUUUAUACCGAUAUGACUUAAGUGGCAGUGCCACAGGUAGGUGGUACUAUCAUUACUAUCUUAUACCUUUUGGCAUGAACAUGUGUAUCACUACGAUCGAGAUUCAAUAAACUAUUCAUUUUAGGUGCAAGACCAUUGAAGGUAUUAUUCAAAUAAAUAGAGUAACUAUUAUUCUCUUUAAAUGAAUAACCGUAUUGCGAUAGACAUAAUCCAAUCAUGUCUAUGCUCAACGCAAACACCAAUCUCGAUGGUAGAGGGAGCGUGCGAUGCUUGAUCAUAUCAACAUUGGAAACACUUCCAACACAUAUCGUCAGCUCACCUUUAGCUAGUCUCCGUUCAUUCCGUAGCCUUUUGUUUCGAGUUACUAACACUUAGCAACCGAACCGGUAUCUAAUACCCUGGUGCUACUAGGACUACUAGUAAAGUACACAUCAACACAAUGUAUAUCCAAUAUACUUCUAUCGACCUUGCCAGCCUUCUCAUCUACCAAGUAUCUAGGGUAAUUCUGCUCCAGUGGCUGUUCCCCUCAUUACAGAAGCACUUAGUCUCGGGUUUGGGUUCAACCUUGGGUUUCUUCACUAGAGCAGCAGGUGUUUUGCCGUUUCAUGAAGCAUCCCUUUUGCCCUUGCCCUCCUUGAAACUAGUGGUUUCACAAACCAUCAACAAUUGAUGCUCCUUCUUGAUUUCUACUUUCGCGGUGUCAAACAUCGCAAAUAUUUCAAGGAUCAUCAUAUAUGUCCCAGAUACAUUAUAGUUCAUCACAAAGCUCUAGCAGCUUGGUGGCAAUGACUUUGGAGAAACAUCACUAUCUCAUAUGGAAGAUCAACUCCCACUCGAUUCAAAUGAUUGUUGUACUCAGACAAUCUGAGCACAAGCUCAACAAUUGAGCUUUUCUCCCUUAGUUUGCAGGCUAAGAAAAUCGUCGGAGGUCUUAUACCUCUUGACGUGGGAACGAGCCUGAAAUCCCAAUUUCAGCCCUCGAAACAUCUCAUAUGUUUCGCGACGUUUCAAAACGUCUUCGGUGCCUCAACUCUAAACCGUUUAACUAGACUAUCACGUAGUUAUCAAAACGUGUAUGUCAGAUGUUCGCAACAUCCAUAGACAAUGUUCGAGGUUUAGCACACUGAGCGGUGCAUUAAGGACAUAAGCCUUCUAUGAAGCAAUGAGGACAAUCCUCAGUUUACGGACCUAGUCCGCAUAAUUGCUACUAUUAACUUUCAACUAAUUUUUCUCUAGGAACAUAUCUAAACAGUAGAACUAAAGCGCGAGCUACGACAUAAUUUGCGAAGACCUUUUGACUAUGUUCAGGAUAAUUAAGUUCAUCUUAUGAACUCCCACUCAGAUAGACAUCCCUCCAAUCAUCUAAGUGAUUACAUGAUCCGAGUCAACUAGGCCGUGUCCGAUCAUCACGUGAGACGGACUAGUCAUCAUCGGUGAACAUCUUCAUGUUGAUCGUAUCUACCAUACGACUCAUGCUCGACCUUUCGGUCUCUUGUGUUCCGAGGCCAUGUCUAUACAUGCUAGGCUCGUCAAGUUAACCCUAAGUGUUUUGCAUGUGUAAAAUUGUCUUACACCCGUUGUAUGUGAACGUAAGGAUCUAUCACACCCGAUCAUCACGUGGUGCUUCGAAACGACGAACUUUAGCAACGGUGCAUAGUUAGGGGAGAACACAUUCUUGAAAUUGUAAUGAGGUAUCAUCUUAUUUAUUACCGUCAUUCUAAGCAGAUAAGAUGUAUAAACAUGAUAAACAUCACAUGCAAUCAAAUAAUAGUGAUAUGAUAUGGCCAAUAUCAUAUAGCUCCUUUGAUCUCCAUCUUGGGGCUCCAUGAUCAUCUUGUCACCGACAUGACACCAUGAUCUCCAUCAUCAUGAUCUCUAUCAUCGUGUCUUCAUGACGUUGUCUCGUCAACUAUUACUUCUACUACUAUAGCUAACGGUUAGCAAUAAAGUAAAGUAAUUACAUGACGUUUAUGUUGACACGCAGGUCAUAAAUAAAUUAAGACAACUCCUAUGGCUCCUGCCGGUUGUCAUACUCAUCGACAUGCAAGUCGUGAUUCCUAUUACAAGAACAUGAUCAAUCUCAUACAUCACAUAUAUCAUUCAUCACAUCCUUUUGGCCAUAUCACAUCACAUAGCAUACCCUGCAAAAACAAGUUAGACGUCCUCUAAUUGUUGUUUGCAUGUUUUACGUGGCUGCUAUGGGUUUCUAGCAAGAACGUUUCUUACCUACGCAAAACCACAACGUGAUAUGCCAAUUGCUAUUUACCCUUCAUAAGGACCCUUUUCAUCGAAUCCGACCCGACUAAAGCGGGAGAGACAGACACCCGCCAGCCACCUUAUGCAAGUAGUGCAUGUUUGUCGGUGGAACCGGUCUCACGUAAGCAUACAUGUAAGGUUGGUCCGGGCCGCUUCAUCCCACAAUACCGUCGAAUCAAGAUAAGGCUAGUAAUGGCAAGCAUAUUGAACAAAGUCAACGCCCACAACUUCUUUGUGUUCUACUCGUGCAUAGAAUCUACGCAUAGACCUAGCUCAUGAUGCCACUGUUGGGGAACGUAGCAGAAAUUCAAAAUUUUCCUACGUGUCACCAAGAUCUAUCUAUGGAGAAACCAGCAACGAGGGGAAGGAGAGUGCAUCUACAUACCCUUGUAGAUCGCUAAGCGGAAGCGUUCAAGUGAACGGGGUUGAUGGAGUCGUACUCGUCGUGAUCCAAAUCACCGAUGACCAAGUGCCGAACGCACGGCACCUCCGCGUUCAACACACGUACAGCCUGGUGACGUCUCCCAUGCCUUGAUCCAGCAAGGAGAGAGGGAGAGGUUGAGGAAGACUCCAUCCAGCAGCAGCACAACGGCGUGGUGGUGGUGGAGGAGCGUGGCAAUCCUGCAGGGCUUCGCCAAGCACCACGGGAGAGGAGAAGGACUUGGGAGAGGGGAGGGAUGAACCAAAGGCAAAGGUAUGGCUGCCCUCCCACCCCCACACAUAUAUAUAGGGGCAAGGGAGAGGGGGGGGGGGNNNNNNNNNNNNNNNNNNNNNNNNNNNNNNNNNNNNNNNNNNNNNNNNNNNNNNNNNNNNNNNNNNNNNNNNNNNNNNNNNNNNNNNNNNNNNNNNNNNNCGACCCCCCCUCGUGUUGAAGUUAUCGGGAGAGGGGUAUAUCGACGACGACAGACCCGAUAAAACAUAAGAAAACGAAGAAGAAACAAAAAGAGGAGAAGAAGAAAAGGAAUAGAGGAGAAGAUCGAAGAAAAAAAGAAGAAAAAAAAAGAGGAGAAGAAGAAAGGAAUAGAGGAGAGAAGAAGAAUUUUCUAUUUUUUUCUUCUUCUCUUCUUUUUCUUCUUUUUUCCUCUUCUUAUUUAUUUCUCCUCUUCUUCCUCUCCUCUUCUUCUCCUUUCUUCCUCUUCUUAUUUUCCUUUUUCCUCUCAUUCAUAAAAAAAUGUUCAAAUAGAAAAUUUCGAAAAAAAAGUAAAGGUUUUGCCUAAUGCAUUGUUCAUAUGAAUAUACAAACAUUUGCAUAUUCUACAAUAAUUAAUAUCACCAAAAAAAUCUAUGAACAGAAAAAAAAUCCUAACUUUUCUAAAAAUCUAUCUUUUGCAUAUAUACAUGAACAUAUACACAGAGAACAUAUAUACACAGAGAACAUAUAUACAUGAACAUACAUAUAUAUACACAGAGAACAUAUAUACAUGAACAUACAUAUAUACAUUUUAUAAAAAUGCAAUAAAAAGACAGGGAGGAAGGGGGCAGUGCCGGACCUGACCAAGGCGACGGCGGCGCGACAGGGCAGGGGCAGAGGCGACGACGGCGUGGUCGGGGCAGGGGCAGAGGCGUCGGCGGCGAAGGGCGGGGCAGGGCGACGGGGACGGGCCAGGGCGGCGCGCGUCGGGGCAGGGGNNNNNNNNNNNNNNNNNNNNNNNNNNNNNNNNNNNNNNNNNNNNNNNNNNNNNNNNNNNNNNNNNNNNNNNNNNNNNNNNNNNNNNNNNNNNNNNNNNNNNNNNNNNNNNNNNNNNNNNNNNNNNNNNNNNNNNNNNNNNNNNNNNNNNNNNNNNNNNNNNNNNNNNNNNNNNNNNNNNNNNNNNNNNNNNNNNNNNNNNNNNNNNNNNNNNNNNNNNNNNNNNNNNNNNNNNNNNNNNNNNNNNNNNNNNNNNNNNNNNNNNNNNNNNNNNNNNNNNNNNNNNNNNNNNNNNNNNNNNNNNNNNNNNNNNNNNNNNNNNNNNNNNNNNNNNNNNNNNNNNNNNNNNNNNNNNNNNNNNNNNNNNNNNNNNNNNNNNNNNNNNNNNNNNNNNNNNNNNNNNNNNNNNNNNNNNNNNNNNNNNNNNNNNNNNNNNNNNNNNNNNNNNNNNNNNNNNNNNNNNNNNNNNNNNNNNNNNNNNNNNNNNNNNNNNNNNNNNNNNNNNNNNNNNNNNNNNNNNNNNNNNNNNNNNNNNNNNNNNNNNNNNNNNNNNNNNNNNNNNNNNNNNNNNNNNNNNNNNNNNNNNNNNNNNNNNNNNNNNNNNNNNNNNNNNNNNNNNNNNNNNNNNNNNNNNNNNNNNNNNNNNNNNNNNNNNNNNNNNNNNNNNNNNNNNNNNNNNNNNNNNNNNNNNNNNNNNNNNNNNNNNNNNNNNNNNNNNNNNNNNNNNNNNNNNNNNNNNNNNNNNNNNNNNNNNNNNNNNNNNNNNNNNNNNNNNNNNNNNNNNNNNNNNNNNNNNNNNNNNNNNNNNNNNNNNNNNNNNNNNNNNNNNNNNNNNNNNNNNNNNNNNNNNNNNNNNNNNNNNNNNNNNNNNNNNNNNNNNNNNNNNNNNNNNNNNNNNNNNNNNNNNNNNNNNNNNNNNNNNNNNNNNNNNNNNNNNNNNNNNNNNNNNNNNNNNNNNNNNNNNNNNNNNNNNNNNNNNNNNNNNNNNNNNNNNNNNNNNNNNNNNNNNNNNNNNNNNNNNNNNNNNNNNNNNNNNNNNNNNNNNNNNNNNNNNNNNNNNNNNNNNNNNNNNNNNNNNNNNNNNNNNNNNNNNNNNNNNNNNNNNNNNNNNNNNNNNNNNNNNNNNNNNNNNNNNNNNNNNNNNNNNNNNNNNNNNNNNNNNNNNNNNNNNNNNNNNNNNNNNNNNNNNNNNNNNNNNNNNNNNNNNNNNNNNNNNNNNNNNNNNNNNNNNNNNNNNNNNNNNNNNNNNNNNNNNNNNNNNNNNNNNNNNNNNNNNNNNNNNNNNNNNNNNNNNNNNNNNNNNNNNNNNNNNNNNNNNNNNNNNNNNNNNNNNNNNNNNNNNNNNNNNNNNNNNNNNNNNNNNNNNNNNNNNNNNNNNNNNNNNNNNNNNNNNNNNNNNNNNNNNNNNNNNNNNNNNNNNNNNNNNNNNNNNNNNNNNNNNNNNNNNNNNNNNNNNNNNNNNNNNNNNNNNNNNNNNNNNNNNNNNNNNNNNNNNNNNNNNNNNNNNNNNNNNNNNNNNNNNNNNNNNNNNNNNNNNNNNNNNNNNNNNNNNNNNNNNNNNNNNNNNNNNNNNNNNNNNNNNNNNNNNNNNNNNNNNNNNNNNNNNNNNNNNNNNNNNNNNNNNNNNNNNNNNNNNNNNNNNNNNNNNNNNNAAAAGUUCUUUAUGAAAAUUCUUUUUGCUGUAUUUAGUUUUUUUGUUUUCUUUUUUGCUUUAUUUAUUUUGUUUUGUUUCUACUUACAACAAAAAACUUAUUUAUUUUAUUUUAUUUUGUUUCUAAUUAGUUAUUUAUUUUACUUUAUGAUAAUUCUUUUUGCUAUUAAAGUUUCUAUCAAAAAAAGUUCUUUAUGAAAAUUCUUUUUGCUUUUAAUGAUUUUGAACAGAAAAUACUUCGAUAAUUUUAGUUGCAUCAAUUUUAUAUGAUUUUAGUUUCAAUAAUACUAGAGAUUUCUUAUAAUGUUUUGAACAAAAAAUACUUUGUUAAUUUUAGUUUCAUAAAUUUUAUUAAAGUUUAUUUUAUUUUGUCGGAACACAAGAAGUCCGGAGUUGUAAUAAGUUAUUAAAAAUAAAAAAGAGGCGCAAUGCUCGUUGAUUUGCUUCAAGCCUUUCGGAAUAGUGUAGACUGCACUGCACAUAGCUCCAUGCAGUCUACCUUAUUCCUCAAGGCUUGAAGCUAAGCAACGUGAGCAUUGCGCCUCUUCUUCAUCGUCUCUACACUCAGGGCUUAUAAACCGCUCCUAGUGCCUCUCAGCUAGCGAGGUGGGACUAAAAAACUGCUUAGUAAGAAACUCUAGUACCGGUUCGUGCCACGAACCGGUACUAAAGGUGCUCAUGGGGCCACAGCCUCAUUAGUACCGGUUCGUGGCACGAACCGGGACCAAUUCCACCCUUACGGGCCUAACCCCUCUGUACAUGCUUGUGGGCCUACUGGGCCUUCUGCGGGCCUGAAUCCUGGCCCAUGGAUGGGUUUCUAAUCGUAUUCAGGCCGUGGUGGCCCAGUAGGUGGCAUAAUUUUUUAUUUUUGGCCUGUUAUUUUUCAUGCAUUUACUAAUUAUUUUGAGCUAUAAGACCCUAAAAUUGAAAAGCAUUUCAAAUGAACUCUGAAAAGGUUGAAAGUUGGCAUGGUAUCAUCAUUUCAUCCACAUAGCAUGUGCAAGAAAGUUGAGAGGGUUACGGCAAAAACUAGAUGCACUUCUUGUACAAAACGGACAAUGGUAUCAUACUCGUCUGUUACAAAGUUGGCAUGGUAUCAUCAUAAUAGUUGCGGGAGAAAGUCUUCACUUUUUCUUCGCUUGUGUCAUUUGCUUAUUGCGCCGUAACCAUGGAUAAUCUUCAUCGUUUAUCAGGAUGCUUGGGUCAGCCUUGACUUUGAAGGGAGGAAUUUCAUGAAACUUUUCAUAAUCUUCAGACAUGUCAGUCUUGCCCUCCACUCCCACAAUGUCCCUUUUUCCUGAAAGAACUAUGUGGNNNNNNNNNNNNNNNNNNNNNNNNNNNNNNNNNNNNNNNNNNNNNNNNNNNNNNNNNNNNNNNNNNNNNNNNNNNNNNNNNNNNNNNNNNNNNNNNNNNNACGGACCGUCCGGUCUGAACAGAGUCCUGGACAGACUAUGCCAAAUUCAUGGCACCCCGGAAAAACCUGCGAACCACACUCAUAGAGAGUGCUGGGUCUUCAAGCAGGUCGGCAAAUUAAAUGCCGAACACAAGGGGAGGGGCACACCAAGCAAAGACGAGGAUGAACCUCACCAGCCGAACACUGGGGUACAGGAAAAAUUCCCGCCAGAGGUUAAAAUAGUAAACAUGAUCCACGCGACUCGCACAUCCAUGAGAGGGCAUAAACGCGCGCACAUAGAAGCGCACGAUGUAGAGCCCGUCGUACCCACGCCUCACUAUUGGAUGUCCCAUCCGAUCACUUUCGAUCACAUGGACGGCCGAACUAGUAUUCGGCGCGGAGGAUCACAGGCCUUGGUGCUUGACCCACUAAUCGACGGAUACCGUCUCACCCGUGUCCUCAUGGACGGCGGCAGUGGUCUCAAUUUAAUAUACGAGGACACUAUCCGCAGAAUGGGGAUAGACCCACCCAGAAUUAAACAAAGCAACACCACCUUUGAAGGGGUGAUACCAGGCGUUGCAGCCUGCGCCAGGGGCUCCGUCGUGCUGGAAGUAACAUUCGGCUUCCCAGGCAACUCCAGAAGCAAAGAGCUGCUCUUCACUAUCGCACCCUUCCAAAGCAGCCAUCACGCAUUGCUAGGAAGAACGGCCUUCGCCCGCUUCAACGCAUUGCCGCACUAUGGCCACCUUACACUCAAGAUGCCUGGUCCCCGUGGCGUCAUCACCGUUAGCGGAAUCAUAAAGCGCCCUUCACGCGUAGAGGAAUACGCGACGGCCCUGGCGGCCGGACUAUAAGCGGCCUCCAGUUUUAGAAAACAUGAUUGGUCAUUACGACCAUAGACACGGUUAGACGAGUCCGGUAGCCCGGAUAAAUUCAAACAAGACACUGUAUAUAUAAUCCCAUAAGGGAAACUAGGGGUUGUCUAUAUUUAAUACAGCCCCACGCUUCGCUCGACCUUAUUGGCAGGCCAACAGCUUACACUCUUAUUACUGAUCGCAUACUUACGUUGCGCCCUCCUACGAGUUUUUCUUUUUUACAGACAACGUUCGCGCGAUACCCUUCCAGGAUACGGCACAACGGAGACAAAGGCGCAGACAUGCAGCAGGGCCCGUGCAACAGGUUUCUUUUUAGAUUAAGCCCCUGUGUAAACCUUUUCUACUGCAUCUUGUUGUUUAACCAUCUCAUGGGUUCUAUACCCACAGAGGAUACUGCCGUUUUUGGCAUUUGGCCACGGCAGACUAAAUUGCACGUACCUAGAAAUAAAGGGCUUAAAAUAGGCUCUUGUCAGCCUAUCUUCUUUUACAAAAGACCGAAUACCCUCGGGAGUGUUCGGCGUCACGAGUUUGGCCGUAUAUGCAUCAGCUCCGAAUCAUGUCUUGGUCAAAAUGUUGGGUUUGCCCGGCUCCUGGGUUUGCCGCCUUACGUUCCGCUAUCAUCCGGCUAAGGCAGGCCAAAGGAGAAUUACUGCGAUUGUGCCCUGGUUAUUCUGGAUGAGCGCCUCAGUAGAGAAAGCCGAAAACUGACCGUCAUGAUACAGCGAGAGACUGUUCAACCACUCGAAGACUCACCGGAAUCCCUGAAGAUUCAUCCGCCUUAACGAAGGGCCGUUUCCCGGCCAUGUACACACGCGCCCUUAUUCAGAUGCACGUGGAGGUACCAGGGGCUACAUAGUAGCCGCACCAUUAGACUCACAUGGCUAAGUGAAAGUAUUACAACUAUAUAAUCCGGUUGCCUAGUUCGGCGUGUGAUCACCUCCUUAACGGACCAAGACAUUGGAUCAAGUGUGAUUAUGCAUAUUUUUCGCCAACACCCCCGCAUUGUCCGCGAGGGGGCUGAAACCAACGACUGCUAUCUUUCAGACUACUUGUACAUAUAAGAAUAGCCGCAAAGGGAGGACAAUCAUACUUCCGGGCAAAAGUAUAAAACAUAGCCUCAUAAUUAAACUAAAAGUGUUUUCUACAAUGAUCCGACUUAUCACUCGAAUAAAGCACUCUUCGAUUACUGCGACUCUAUCAGGCGGGCACCUUCUGUGACUUGCGCCAAGUAGUGCUCGGCCGGAUGUUGGCCUCCCGCCGGAUCCUGGCUCGCUAUUACAGUGGCCUCCAUAUCCAUCCAGUAGACUUUAACGCGAGCUAGAGCCAUCCGCGCACCCUCUAUGCACGCCGACCUUCUCAGGGCAUCAAUCCGGGACACGGCUCCAAGGAAUUGUUGCACCAAACCAAAGUAGUUAUCCGGCUUAGGCCCCUUCGACCAAAGAUGGUCUAUUACAGACCGCAUUGCAAGUCUGGACAUCCUGUGGAGCUCCGCCAUAGCAGCCACCUUCUCAUUCAGUGGCAGCGGGCGAGUGGGAGCAUUAAACUACGACCAGAAAAGCUUCUCCACUUCUUCAUCGCCUUGACCCUCGAAGAACUUGACAAUGUCAGCUGUACUAUUCACCAAGUCCGCAUAUGCGUCCGCAGGACUGAUGCGACCAGCCAGGGGAGCAUACUUCGGAUCCAAGAACCUCGUCCGCAGUAAGUACGAACCCCCAGCCACGAUUUUGUCAGCUUGUUGGAGCUCCUCCCGCAUACUUCGGAUCUCGGUCCACAUCUCCUUGGCGGCAUUACGUGCCUUGUCCAGCUCGGCCGAACUAGCCUUAUUCUCCUUUUCAAGGAGUGCGUACCGGUCGACGGCAUUUUUUAACUCUUUAGCCAUUUCGGCUAUCUUUUCCUCGCUUCGGCGACGAGCAGCCUGUUCGGCUCUCAACUCUUCGGCCGCCUUUAGGGCAGCCGCAUUGCUAGCCCGAGCUUGUUCCUUGGCUUGAGCAAGUUUCAUCCUCAGGGCCUCCACGGCAGCAGCACCAUCUGUAGUGCCAAUACAUUGCAUUAAUAUUAUGCCUCUUUGGCAUAUUCCUAUAUAUUAUAAUAAAAACCAAGCACAUACCCUGGGACUCCUCAAGCCAUUUAUUCACCAACGUGAUAUCGGCAUCGAUGGAUCCAAUUUGCCUCCUUAGCUCGGCAACUUCAACAGACUGGUCGGCUGCCGGAUCCUUGUAUACCUGCACACAUGUACGACGCAUCCAUUAGUAUAUGAUCCCCCGUUUGCCGCCUAUGGCGGGCAACCAGAGUCUCAGGGGCUACUAUCUAUAGGGAGCACACCUAGCGCAUGCUUCAUAACCAAAAAGUUGUGCAUUUUUUCACUACAUACCUCAAAGCCUUUGAGCAGGUUUGUAAAUGCCUCAUUCAAGCCGCUGGUAGCGGAUGAAAUCUUCGUGAGCACCGUGCUCAUUAAAGAGCGAUGCUCCUCCGAAAGCGCGGCUCGCUCCAGACGGCCCGUCAGUACGUCCGGCCGGACACUAAACUGCGCCGGACCCUUCUCAUCGCCCCCCGUGGGAGCCAAACACUCUGGGCUCAGGGCGGCUGACGUACUAGCCUCCGGCUUCGGCAUAUCCGGACUCCUCCGUGACGACACCUCCGUGUCGCCCGCCUCAUGAGGCGGAGAGUUGGGUGGGGUUUCACUCCAUCAUCUCCGGGUGAAGGUCCCCCGAAGACGAACUCUAUUGAGAAGAGCUGCUCGCCGUACUACAAAAAACGAAGUCCUGGUUAUGGAUCUCAGAGUAACAUCUCACCUUCGAAUUAAUGAAUGACUUACGGCUCGUUGGAGGGCUGGCCCAUUGGUGGGCAUGACGUGGUGAGGGUGCCCGUCGCGGCGGAGCCCCUUNNNNNNNNNNNNNNNNNNNNNNNNNNNNNNNNNNNNNNNNNNNNNNNNNNNNNNNNNNNNNNNNNNNNNNNNNNNNNNNNNNNNNNNNNNNNNNNNNNNNUUCAGAGCCCACCCACCACCCACUUCGUAGCCACCGUCGACGAUCUAACCGACGUGCUAAACUACGACUCCGAAGACAUCAACGGUAUGGACGACGAUGCCGGAGACGAUCAAAAACCAGCGCCUACAGGGCACUGGAAGGCCACCUCGUCACAUGACAUACAUAUGGUGGACACCCCAAAGGGAAGCGAUACCGAGGAACAACGGGACGCGGCAGAGGAUAAUCCCGCCGAUAAGCAACCAAAACGGCGACGUAGAAGCCGCCCUAAGUCCCGCCUCGAUCAAAGCAGCAUUCCUAAUGACCCAGCGAUAGAGCAGGGCAAACCAGCGGACGACGAACAUACAACCAAGCAACCAUCCGAACAGGACGACCCGGAUAAUCAACCCCUUCACGGAGCAAUCAACAGUCCGGGCACACCACCGGAGCAUAAGAACCUUCACAAAAGACUCGUCGCCACUGCAAGAAGUUUGAAGAAGGAAAAACGGAAGCGCAAAACAGCGGAAGACAUACUCAGAAUGAAGUGGAGCAAAAUACUCAAGACCGCAGACAAAUAUGGCAAUGGCCACCAAACAAAGAGCUACCCGAAGCGCAAGCUGCUGCCAGAAUUUGACGAGGAAGCCAUAGAGCCCUCACAGUCAAAAAAUAAAGAGGCCGCCUGGCCGGAUAGACGGCCAGAUGACAGGCCAAAAGCGACAAGUGGCGCCGCACACAAGCCGACUUAUGAUCCUGGGAAAACGGACGACCCAACUAGGUCCAUCUACGAGCCAAAAAAGAGGGCCCCAGGAAGUAACACAACACGACAAGUGUUCGAAGACAGCGGCACACCCAAAUACAGGGGCGCCGCACACCCGCUAUGUUUUACCGAUGAGGUGCUGGAUCAUGAAUUUCCAGCAGGGUUCAAACCCAUAAACAUAGAGGCAUACGAUGGCACAACAGACCCAGGAGUCUGGAUAGAAGAUUACAUACUACACAUACACAUGGCUAGAGGAGAUGAUCUCCACGCCAUAAAAUACCUACCCCUCAAGCUCAAAGGGCCAGCUCGGCAUUGGCUCAAAAGCCUCCCAGAAAACACUGUUGGAAGUUGGGAAGAGCUUGAGGACGCGUUUAGAGCAAAUUUUCAAGGGACUUAUGUCCGCCCUCCGGAUGCAGACGAUCUGAGUCAUAUAACCCAACAGCCCGGAGAGUCAACACGCAAAUUCUAGAACAGGUUCCUUACCAAAAAGAACCAAAUAGUCGACUGUCCGGACGCGGAAGCCUUAGCAGCUUUUAAACACAACGUCCGAGACGAAUGGCUCGCCAGACACCUCGGCCAAGAGAAGCCAAGAACAAUGGCCGCGCUAACAAGCCUCAUGACGCGCUUUUGCGCAGGAGAAGACAGCUGGCUAGCAAGAUACAGCACCAGCGACCCGAGUACAUCCGAGAUCAGAGAUGGAAACGGAAAAUCACGGCGCAGGAAAGAUCAGCGCCGGAAUAAAGAAAAACGCCCAAAGGGAACGGCGGUCAACGCCGGAUUCAAAAGCUCGCGGCCGAACAAUAAAACACUGCCUCUUAAGGACAACAGCGACGAGCUAUCAAAUUUAAACAAAAUUUUAGAUCGGAUAUGUCAAAUCCACAGUACCUCCGGAAGGCCUGUAAACCAUACCAACCAAAAUUGUUGGGUUUUUAAACAGUCCGGCAGACUCAACGCCGGACACAAGGGGCUCGAUGCGCCAAGCGAGGACGAUGACGAACCCCACCAGCAGAGCACCAGAAGUCAAAAGAGUUUCCCACAAGAAGUCAAAACAGUAAACUCACUUCAUGUGAUAGUACGGAAAACCAACACGGCACUCACUAAGACAAGUGUCGCACGGUCCACCCCAGCGGAACACUGAGAUUGGAUGUCAAAACCAAUCACUUUCGACCAUCUGGAUUAGUCCAGAAGUAUCCAGAACGCAGGAUAGACUCCCAUAAUAGACGGACUGCAAUUCACGCAGGUUUCGAUGGACGGCGGCAGUGACUUAAACCUGCUAUAUCCGGACACAAUCCGCAAAGUUGGGAUAGACCCUACUACAAUUCGGCAUAGCCGCACUUCCUUCAAAGGAGUGGCGCCAGGCCCUUACGCCAGGUGCACAGUUUCAUUAUUACUAGAAGUUGUGUUCGGGUCACCUGACAACUUCCAACGAGAAAAGCUAACCUUUCAUGUCGCCCCAUUUAAAAGUAGCUAUCAAGCAACACUGGGACGGGAAGCUUUCGUCCGCUUCAAUGCAAUACCACAUUACGUGUCUCUUACGCUUAAAAUGCCCGGUCAACGUGGCACCAUUUCAUUAAAAGGUCGCCUGAGACCCCGGACACGGCUGGACGAGUCCGGAAUAAAUAAGCUAGGGGCUACCUAGCCACACACCCCUUCACAAGGGUUUGUACAUAUAAGCCAUAAUGAGCUAGCAUAGGCUCAACUUUAUUAAUCUAUAUUUCAAUUUUUUAUGCACUUUCUCGCACGAUUUCUUUUCAAACUAAGUUCCUCUCUUUUUACAGAUGAACAGCGUGCACACCCGUCCAGGAUACAGCACAACAGAGACACAGGCGCAGACGUGCAGUAGGGACCCGUUGCAAGGACUCUUUUCAGACUAAGACCCUACGUAAACCUUUCUUACUGUCUCUUGUUGCUAUAAUCCCCUGGUUUCUCAUUAUAACCAGAGUGGAGACUGGUGUUUUGGCAUCGGCCGCGCCAGAAGAACUUGCCCGUACCUGGACACAAGGGGCUUAGGGCAUUGUUUUGCCCGCUAUUGUAAAGACCGAACACCUUCGGGAGUGUUCGGCGUCUCGAGUUAGGCCUUAUAUGCAUCAGCUCCGAAUCAUGUCUUUGGUCAAAUGUUGGGUUUGCCCGGCUCCUGUGUUUUGCUGCCUUACGUUCCGUAUCAUCGGCUAACGCGGCACCAGGAGAACUACUGCGAUUGUGCCCCAGUUCGGCUGGGCGAGCACCUCAGUAGAGAAAGCCGAAAACUGACUGUCAUGAUACAGCGAGAGACUGGUCAACCACUCGAUCGACCAUGGGAAUGUUUAGAAUUCCUCCGCUUUGACGAAGGGCCGUUUCUCGGUCAGGCACAUACGCGCCCCAAAUUUGGAGAGCGCGGUGCCCCCAGGGGCUAUGUCGUAGCCCCACCCUCAAACUCCAUGGCUAAGUGAAAGUGAUAAAGCAUUAUAGUCCGGUUGCCUCGUUUGCUAUGCUACCACCUCCUUUACAGGACCGAGACGUCGGAUUAAGUGUGAAAACACACUAUUUUUUGCGAACACCCCCGUACCUUGUGCGUGGGGGCUGAACCGACGACUGCCAUCUUUCAGGUUAUACACACGUAUACAUGAACGGCCGCAUAGGAGACAUUCUAUUACUUGAACGCACAAGUAUAAAAGGCGCUUACAUCAUAAAUAUUGUUUUACAUCAUAAAAACGUUCAUUCAAACGUAACAUUUUUUGAGCACUGCGACUCUAUUACACGAGCACCACGCAACACUUCGUCAAAAUAGUGCUCGGCGGGUAACCAGUUAUCGUCCGAACCCGGGGUCGCAACAGCGGUGGCAUCCAUCUCUGUCCAAUGUGUCUUCACACGGGCGAGUGCCAUCUGCGCACCCUCUAUGCAGGCCGACCGCUUCAUUGCCUUCAUAUGCGGCACCGCCCCAAGAAAUUGCUGCAAUAAGCCAAAGUAACUCUUCGGCUCGGGCCUAUCCGGCCAGACAUGGGUCACUAUAUCCGUCAUAGCAAGCCNNNNNNNNNNNNNNNNNNNNNNNNNNNNNNNNNNNNNNNNNNNNNNNNNNNNNNNNNNNNNNNNNNNNNNNNNNNNNNNNNNNNNNNNNNNNNNNNNNNNUGUCAGUCAUCAACACUCGCAGUUUUGCCCGAUUCUGGCCUGUUUCGUGGACUAUUACUCACUGUUUUGGGGUCCGAGAGUGAUUUCCAUGAUUAACAAACCCCGGGGUGCGUUUACAUGUUGGUCAUCAACACUCGCAGCUUCGGCCGAUUCUGGCCCGUUUCGUGGACUAUUACUGACUAUUUUGGGGUCCCGGGGUGAUUUCCACGAUUAACGAACCCCGGGUGCGUUUACGUGUAGGUCAUCAACACUCACGGUUUUUGUCGAUGCCGACCCGUUUCGUGGACUAUUACUCAACCUUUUGGGGCCCCAGAGUGAUUUCCAUGGUUGUUGAACCCCAAGGUGCGCUUACGUGUCGAUCAUCAACAAUCGCAGUUUGGGCCGAUUUUGGCCCGUUUCUUGCACUAUUACUUAGUUUUGGGGGUCCCGGAGUGAUUUCCACGAUUGACGAACUCCGGUGUGCGUUUACGUGUCGGUUAUCAAGACUCACAAGUUUGGCUGAUUCUGGUCCAUUUCAUGCACUUUUACUCACAGUUUUGGCGUCCCAGAGCAAUUUCCAGGAUUGCAAAUCCCCGGGGUGCGUUUACAUGUCCGUCGUCAACACUCAUAGUUCUGGCCAAUUCUGACGCGUUUCGUGGACUAUUGCUCACCAUUCAUGGGUCCCGAAGCGAUUUCCAUAGUUUUUGAACCCCAAGGUGCUUUUACGUGUCGGUCAUGAACACUCACAGUUUUGGCCGAUUCUAGCCCGUUUCGUGGACUAUUACUCAUAGUUUUGGGGUCCCGGUGUGAUUUCCAGGAUUAACGAACCCCGGGGUGCAUUUACGUGUCGGUCAUCAACACUCGCGGUUUUUGUCGAUUCUGACCCGUUUCAUGGAAUAUUACUCACCGUUUUGGGGUCCCAAAGUGAUUUCCAUGGUUGUUGAACCCCAAGGUGCGCUUAAGUUUAGGUCAUCAACAAUCACAGUUUGGGCUGAUUCUCGCCCGUUUCUUGGACUAUUACUUAGUUUUGGGGGUCCCGGAGUGAUUUCCACGAUUUACAAACCCUGGGGUGCGUUUACGUGUCAGUCAUCAACACUCGCAGUUUUGCCCGAUUCUGGCCUGUUUCGUGGACUAUUACUCACUGUUUUGGGGUCCNNNNNNNNNNGGUUGUUGAACCCCAAGGUGCGCUUAAGUUUAGGUCAUCAACAAUCACAGUUUGGGCUGAUUCUCGCCCGUUUCUUGGACUAUUACUUAGUUUUGGGGGUCCCGGAGUGAUUUCCACGAUUUACAAACCCUGGGGUGCGUUUACGUGUCGGUUAUCAACACUCACAGUUUUGGCCAAUUCUGACACAUUUUGUGGACUUUUACUCACUGUUUUGGGGUCCCGAAGUGAUUUCCAUAGUUGUUGAACCCCAAGGUGCGUUUACGUGUCGGUCAUCAACACUCAUAGUUUUGGCCGAUUCUGGCCAAUUUCAUGGACUAUUACCCACUGUUUUGGGAUCCCUAAGUGGUUUCCACGGUUAACGAACCGUGAGGUGCGUUUACAUGUCAGUCAUCAAUACUCACAAUUUUGCCCUAUUCUGGCCCGUUUCGUGGACCCCGGGGUGCGUUUACAUGUCGGUCAUCAACACUCGCAGCUUCGGCCGAUUCUGGCCCGUUUCGUGGACUAUUACUCACUAUUUUCGGGUCCCAGGGUGAUUUCCACGAUUAACGAACCCCGGGUGCGUUUACGUGUAGGUCAUCAAAACUCGUGGUUUUUGUCGAUGCCGACCCGUUUCGUGGACUAUUACUCAACCUUUUGGGGCCCCAGAGUGAUUUCCAUGGUUGUUGAACCCCAAGGUGCGCUUACGUGUCGAUCAUCAACAAUCGCAGUUUGGGCCGAUUUUGGCCCGUUUCUUGCACUAUUACUUAGUUUUGGGGGUCCCGGAGUGAUUUCCACGAUUGACGAACUCCGGGGUGCGUUUACGUGUCGGUUAUCAAGACUCACAAGUUUGGCUGAUUCUGGUCCAUUUCAUGCACUUUUACUCACAGUUUUGGCGUCCCAGAGCAAUUUCCAGGAUUGCAAAUCCCCGGGGUGCGUUUACGUGUUCGUCGUCAACACUCAUAGUUCUGGCCAAUUCUGACGCGUUUCGUGGACUAUUGCUCACCAUUCAUGGGUCCCGAAGCGAUUUCCAUAGUUUUUGAACCCCAAGGUGCUUUUACGUGUCGGUAAUGAACACUCACAAUUUUGGCCAAUUCUAGCCCGUUUCGUGGACUAUUACUCACAGUUUUGGGGUCCCGGUGUGAUUUCCAGGAUUAACGAACCCCAGGGUGCAUUUACGUGUCGGUCAUCAACACUCGCGGUUUUUGUCGAUUCUGACCCGUUUCAUGGAAUAUUACUCACCGUUUUGGGGUCCCAAAGUGAUUUCCAUGGUUGUUGAACCCCAAGGUGCGCUUAAGUUUAGGUCAUCAACAAUCACAGUUUGGGCAGAUUCUCGCCCGUUUCUUGGACUAUUACUUAGUUUUGGGGGUCCCGGAGUGAUUUCCACGAUUUACGAACCCUGGGGUGCGUUUACGUGUCGGUUAUCAACACUCACAGUUUUGGCCAAUUCUGACACAUUUUGUGGACUUUUACUCACUGUUUUGGAGUCCCGAAGUGAUUUCCAUAGUUGUUGAACCCCAAGGUGCGUUUACGUGUCGGUCAUCAACACUCAUAGUUUUGGCCGAUUGUGGCCAAUUUCGAGAACUAUUACCCACUGUUUUGGGAUCCCUAAGUGGUUUCCACGGUUAACGAACCGCGAGGUGCGUUUACAUGUCAGUCAUCAAUACUCACAGUUUUGCCCUAUUCUGGCCCGUUUCGUGGACCCCGGGGUGCGUUUACAUGUCGGUCAUCAACACUCGCAGCUUCGGCCGAUUCUGGCCCGUUUCGUGGACUAUUACUCACUAUUUUCGGGUGCCGGGGUGAUUUCCACGAUUAAUGAACCCCGGUGCAUUUACGUGUAGGUCAUCAACACUCACGGAUUUUGUCGAUGCUGAACCAUUUCGUGGACUAUUACUCAACCUUUUGGGGCCCCAGAGCGAUUUCCAUGGUUAUUGAACCCCAAGGUGCACUUACGUGUCGAUCAUCAACAAUCGCAGUUUGGGCCGAUUUUGGCCCGUUUCUUGCACUGUUACUUAGUUUUGGGGGUCCCGGAGUGAUUUCCACAAUUGACGAACUCCGGGGUGCGUUUACGUGUCAGUCAUGAACACUCACAAUUUUGGUCGAUUAUGGUCCGUUUCGGUUACUUUUAGUCACAGUUUUGGCGUCCCAGAGCAAUUUCCAGGAUUGCAAAUCCCCGGGGUGCGUUUACAUGUCCGUCAUCAACACUCACAAUUUUGGCCAACUCUGACGCGUUUCGUGGACUAUUACUCACCGUUCAUGGGUCCCGAAGCGAUUUCCAUAGUUAUUGAACCCCAAGGUGCAUUUACGUGUCGGUCAUGAACACUCACAGUUAUAGCCGAUUCUGGCCCGUUUCGUGGACUAUUACUCACUGCUUUGGAGUCCCGGUGUGAUUUCCAGGAUUAACGAACCCUGGGGUGCAUUUACAUGUCGGUCAUCAACACUCGCUGUUUUUGUCGAUUCUGACCCGUUUCGUGCACUAUUACUCACCGUUUUGGGGUCCCAGAGCGAUUUCCAUGGUUGUUGAACCCCAGGGUGCACAUACGUGUCGGUCAUCAACAAUCACAGUUUUGGCCGAUUCUGGCCCGUUUCGUGGACUAUUACUCACUGUUUUGGGGCCCNNNNNNNNNNNNNNNNNNNNNNNNNNNNNNNNNNNNNNNNNNNNNNNNNNNNNNNNNNNNNNNNNNNNNNNNNNNNNNNNNNNNNNNNNNNNNNNNNNNNCGCGGGGGCCCCUCCUGGGCCUCCCGGGCCGGCGGCGGCGAAGUGGGCGCGCGUCCACAUGGCGGCGCGUGAGUGGGUGCGGCGGCGGGGCGGACAACGUCCGGCGCGGGCGGACACGUCCGGCCCGGCGCGGGGAAGAGGGAUCUGUUUUUUUUAACUAGGGUUUCGGACGGGGGAAGAAGAGAUCCGAAUGGAGGGGGUAUAAAUAGGCAUAGAGGGAGCUAGGAGAGUCCAAAUGAGGUGUGGUUUUCGCCCACACGAUCGUGAUCGAACGCUCUAGGACAAGGAGCAGAGUUUGGUGGGUUUUGGGCCAAAUUUGGGGGGUGUUGGGCUGCAACACACACGAGGCCUUUUCGGUCCCUCGGUUAACCGUUGGAGUAUCAAACGAAGUCCAAAUGAUACGAAACUUGACAAGCGGUCUACCGGUAGUAAACCAAGGCCACUUGGCAAGUCUCGGACCAAUCCGGAAAUGUUUAAACCCCACACACGAAAGAAGACUAGAAAUGACCACCGGAGGAGAACGAAGCGCCGGAAUGCAAAACGGACAACGGGGAAAAUGCUCGAAUGCAUGAGAUGAACAUGUAUGCAAAUGCAAUGCACGUGAUGACAUGAUAAGAGAUGCACGAAAAAGAAAAACAACACACGGAGACAAAGACCCAACCCGAGAAAUAAAUAUAACUUAGCGCCGGAGACGGCAAGAGUUGGAUACAAAUAUGGAAAGUAUCUCUGGGGCGUUACAACACUCCACCACUACGAAAAGAUCUCGUCCCGAGAUCUAGGACUGAAAGAACUCCGGGUACUCAGAACGGAGGUGAUCCUCGCGUUCCCAGGUAGCUUCACGGUCGGAAUGGUGUGACCACUUGACUUUGAGAAAUUUGAUUGACUUGUUGCGAGUCUUGCGUUCAGUCUCUUCAAGAAUAGCAACUGGGUGCUCACGAUAAGAGAGAUCUUCUUGGAGCUCAAUGUCCUCGAAGUUGACGGUGCGGUCAGGAGUCUUGAAGCACUUUCGAAGCUGAGAGACAUGAAACACAUCAUGAACAUUUGCAAAGUUUGAAGGAAGCUCGAGUUGAUAGGCGAGGUCGCCUCUCUUGCUGACAAUCCUGAAAGGUCCCACGUAUCUAGGGGCAAGCUUCCCUUUGAUACCGAAGCGACGAGUACCUUUCAUAGGAGAGACGCGGAGGUAAACAUGAUCUCCGAUCUCGAAAGCCAGAUCACGGUGCUUACUAUCAUAGUAGCUCUUCUGGCGGGACUGGGCUGCUUUGAGGUUAUCACGAAUGACUUUGCACAUUUCUUCUGCUUCUGUGAUUAAGUCAUUACCCAGCAGCUGACGUUCACCGGUUUCAGACCAGUUGAGAGGGGUACGGCACUUCCUGCCAUACAGAAUUUCAAAGGGGGCCUUGCCCGAACUUGCUUGAAAGCUGUUGUUGUACGAGAAUUCAGCAUAAGGAAGACAAUCCUCCCACUUCAUGCCGAAGGAGAUCACACAAGCCCUGAGCAUAUCUUCAAGAAUUUGGUUGACACGCUCGACUUGACCGCUCGUUUGAGGAUGGAAAGCUGUGCUGAAGCGGAUGUUGGUGCCCAUGGCUUUCUGAAAAGAAUCCCAAAACUUGGAGGUAAAGAUGCUGCCACGGUCUGAAGAUAUCACUUGAGGAAUACCGUGCAGAGAGACAAUGCGAGAGGUAUAGAGUUCCGCCAAUUGAGCUGCAGUGAUUGACUCUUUGAUAGGCAGAAAAUGAGCCACUUUGGUGAGCUUGUCGAUGACAAGAAAUAUAGCAUCAUUGCCACGCUUGGACUUUGGAAACCCAGUCACGAAUUCCAUUUCAAUGUGGUCAAACUUCCAUUCUGGAAUGGCAAGAGGUUGGAGGAGACCAGCUGGCCUCUGGUGUUCUGCCUUCACUCUUCUGCAGACAUCACAUUCAUUCACGAAUUGAGCGAUCUCGCGCUUCAUUCGAGUCCACCAAUAAGCUUGCUUGAGGUCCUGAUACAUCUUCGUACUACCAGGGUGGAUGGAGAGGAGAGAGUUGUGAGCCUCGUUCAUGAUCACCUUACGGAGUUCACCUUUGGGCACAACAAUUCGAUCCUCGAAGAAGAGAGUGUCCUUGUCAUCAAGUCGGAAGCACUUGUACUUGAACUGACUCUUUGCAAUACCAAUCUUCACCUUCUUCACCAUAGCAUCAAGAAGUUGGGCUUGGCGAAUCUGGUCUUCUAAGGUAGGAGAGACUUGAAGGUUGGCGAGGAAACCUUGAGGAACAACUUGCAGAUUAAGUUUGCGGAAAGCUUCACAAAGCUCGGGUUGAUAAGGCUUGAGAAUCAGACUGUUGCAAUAUGCUUUUCUGCUCAAAGCGUCAGCAAUCACAUUAGCCUUGCCUGGAGUAUACUCGAUACUCGGAUUGUACUCUUGAAUCAUUUCGACCCAUCGAGUCUGCCUGAGGUUGAGAUUAGGCUGAGUGAAGAUGUACUUGAGACUCUUGUGAUCAGUGAAAAUAUCCACUUUCCUUCCCAAUAGAAGAUGUCUCCAAGUCAACAAAGCGUGCACAACUGCCGCCAACUCGAGAUCAUGAGUGGGGUAGUUCUUCUCAUUAGGUUUCAACUGGCGAGAGGUAUAAGCAACAACUUUCUUCUCUUGCAUGAGUACAACACCGAGACCUUGGAGAGAGGCAUCACAAAAGACCUCGUACGGCUUGGUUUCAUCAGGCGGAGUCAGAACUGGAGCAGUGAUCAAUUUCUCUUUCAAAGUGUUGAAAGCAAUAUCACACUCCGGAGACCAAACGUACUUGAUGUGCUUCUGAAGAAGAUUUGAGAGAGGCUUGGCGAUCUUAGAAAAGUUUUCAACGAAUCUUCUGCAAUAGCUUGCGAGACCGAGAAAACUGCGGAGUUGCUUCACGUUCUGAGGAGGUUCCCAAUUCACAAUUGCGGACACCUUCUCAGGAUUCACGGAAAUGCCCUUGGCAGAGAUGAUAUGACCAAGAUAAAGAACCUCAUCGAGCCAAAAUUCACACUUGGAGAACUUGGCGUAGAACUUAUGUUCUCUGAGCUUGUCAAGAACCAAACGCAAGUGCUUGGCAUGAUCUUCCUUGUUCUUCGAGAAAACCAGAAUGUCAUCGAGAUAGACCAAAACAAAUUCAUUGGUGUAGGGGUUGAAGAUGAAGUUCAUCAUGCGAGAGAACGUCGGAGGAGCGUUGGCGAGGCCAAAAGACAUGACGGUGUAUUCAUAUGAACCAAAGCUUGUUCUGAACGCCGUCUUGGGAAUAUCUUGCUCAUGAAUACGAAUCUGAUGAUAACCCAUACGGAGAUCAAGCUUGGAGAAUACUUGAGCACCUUUGAGUUGUUCGAACAGCUCAUUGAUGUUGGGAAGUGGGUAUUUGUUCUUGAUGGUCUUCUUGUUUACUGGACGGUAAUCAACACAAAGUCGAUUCGAUCCAUCCUUCUUCUUCACAAAAAGAACACCACAACCCCACGGAGAAGUACUAGGCCGAAUGAGACCCAAUCUUUCUUGCUCAUCGAGUUGUUUCUUCAGCUCCUUCAACUCUUCGGGGCCGAGCUUGUAGGGACGUUUGCACACAGGUUCCGUACCGGGCUCAAGUUCAAUAACGAAUUCAACCGGCCGGUUUGGAGGCAUCCCUGGAAGUUCUUCUGGAAAGACGUCUUGAUACUCACAAACAACCGGAAUCUGCGAAAUAGCAUCCAAUUCACCCUUCUCAUUGAGAGAAAACAACCGGAUGGAAUUAUCCCGAGCGGNNNNNNNNNNNNNNNNNNNNNNNNNNNNNNNNNNNNNNNNNNNNNNNNNNNNNNNNNNNNNNNNNNNNNNNNNNNNNNNNNNNNNNNNNNNNNNNNNNNNUUUUCUGGACGCCCAAAUGAAGUAAAUACAUAAAUUAUCUCGAGGAGCUGUUGACCCAGAUUUAUAUGAGUUCAUAAUAAAUCAUCAACAUUAAAACAUAGGCAUUUACAUGUCAUGGCCACAUAGUCUUUAGUUGUUCUCAAUAAAGUUAUUUUUCCGGAUCAGGAAGAAGAUGCCAUGCUUGAUGUCCCUUAAGACCGUCAUGUUGAACGUGGUACGGAGGAACAUGGCAACCAGCUUAAACAUCAUUUUAACCCAAAAAUUGAUACUAUGGAGAAAUGAGAACAAUUGGGAUGCAUAUGCGAUACUUUUAUUGUCUGAUGUCAGUGCAAUAGUUAAUCUGCCGCUGUGGUGUGUGUUUUAUUACUAGGUACCGACAGACUGAAAUACAAUGUUGUACUGAAGUCGUCGGACAAUAAACAUGGUGUAUACAACAAUGCUCUUACUUCAAUAUCAUUUUUUUCACUUUCUACUUCAAAGAAAAGCAUGAUUCUGAUACUAUGUCCAGCGUAAUUAAAUUUAUUUAUACGUAGCUACCUAUGCUCUAUUUAUGAUGCAAAAAUUAUAUCAGUUUUUAGUCAACAACAGAUUCAUACAUUAUACGAAACUCACAUGUAGGCAAGCAAUUUGGAUGUCAAUCUCGAGUCACGGAAGCUAAGAAACAAAGAAGGGAAAAAGAUAGAGAGCAGUAUGCACGGGCCAAUGAAGAACUAAAAAAGCGUCAUGAAGCGUAUUAACUAAAAAAAUACAUAAAUGGCAGGAAGAAAUAUGCAAAUAUGAAGCCACCACAGAAGGUAAAAAGGUGUGACUAGAAAAUGCAGAAAUACACAAAUAUGCAACCAGAACAAAAGAAAACUUACCUGUAAUUUUUUUCAAAGAAAAGCUGGAAUAGAGCAAAUUACAACUAACUCUGGGCGCAACACACUAAGCAAAGAUUCAGUUGCGAUGGAUCGCGUCAAGACACAAGUUAGUACAUUGGUCCAUACGACAAGGUCUUUACAGUAGCACACACUCAACAUGCCUGGACGCAGGGCGAAGUAUGCGACAUUUUUAUUAUGUUAUAUCAGUAACUCAACACAAGAGUUGUGUGUAUGAUAUUUUUAUUAUCAAUAUGAUGGUUAAUUAACUGAUGAGAUAUGUGUUGUCACUAUAUAUUAACGGUCCAAUCUACACCAUCAUAUUGAAGUCAGACAAAAUAAUAAUAUCAUGUGUGCUCUUACCCAAAAAUCCUUUGAAUUAGUAACUGAACUCUUAAAGAAUGUGCUUCAAAGUCGAGAAAAACACACUCAGUGGAAGUCCUCUGUGCACCCCUCUCUUUCUAACCACUGUCUGUCCAAUCUGUAGCACGGAUUGGCUUCGUGGGUUCACCGUCACAAUACGUUUUCUUUCCGUGAAUUUACGCUUUCAGUUUUUUUCACCUAUAUUAUUUUCUACAUCCGAGGUGGUACUAUUCAUGUGAUCGUGUGACCCGUCACGCACGACGUUAGUUCUGGUCACGUGGUACUACUCAAACACGUAGACGCUAGCUAGGAAACAAGACACGCGACGCCCAAACCGAAUCAAACUCAAACACCAACUUGCGACGUCUACGUACACAAGCACAAUUCCUGCUUCACGUAGCCAACCUGGAUCUCUCGCCGUUUUAAAUAAGAUCGAGCCAUCAUGGGCAGCCACGCAAGAGAUCACCGAUCGGGGCAUCAUCAGAAGCCACCACAGCCAAGAACAAUUAAGCAAGGAUCGAUGGCGGGACACGAGCAGGAGAAGCAGCAGGACGAUGAUGCCUCAGCACAGAGGUCGCCGUUGCCACACAAAGUCGUCAUGGAAAUCCUUGCCUACCCGCCGGCCAAGUCCGCGGGGUGCUUCUGCUGCGUCUCACGUUCGUGGCAGGCCACGCUCUCGUCGCCGUGCUUCUUCGAGCUCCACCUCCGGCGGGCAAACCACAGUCCAUCGCCGCCGGCCGGCCAAAGCUCUUCUUCAGUCCCACGGACGAGCCCUCGAACGACUACUUUUUUUACGCCUGGCAGCCCAGCGGCACGGCCCACCAAGCCCCCGCGUCCUCCUCCCCACCAACCCUAGCCAUGCCCUCGCCGCCACCUCUCCUUCCCCCGUUCGUCCUCUCCCGCCGCCGCCACCACCCCUAUCUCUCCUCCUUUCUCCUCGACGCCAUCAACGCGAGUGGGCACUCGCUGGAUCUGGUGGUCAGUGCGGGAUGCAACAGCGCAUCUGGCCGGAGGAGAACGCGGCGGCUGCAUCUCCUGGCAAUGGUAGUGGGGGCGGGUGGAUGAGGAGGCGACAUCUCGGGAGGUAGGCAAGAGGAACCAGGCGGUUCUCCUUCCAUGGCGGUACCCCGACCUGUCGGAUCUUCAUCGUCAUCAGCCCGGCGGACAGGUGUGGUGGAUCUGCCUCCUCCUCUCUCUUUCAACCCCGGUAGUGCUCUUUCAUGUACGCCGCCCUCUCCAUGACAACGGCAGCGCCAGGCCGUCAAAUCCGUCACUGUCGCCGUUCUUCUGCUCGAGGCCUUCGUCGUCCAUGUGCUUCUCCUAAAUUUCCUCUUCUGUUGACUGGUUUUAGUUUACUGUUUGUAUUAACUUUUCAGCCCAUGGCAAUUCAGUUCCAAUGACAGGAAUUUACUUUGUAUGAUCUCCUGUUUUUAUUAGCUACAAAGAUCAUUCUACCUUUCCGUCAGUGUAUACCUCCUUUGAUUCUGCAUCCGCUUGCUUUUUUUAUAAAAAGUAUGUUGCAUGUUUGCUUACAGUACAAGACAUACUUUCCUAACUUUUCUGUGUGAUAUAUCUAAAUUCUUUUGUAAUGCUAAUUUUACUAUGUUGUUAAUCUGCAGUAAGGUGUUCUAUUUUUCAACGUGCUGCAGCUACCACUUUGCCACUGCCCUGACUCCUUCCUGCAGACCAUGGAUCUGUCGUCGAUGCAGAGCGUCAACAGGGUGAAGGUUUGCCACCCUAGCAGACUCGUGUGUUGUUGCCGCCGCAAUCCUUCUCUUUGUUGGAGUCUUCCUCCUCUGGUACGUCCUCUCUCGCGACCCUCGUAGGUUCGUGGUUUCACUCCUGCAGUGGUGGAUUCCUCGUUGAUAUGUUAAUGCGGUUUGCUUGGUCUUCUUUCUUGUAGGAGAGAAAAAAAUUGGUCUCUUUGACACGCUUGGGAUCGACGGAUCGUUCAUGCCAUGGUUGGAUUUGAAUGGGGCAGUGUCUAUCCAAAAUUUGUUUGGUUGACUGGACAAUUUGUUUGUUUGGUUGUCUUAAUGUAACCCGAUUCGCAUAAUUUUGAAAACAUCAGCAAAGAUUUCAGUGGCUGGGAGUGUUUGCCAGAGUGGAAACGAAGCAUUUGCUGGAAGGAGCUCAAGAUUUCGCUAUUACCCUGCUGAUAGUUUUGUGAGGUAAUUUAGCUACACAUUUGCAUGUUUCUUUUCUGCUGUAGCAAUGCCUAUUUCAAUUUAGAAAGUAGAUAUAUGAAGUGUGAUUUAAGUGUCUAAUAGCGGAUGUUGUUAGCAGUCUAAUUUCUCCCAAGCAGCUGCUUUCAAUGGAGACUUGACAGGUCUGGUUUUACUUCACGAAGCCAUUUUCUGAAUUUUCCGAAGUUGGUUGCAGAGAGAUGGUUCCAUAGUUUCAUCAGAGCAAACUGGUUCCAUAGAGGUUUCAUUAGAGCUAACUUUGUGUUUUGUAUCGUCUUACCUCUCGCAGUUUGUAUGUUCUACAGCAUCCACAGUCAUACCCGCCGCCCCCNNNNNNNNNNNNNNNNNNNNNNNNNNNNNNNNNNNNNNNNNNNNNNNNNNNNNNNNNNNNNNNNNNNNNNNNNNNNNNNNNNNNNNNNNNNNNNNNNNNNGCAAAUGCUUCUUUGCAAAAGUCUUUUGGUCAACUUGAUAACGACAUUCCAGAUGCAGGAAUUGAAGUGGAGAUUGAACUAAGUGAUCUCCUAUUGGAUAUGUGCCCGAUAAAACAGGUAUAUUUUGUCACGUUCAAACUUUUUAGUACUCAUGCAUUUUCCUUUUUUUGGUGUGUGUGUGUGGGGGGGGGGGGUGUGAAUUUGCAUGCACAUGCAUUUUAUUCUGCUAGUCAGUAUAUUUUUAUGGUUUUUUUCUCCUGAGGCAUGCACUAACAGGUUCCAGUUGUUGAUGUUAGAGAAGAAGAUGUACACCACAUUUCUAGUUUGAUCAUGUCUUCAAAGCUGAUAAUGUUCUAGACUUUUGGCUGAUAUGCCUUAUCUUCGAAAGCUGACAAUGUUACCAGAUUCGCAGUCUGCUCAAUUCGCAAUUUGUGAUCCAUCACUUUCUACGAAUUGGAUUCGGAUUCGAGGGGGGUAUACAUCUCUGGUUCGCGAAUCUGAUAACCGAUUCAUGAAUCAGAUUACUCUGAUUCAGUAGCUCCCCAUUUGGUAGUCUGAUUAGUUACGCUUAACAAGUUCUAAAAGUGAUGAGACAUUUUCUCUUAAAUAGAAAACCAAAAUUGCUGCUAAUCUAGAAAGCCCACUUCGGUCCAAUAGCCACUUCACAUGGCCUUCCUUUCUAGGCAUUGCCUCUUGUAGAAUGUGGAGAAGGAGCGUACCAGCCGCGAGCAUGUCCUGGAGUGAGGGUCAGAUAAAUGAGAGAAAGGGAUUCUGGAUUUGAAUGAAUGAGAGAUGGAAUAGAAUAGAACAAGAGAAAAGAGAGGACAAAGAUGCAUGCAGUGUUUUGUUUUUAACUGGUUGUACAGACCCACGUGUCUUGUCUGAUACGGAGUAUUAUAUAAUGAAGAUGUACUCUUCUCUCUCAAUUACAUGCGGGGUCAAGAUUGUAUGAACCUACACGCCAUUGCCUUCUCAUCAUUCGUGCUGAUGUACACUGGUUCUAUAUAUUUUAAUACUGAAAGAUAGUCGGAGAUGACCAAUUUCACACGUUAAUUUGAUUUGAUGUUUACCUUCUCUACUCUGUUCCGAAGAUCUCUGCAUAUAUCUCUAAGCACCUGUGUGGCUGAGGAGCUCAAGCACAUGCACACAAUACAGUCUCAUAUAAGAUACAUACUUACACAUAAUAUUUACUGUGGAAGGGACAAGUUGAACUUUUUUAUUUCAAGAGGCGUUAUUAUAGUCUUGAAAUGUGAGAGACUGGGCAGUGUAUGAUUAUAAUAUUUUCAUGCUAAUUGUUAACUGUUCUUCUUGGUAUGCAGGAAAACUUGAUCCAUGAUGACCAGAAAUUGAUAUUGCUGGCAUCUCUUAGCGACUCCUUGGAAUAUUUAGCAGAUUCAGUUGAAAGGUAAACCUAUUGUUUCACUCGUUUAGCUACCUUGUUGAACUACAGUACCAUUCCACUGAUAUCCACUAGAGGGGCAAAUAGGGUAGAUUCAGUUAGUGCACUAGAACAUUGUGCGACUAUGAAGCAUCAACACAUUCCAGCUAUAGUAUACAUCUGAUUCCAGUCACACCCUAUUAAAGAAUACUUCCUUCGUCCCACAAUAUAAGUUGUUUUUGCAAGCUACAUUGUGGGACGGAGGGAGUAGUUAGCAAUCAUAUAAUACUUAAUCCUUUUUGCUGAUCUUCUUGGUUGUAUCAUCGCUUAUGAUCUGUCAUCGCGAGAAUUCCUGUGCUGCAUGCUUAUGGUUUUGCCUCCUUUGAACUUUCAGGCUUGGUGAGUCAUUUAUAAGUCCAUCCACCAUCUCAGAAAACAAAAGUGACAUACACCAAAGUCACCAUACUCGCACAUCUAGUGCAAUUCCGAAAAGCCUUGCAUCUCUUGCUAAUGAGUACAGAAGGCUAGCAACCGAUUGUGUUAGAGUCUUGAGAUUGGAAAUGCAGUUGGAGACAAUAUAUCACAUGCAGGUAAUAGUACUCAAGUUUCUGAUGGUAUUACUCUGUUGUUAUUGAUGGAUUUAUCGCAUGUCAAUAAUUUUCUUGCAAACAUUCAGGACAUGACAAAAAGAGAAUAUGUAGAAGAUCAAGACGCUGAAGAUCCUGAUGACUUCAUCAUCUCUCUUACAACUCAGGUAGGCCAGCCCACGUUAGUAUGAGUACAACUUUAGUGUUCUUUAGAGCCAACCUAUGAUUGUUUUUAUUGUAGAAUCUUAUUACAUAGGGGGGUAUUUACUGACUUAAGUAAAACAAUCUAAAGAUGAUGCUUUCAACUAACCGUUAUAUCCACAAAUGGAAAUUAGUAAGCACUUGCGAGAAGUUACCACAAUGCCAAACUGUAUAUAAAAAAGUAAAUUGCACUAGGAACCCGUGAUCAGUUUAGCCCUGCAACUUGCAAAAAGCUAAAUUCAACACCGUAAACAUGACACGGGUACGUCCAAAUUUGCCAACAGGCAAGCCAUAGGAAUGCAUAUUGUUUAUUUGUUUUUUGCCUGUAGUUAGAUCGGCAGAUAAUACGUUCUUCAAAAAUAGAACCCUAGUAUUGACAGGAAUUUGCGCUCAAAUAGUCAUUAUCGGUUGGGUGCUGAGUAGGGAUUAAUCGGUGAAUCGGCCAUUUAACUGAAUUUAUCGGUAACCCAUUUAUCUAGAGGUUAACCAGGGCCAUAUCUGCAUAUCCUAGGCUAUAUAGCAACAUGCAAUGUACUAAGGUCCCCUUUGUUUGGGCUACAGAUUCCCUAGAAUCCCCUGGCUCUAUAUUCCUGAGAAUCAGCUGUCGCUCUGGAUUCCUGAGAAUCAGAAUCUGGCUGUUUGUUUACCCAGUUAUUGGUCAGAUGUAGGAGCUAUGGAUGUUGUGAAAUGUCAGUAACGUUCUGGAGUGCUGACGGUGAUGUUUAUAUGCAGAUUAAAGCACAUGUCAUGUGUUUUGACUCGAUAAAGUGAGAUUUAGCCAAAAAAAAUACGGAUUAUUUUUUCUAGAAUUGUCAUGAUGGUAGGAAUAUACCAUCCGAUAUAUGAAAAUGACACAUAACAUCCAAAAUAAGCAACAUCCAUCAUAGUCUUAUAUACGAAAUAUAUCAUCCAAAAUAUGGACCAACCAUCAUAGGCUUGCAUACGUACACAUACCAUCAAAAAUACACACUUACCAUCAUAGUCUUGUCAACUAAUAUGUGAAACUAUACUUGAUCUGCGAGCAAUCCAUUAGCAAUCGCCUCGCGAGUUGCUUGCAUGGUCGCAUCAUCACCAACCACAAUGUUGGAAGCAUGGCCUAUGGGUUGGGGAUGUAUGGGUAACUUGGCAUUUUCAGUAAAAUAUGCUAUUUCAUCUUGAACACACCAAAUGCACGCUCAAUGACUUUGCGUAGAGAUGAAUAUGCAAAGUUAAAUUCCGACACAUGGUACUAUUGCCCUUUGUAUGUAGCUAAACAUCCAUCACAAUUGGGAUAGCUGAUGUGGAGUGGAACUCCUAAGGCCGAUCUUUCACGAUUUUGAGGGGGAUCCCAAGAACACGAAGAACACGAGAGGGAAAACACUCAAAUAGACAAAACUCAAUCACAUAUGUGCUAGAUCCACAUACACAAAGGGGAGAUACAAGAUCCAAAGUCAACACAAGAGGGUACAAAGGGUAGCUAGUUCAUCCCAAUCCUUGAAGGAGAGAGGUCUUGAAUCCUUGGAGGAUCUUCCCACAAGGGGGUCUUGAAUCCACUUGGGAGAUCUUCUCACAUGGAGGCCUUGAUCUCCAUGNNNNNNNNNNNNNNNNNNNNNNNNNNNNNNNNNNNNNNNNNNNNNNNNNNNNNNNNNNNNNNNNNNNNNNNNNNNNNNNNNNNNNNNNNNNNNNNNNNNNAAACGCUUAACUCCUCGAAGCGGGGAUACUCUGAGAUAUACUCUGUCUCCAACUUCAUACUCAAUCGCUUUGCGCUUUGAAUCGGCAUAGCUCUUCUGUCUGGACUGGGCUACCUUGAGCCUGUCUCGAAUCAACUUAACCUUCUGUUCAGACUCCUUAAUCAAAUCUGGUCCAAAGAAUUGACGGUCUCCAACUUCGUUCCAUGAUAACGGUGUCCUGCACCUCCUUCCGUAUAAAGCUUCGAAAGGGGCCAUCUUCAAACUGGUUUGGUAACUAUUGUUAUAAGAAAACUCCGCAUACGGCAAGUUUUCGUCCCAGCUUGAUCCAUAAUCUAGUGCACAAGCUCUCAGCAUAUCUUCCAAAAUCUGAUUGACUCUUUCAGUCUGUCCAUCGGUCUGUGGGUGGAAAGCUGUACUGAAUUCCAAUCUAGUUCCCAAUGUCUCGUGCAACUGGUUCCAAAAUUUCGAGGUAAACUGGGUUCCUUUAUCUGAUACGAUGCUCCUCGGAACUCCGUGUAAACACACAAUUCUGGUCAUGUAUAUCUUUGCCAACUUAGCACUGCUAUAGGUAGUCUUGACUGGAAUGAAAUGAGCUACCUUGGUUAAACGGUCGACUAUAACCCAAAUCGAGUCAUAUCCUGAACGGGUCUUUGGCAAACCUGUGAUGAAAUCCAUGCCUAGUUUAUCCCACUUCCAUUCGGGUAUCGGCAACGGUUGUAACAAUCCUGCUGGCUUCUGAUGUUCUGCCUUUACCCUCUGACAUACAUCACAAAUAGCUACAUACUCCGCAAUAUCCUUCUUCAUUCCGGUCCACCAGAAAAUGUUCUUCAAAUCCAAAUACAUCUUGGUAUUUCCUGGGUGAAUCGAAUAGGGUGAAUCAUGGGCUUCUUGUAAAAUCAACUUCCUGAUUUCUGGGUUAUUGGGCACAUAAACACAGUCUUUAAACCAUAGGGUAUCGUGUUCAUCCUCACGAAAUCCUUUAGCCUUUCCUUUGCCCAUUCUCUCCUUUAUAGAGGCAACUUCCUUAUCUGCCUUUUGGGCUUCUCUGAUUUUGUCCAUCAGUGUCGACUGAAUCUCCAAUGUUGCUACAUAGCCUCUCGGAACUAUUUCCAAACAUAGCUCUCGAAGGUCCUCGGCUAACUCAUUGGGUAUUCCUCCCAUCAUUAGGGUAUUGACGUGGCUCUUACGGCUCAAUGCGUCUGCUACGACAUUAGCCUUUCCGGGGUGAUAAUGCAAUCUCAUAUCAUAAUCCUUGAUAAGUUCUAACCAUCUCCUUUGUCUGAGAUUCAAUUCCUUCUGUGUGAAGAUGUACUUCAAACUCUUGUGAUCCGUAUAUACUUCACAAUGGUUUCCAAUGAGAAAAUGUCUCCACGUCUUCAGGGCAUGCACAACGGCUGCUAACUCCAAAUCAUGAGUGGCAUAAUUCAACUCAUGGGGCUUAAGUUGUCGUGAAGCAUACGAAACAACUCUUCCUUCCUGCAUAAGCACUGCUCCAAGUCCUCGACGUGAAGCAUCGCAAUACACCUCAUAAUCCUUAGUCUGAUCUGGCAAUAUCAAAACUAGUGAGGUAACCAAUCUUUUCUUCAACUCCUGAAAACUUGCCUCACAGUCCUCGGUCCAUAUGAAUUUGUUAUCCUUCUUCAACAAUUCAGUCAUAGGCUUAGCAAUCCUUGAGAAAUUCUCAAUGAAUCUUCGGUAGUAUCCUGCGAGUCCAAGAAAACUCCGAAUCUCUCCAACUGUCGUUGGUGCUUCCCAAUUAGUUACGGUCUCAACCUUUGUGGGGUCAACUGCUAUUCCUUCUCCGGAUAUAACAUGUCCAAGAAAUCCAACUUCCUUUAGCCAAAACUCACAUUUGCUGAACUUGGCGUAUAACUGAUGUUCUCUUAGCUUCUCCAAAACCAAUCGCAAAUGUUCCUUAUGCUCCUCUUCAUUCUUCGAGAAAAUCAAAAUGUCAUCUAUGAACACCACGACGAACUUAUCCAAAAACUCCAUAAACACUUUGUUCAUCAGGUUCAUGAAAUAGGCUGGUGCGUUAGUCAAUCCAAAUGACAUAACAGUAUACUCGUACAGUCCAUAUCUCGUGGUAAAUGCAGUCUUGGGUAUGUCUUGCUCCCGAAUCUUCAACUGAUGGUACCCUGAUCGCAAGUCGAUCUUGGAAAACACUUUGGCUCCUUGCAAACGAUCAAACAGAUCAUUUAUCAUUGGUAGUGGGUACUUGUUCUUGAUUGUUACCGCAUUCAAUUCACGAUAAUCAACAACCAUUCUCAAAGAUCCAUCCUUCUUCUCCACUAACAAAACGGGUGAUCUCUGGCGGGAAAACGAAUUCGGGGUCACGUCUCGGAGGCAUCUGAUGGGUUUAGAAAAGAAGAGAAAUUUAGAAUAGAAUGAGGUCUAAGGGGAAUCACUACCCAAAUGCACAUGAGCAAAUGCACACAAAUCACUCCAUUCAAUCAAACAAGGCUUACAACGAUCUAACUAUCGCAAGUGCGUGUACUAUAAUGUUUACAUGGGGGAAUACUGCUAAUAUGUGGUGGUCAUCUAGAAAUUUGAAUCGGUGGAAGAUUCCAUGAUGUCUGCUCCAGCUUCGUCUUCAAAGUCGGGUUCACUUGGGUCCGAAUCGGUGUCGUCGAGGAUGAUGUAGUCGUCUGGACAUGCGACGUACUUGUCUUCAUUCUUGAGCUCCAAUUUCUUCUUGAGUUCUUCGAUCUCCUGCUUAAGAUCGCAAUUGUGCCUUGCUAGAGCUACGAUCUCGUCCAUAUAAUCCUUGCGUGUAGUCUUUAGUUCUCCUUCUAGCUCGAUGAUCCUUGCCUUCGCAUUCUUCAACUCUACCAUAUCAUUGCACAUCUGGUUCUCAUGGCGUCAAAUGUGCUGGUUUAGCUCCUGGAUAAAAGCUGCAAUGGAUCUAUCCUUCUUGGGGCUGACUAACUCCCAUUGUUCAUCUCGGCGUCCGCAAAUCUGGUAGAUGGUGUCCUUGAGGUCUUCUUGAUAAACUUCUCCAAUGCGUCCCAUGGUGAUAUGAGCUGCCAUGCUCUUUCCUAGACUCCAAGUUGGUGCACUGAAAACACUAUCUAUGGGCUUCGUGAUUGGGGCGAAUGUCCUUCCUGGAACGUGAGCUUGAAUCUUCCAGCGCUCCUCUUCAGGCAGAGUGGCGUUGAAAGUCCCGGUGAAACUUGGUAGUCCAAUGUUCAGGUACUUGGUAACUUCCUUCAAGUGAAAUCCAAAUGGUGUGCCUUCAUCCGGUUGGGUGUACUUAAUCUUCGCGUCCUUCAUCCUAAAGAGUAGAAUAGAUGAGGAAUUAGAAAAUGAGAGGAGAGUAGUGAUCUAUGGCUUUAACUUAGUGGUCGUGUCCUACAGUCAGCGUGUGCUCUGAUACCAUCUCUGUAGCGACCUGACCCGAAUGGAUCACGUCUACUGUGCUACGGUGUCAUCCCUGGAUCAGUAAUGCUGACACCACACAGUACAUCGAGGUUUUAUAGCAGAGUUGCAAUCACACACUUAUUACAUCGAUGGCUGAAAAAGAACUUAUUACAAUAAAUAUGGCUUAAGGCCAUCUAAUAACGAUAACAGCGGAAGGCUUGGAAGAUAAGCGAGUCCAUCAACUCCAUCGGCAUCACUGAGUAUAGAACCACGACCUAAACGCACCUCAAUCGUCGUCUGAAAAGUCUGCAACAUUAACGUUGCAGCCCGAAAACGGGUCAGCACAUGGAAUAUGCUGGCAAUGUAACACAUAGAGAGUAANNNNNNNNNNNNNNNNNNNNNNNNNNNNNNNNNNNNNNNNNNNNNNNNNNNNNNNNNNNNNNNNNNNNNNNNNNNNNNNNNNNNNNNNNNNNNNNNNNNNUUCCUUAGACCAUGAGAUCGUGUAACUCCCGGAUACCAUAGGAGUGCUUUGGGUGUACCAAACGUCACAACGUAACUGGGUGACUAUAAAGGUGCACUACAGGUAUCUCCGAAAGUGUCUGUUGGGUUGACACGGAUCGAGACUGGGAUUUGUCACUCCGUAUGACGGAGAGGUAUCUCUGGGCCCACUCGGUAAUGCAUCAUCAUAAUGAGCUCAAAGUGACCAAGUGUUUGGUCACGGGAUCAUGCAUUACGGUACGAGUAAAGUGACUUGCCGGUAACGAGACUGAACGAGGUAUUGGGAUACCGACGAUCGAGUCUCGGGCAUGUAACGUAUCGAUUGACAAAGGGAAUAGUAUACGGGGUUGCAUGAACCCUCGACAUCGUGGUUCAUCCGAUGAGAUCAUCGAGGAGCAUGUGGGAACCAACAUGGGUAUCCAGAUCCCGCUGUUGGUUAUUGCCCGAGAGCCGUCUCGGUCAUGUCUACGUGUCUCCCGAACCCGUAGGGUCUACACACUUAAGGUUUGGUGACGCUAGGGUUGUAUGAAUAUGAGUAUGCAGUAUACCGAACGUUGUUCGGAGUCCCGGAUGAGAUCCCGGACGUCACGAGGAGUUCCGGAAUGGUCCGGAGGUAAAGAAAACUAUAUAGGAAGUGGUGUUUCGCCUAUCGGGAAAGUUUCGGGGUCACCCGAUAUUGUACCAGGACCACCAGAAGGGACCCGGGGGUCCACCGGGUGGCGCCACCCAUCCCGGAGGGCCCCAAGGGCCAAAGUGGGGAGGGGAACCAGCCCAUAGUGGGCUGGUGCGCCCCCCUUGGCCCACCCCCUGCGCCUAGGGUUGAAACCCUAGGGUGGGGGGGCCUCACUUGGCUUGGGGGGUACUCCACCCCCUUGGCCGCCGCCCCUUGGGAGAUUGGAUCUCCCAGGGCCGGCGCCCCCCUUGGGGGCCUAUAUAAAGGGAGGAGGGGAGGGGCGCAGCCGCACCCUGAAGUUCUAGCGCCUCCCUCCCCCUGCUACACCUCUUCCUCCUCCGUCACGUGCUUGGUGAAGCCCUGCCGGAGUGUUGCUGUUCCACCAUCACCACGCCAUUGUGCUGCUGCUGGAGCUUUCAUCAUCAACCUCUCCUUCCCCCUUGCUGGAUCAAGACGGAGGAGACGUCACGCUGACCGUACGUGUGUUGAACGCGGAGGUGCCAUCCGUUCGGCGCUAGGAUCUCCGGUGACAGGAUCACGACGAGAACGACUACUUCAACCCCGUUCUUUUGAACGCUUCCGCGCGAUCUACAAAGUGGUAUGUAGAUGCAAUCUCUCUCCCAUGACUCGUUUCUUAGAUGAACUCAUAGAUGGAUCUUGGUGAAACCAUAGAAUUUUUUUUAAUUUUCUGCAACGUUCCCCGUCACUUGCGACGUUGCUAAUGCCGGCCCAAAGCUCCAUGGAAGUGAUCGGGCUCGCCCGUCGCCUGAUUCUACGGCUGCUGUCGAGCUGUGCAUGGACGCCCCCGCCUGAAUCUGCUUGUCCCCAGCCCUUCUUGGUACCUCGUCGUUCGUCCUGUUUCCUCGGCAUGUGUGCUGCCGCCGAUUACCAGUUCGCUGCCUCUGCCUGGGAAAAAAAUAAUUCUGCAACAUCACCUUUGUUGCAAAAAUGUUUCUGCAACAAGAACUAUGUUGGGAAAAAUUCUGCAACAAGUUCUCUGUUGCAAAAAAAAUCUUGUUGCAAAAAAUUUCUGUAACAAGACCUUUGUUGCAAAAACAUAUCUGCAACAUUACCUCUGUUGCAAAAGUUUAUACAACACGACGUAUAUUAGAAAUGUUCCUGCAACACCGCUGUUGUUGCAAGAGAGGUGACACACAUGGAUGAGUAGAUCGGACGGCUCCCGGCAUCAAUCCAACGGACACCCAGGCAGCGGAUGUUUUAUAGUUAUUCAUCGGCUGACGCGUAGCAGCCCCCUUUAAAUAUACCUACAGUUCACCCAAACUAACCCUAAUCUUAGAGUACUAUGGUUUUAAAAAACUGCUAAACUAAGUCUAAUUCAUUUUUCUAUGGCACUCGCUCGGGUUGCAUUUAUUUAUUUCAACAUAUCUACUAAUUCAAUAACUUUAAUCUCAAUCAAGGUGUGUGGUAACGUGAACUCAUAUUUCGCCGGUUAGAAGCCAUUUUGAUCGUUAUAAGAUAUAGAGAAAAGUAUAUUUUUUGUCCCUCAACUCUUAACGAAGUCUAGAUUUGGUCCCUCAACUUCAAAACCGGACAAUUUGCACCCUCAAUUCUUGAAACCGGAUAAGUUUCGUCCCUCAACCCAACCGACUAUAUUUUGACGCUGACUCACUCCGGUUUUGACCAAGUUGUGGUGCCCACAUGGCAAGGUAAUUCUUUCCUUCCAUCUACUAUGUAUGGUAUGGACAUUUGACAAACAUUUGGCGUGCAAUGCCUGCCGCCCCGCUACCAACGACCUGCCUCCGUUGCACCAUGUCCAUCAUCACCACAAGCAGAAACUCGCACGGCGUGCGUCGGGGCGUGCUGGUGCUGCGUCGGACUCGCCGCUCUCGCUCGGCUUGGUGCACGGCUUGCCCUUUGCGUUCAAGUCCUGCGAAGUGGACGGGUCGCAGGGCUCGUCGGGGGAGCAGCGCUUCUCGAUGUCGUCUCCAUUGCUGUUGUCCUCAUUGACAGAGUGCUCGCUGCGGCAACCUGGCGAUAGUGCAGUGUUUAGCCGUGUCAACCCCUUGGCGUGGUGGCUCUGCACGUCGGCACUCUGCGUCGGGGAUGCUGAAGCUUGUAGUGCUCGUGUCCGGGUUCAGGUGCGCCUGCGCUGAAAGACACGGAUGAUGUGCAGCUGGAGGAAGUGUUCGAGCUGUGCUUGUCUGACGUGUUAGCAUGAUCAUUCGUGUCUUAGCUAGUUUAGUGGCAUGUUUAUUUUUCCUUGUGCAUGUGCAUGCCGUGGCAGCAUAACCUUCGGAUCGACCCACCACCUCCUUCGACAUAGGCAUAGUGUCGGUCUAUAGGACUCUACUAUUGCCGUUUUGUCGGUUUUUAUUUGAUGUUUUUUUGGUUGGACUUUCGGAUUUGGCUGUGUGCAUCCUAGUUAUGCAGAGGCCGGGUAUUACUCAUAAUGCUUUGUAUCCACUUGAUGCUACAUUUUGAAUUAAUAAAAUCGCACUUUAUUGAAAAAUAUGCAUGCCGUGGGCAUGAUGCAUAUCUGCAUGCAUGUGUGUACAUGUUCAGGUCGUGCGCUAGGCCACCGGAUACAAAGGCCACCACCAACUACCUAUCGCCGUGCACCCCCCUGCCCGGCCUCCGCGCAUAGGUCCUCCUCGCCGUCCUCGUGCUCACCGUGUGCUUUUGUCGCUGCCAACGACGGUGCUGUUGAUGCCCUACGUCGCCCAGAGCCUACACCAGUGAGGCACCGUCCCCCGCUCCACGAGCGCGCAGUAGUCAGAUGAACUUGUGGAGUGAGCACGUGUGUCGUCAUGCUCGGCCUCCGUGCUUUGCGACGAGCAUGGUGCGGGUUUCAAUGCAGCUUCGACGUCGGCGACCUGCACCGCUGCGUCGCCUCGUCCUCUGGCUCCAGUACGAGGGCCGCGACACUGCUAGGGAAAAGCCUACCAUCAGCGCGGGUUUUGGGCCUAUUAGUAGCGCGGGGGCCGGCGCUACUACUACGUCCGUUAGUAGUAGCGUUGGUAAAAACACGCGCUACUACUAAUUUUUGAUUUUUUGAAUUUUUUUGAUUUUUUUUUAUUUUUCCCCCUNNNNNNNNNNNNNNNNNNNNNNNNNNNNNNNNNNNNNNNNNNNNNNNNNNNNNNNNNNNNNNNNNNNNNNNNNNNNNNNNNNNNNNNNNNNNNNNNNNNNAGCUCUAUUAAUAUCAUCUUUCAAAAUGGAAUCAGGAGUCAUAGGAAGCAAAGUAAUAUUUUUAUCCUUAUGAACAAGAGUGUAGUGAUUGUUUCUACCAUGGUGUACAGAAUUUUUAUCAAAUUGCCAUGGUCUACCAAGUAAUAAGGAACAUGCUUGCAUAGGUACCACAUCACAAUCAACAUAAUCAGCAUAUGUAGAGAUACUAAAAUGCACACGAACAGUACGUGUUACCUUAACCUUGCCGCUGUUGUUGAACCAUUGGAUGUAGUAAGGAUGUGGAUGUGGUCUUGUGGUGAGAGAAAGCUUCUCCACCAUCUCCAUGCUAGCCAAGUUGUUGUAGCUCCCUCCGUCUAUGAUGACGCGCACAGAACGUUCCUUCACAACUCCCUUGGUAUGGAACAAAUUGUGCCUCUGAUUUUGCUCAGCUUGUGUGACCUGCACACUCAAAACACGUUGAGCAACUAAACAUUCAUACCUGUCAGCGUCUUCAGGAGCCAUGUAUUGCGUCUCAUUAUCAGAAUCAUCUCCACCAUGUUCUUCACGUGUAAUAAGAGCCAAAGUCUCCUCAUCAUAGUCACUAGCGGACUCAUAUCCACCAUCCGCGGUAGCAAUCAUCACACGCAGAGAUUUGCAUUCCCUCGCAUAAUGACCUCCUCCCUUACAACGAUGACAAAUAAUAUCACUUGUGUGCCCUGUUGAUGCCAUGGAAGAAGAAGAACGCUGUGCAGGCCCCGCAGGUGCGCUCUUGGCAGAUAAUGGUGGUUGUGCCUGUUUUCUUGUAUCACGGCUGGAGGUGGCACCGGAUGGAGGUGCUGGUGCAGUUGAAGUAGAAGAUGCACGUGGUGUCCAUGAUGAAGGUCGGCCUGCAGAAAAGUUAGUUCGCCCCAAUGCUUGUCGAUCCUGCACUUCACGUUCAGCUUUACAAGCAAGAUGGAAUAAACGAGUGAUAUUAGUAUACUCUUUAUAGUCUAAAAUGGUCUGAAUCUCUCUAUUUAAUCCACCCAGAAAACGUGCAAGCAUAGCUUCAUUCUCCUCAACAAUACCACAUCUAAUCAUGCCAGUUUGUAAUUCCUGAUAAUAUUCUUCUACAGAAUUUUUUCCUUGUCUUAAACGCUGCAAUUUUUGAAGCAAUUCACGUUGAUAAUAUGGUGGAACCCAACGCGUACGCAUAGCAGUUUUCAAAGCAGCCCAAGUAGUUGGAAUAGGAUAUAAUCUACAAUGUUCAGACCACCAUACACAUGCAAAACUAGUGAAAGCACAAACAGCAGCAGCAACUCGUCUCUCCUCAGGAUAUUGUAAACAUGUAAAUCGUUGUUCAGUUUCUAACUCCCAGGUAAGAUAUAUAUCAGGAACAUAUCUACCCUCAAAUGGUGGAAUAUUCAAUUUCAGUUUAGGAAUAUGGACAUCAUCUCGUACCUGAGGUGGUGGUGCAGGCCUACCAUUACGAAUAUAUACCUGAGGUCGACCUGCUGGUGGUGGUACAGGUGGCUGCACGUAGUGUUGAUUUUGAUCAACCUCAUCCUCAUAAUCUCCCACAUAAUGAUCCUCCUCCACAUCAGCAGCAGGAGCCACAGAAGUAUCAACAGCAGCACCAACAGUUUGGCCAAACGCAAGAGGAACACGGCUUGCUCGGCGGAGGUCUGCUUCGCGACGUGGAGGUAGUCGUUGUUGUUGUUGUUGGAGAGGUGCGUUAGGUGCAGCGGGUGGUGGUGGUGGAAGACGCGCGAGCAAUUCAUUAAACUUGUUAUCGAGCUUUGUUUCAAACGUCUUCUCAAGGCCAGUGAUCUUCUCCAUGGCCUCUUCAAAAUUGUUCAGCACAUCUUGUACCUGUUCAGUCAUCAUUUGCUGAAACUUAUCAUGAAGCUCCUUGUUCGAUAAGUUCUCCCAGUCAAUCUCGUCGGCUUGUGAUCCUGGCAUGGUUAGCAGCAAUAGAAACACACAAGAAUAUGAUCCUACAGACUACUAAGAAGUGGUGGUGGUGUAUCACAAAUCCGUCAAGCAAAUCUCAAAUUCUUACCAGUUCUUACCCAGCAGCAGGCGGUGAUCGACAACCGUUGUAGUCAAAAACUCUCAAAGCUUGGAUAGAGCGAUUACCAGGGAGAGUCAAACACACGACGUAGAUGUAUGUGGAGCUGGGAAGGCUUAUAGUAUGGUAGCAAAAAGGGUCAGCAAUAAUCAAUUCAGAGAUGCAAAGUUGAAUAAACGCUCAACGACGGUACUGUGCUGGUCCUAGGCUAGACUGUGCUAGAGACGCGAGCCUAGAACACCAACAAAAUCACGGCGCGGCACGUAAACAAGGGAAAAGCACACUCUGAAUUUUUUUCGCUCUUUUUUUUUUGUUUUUUUUGCGCUCUUUUUUUUUGCGCUGCUUUUUUUUUGCGAAAAAUCACUAUAAUGGCGAGUGUCUCAAAACUCUUCCUAGGUCAAACUGACAGGAUGGGCACGAAAUUUUUUUUUUCGACCAAAUUUUUUUUUGACUGCCCGGACCCAAAAACUGGAAACAGGUUAAAAAAAACUUCCUAUAAUGGCACCUGUCUCAAAACACUCAGAAACACCUAAAAAUAGGAUAGCCAGAAAUUUUUUCGAAAAAUGCGUUUUCGAAAAAUUUUGGGCCUAAACGGAGCGUGGCUACCCGACUCUUUUUUUUUCCGAAACCUACUCCGGCAAGGAAACACGAAUCGGAAACUAGAUGGAUCUCGAAAAUAACCCUAAUAAUCAAGGAACUCGGAUUGGUGGUGGAUAUAUGGUGGUGGUAUAUGGCAGCGGUGGUGGUAGCGGUGGUAGUAUAUGGAUAUGGAUAUGAAUCGGUGGUGGUAUAUGAAUCGGUGGUGGUAUAUGGAUACGGAUUCGGAGCGGUGGCGGAUAAGCGGUGGUGGUAGAUGGCAGGGGCGAUGAUGAUGGUGCGGCGGCGGCGUGACAACUUAUGACCAGAACUCGAAACUCUAAAAGACUAGACUCUAAGACCAGCAACUAGACACGACGAUGCAACCGCAAAUUCAACAAAGCAAAACCCUAAAAAGAUUAUGCAAAGGCUCAGAUUGGUUCGGAUAUGAUGAACUAACCCUAAUUUUUUUUGUGGCUUUUUCGUGGACUGUAGGUAUAAAGAACAGACUCGAUCUAAACUACGAAAAACUGUAAAAUCUCACCGAGCAACCUGGAACUCUGAUACCACUUGAUAGAGGCGAGGGUCCCGAUCUUUCGAUGAGAUGAUGGAUAUCGCUUUGGUGGAAGUCGACUUUGACGAUCCGACUACGAACAUGCGAGGACGUCGCGCCUUAGCAAUCGCUAAACCAACUCCGAGAGGUUAUUGACCACGCCGGAGCACGAUCAACCUGACCAUGAGGGUCUGUUUCCUGCGAGCAAACGAAGAACAAGCAAGAAACUAAGAUUGCAAUCUGGAUAUUGCGAAUAUAAGAUGAAAGCUUUAUUGAUCAAGGUGGGGUUCUGUGACGCCUUUGUCUGGUCGUUGAACACAAACGAAGUACGCGAAGUUGCAGCUAUGGCGAACUUUUAAUCUAAACAAAACCCAAAGUCUAAACGAUGCCCUAAGGGCUGUAUAUAUGGAGGAAGAGGGGGGAAUUUCGUGGCCCUUGGUGGAGGGGUCCGAAAUCAACCCUAUCUCUUGUUUCCCCACACAUACGGACUCUAAAAAUAGCCUAUACUUAUGUAUUUCGAAAUUACAUGGGCCUGGCCCAAAAAUAAGGUGACGCAGCACCUAAAAUAGCCUCGGGACNNNNNNNNNNNNNNNNNNNNNNNNNNNNNNNNNNNNNNNNNNNNNNNNNNNNNNNNNNNNNNNNNNNNNNNNNNNNNNNNNNNNNNNNNNNNNNNNNNNNAGUGGGGCGUCGCCCCAUGGCUUGUGGCUGCCUCGUGGGUCUUCUGGCCUCCUCUCCCAGUCUCGUGGGUUACUUCUAGUCCCCGAAAAUUCACCAUAGAGUUUUAUUCCGUUUGGACUCCGUUUGAUAUUCCUUUUCCGUAAGAGUCAAAAACAACAAAAAAACAAAAAAAUGGCACUGGGCGCUAGGUUAAUAGGUUAGUCCCAAAAUAAUAUAAAAUAGCAUAUUAAUGCACAUGAAACAUCCAAAAUAGAUAAUAUAAUAGCAUGAAAUAAUCAAAAAUUAUAGAUACGUUGGAGACGUAUCAAGCAUUCCCAAGCUUAAUUCCUACCUGCCCUCGAGUAGGUAAAUGAUAAAAUGGAAUUUUUGACAUGGAACACUACCUAACAUAUUUAUCAAUGCAAUUUUCUUUAUUGUGGCAAGAAUAUUCAAAUCCGCAAGAUUCAAAACAAAAGUUUAAUAUUGACAUGAAAACAAUAGUACUUCAAGCAUACUAAUAAAGUAAUCAUGUCUUCUCAAAAUAACAUGGCCAAAGAAAGUCAUCCCUCCAAAAUCAUAUAGUCUCGCUAUGCUCUAUCUUCAUCACACAAAAUAUUUCAUCUUGCACAAUCCCGAUGACAAGCCAAACAAUUGUUUCAUACUUUUAAUGUUCUCAAACUUUUUCAAAUUUCACGCAAUACAUGAGCGUGAGCCAUGGAUAUAGCACUAUAGGUGGAAUAGAAUAUGGUGGUUGUGGAGAAGACAAAAAGGAAGGAGAAAGGCUCACAUCAACUAGGCAAAUUAAUGGGCUAUGAAGAUGCCCAUCAAUUGAUAUGGAUGCAAGUGAGUAGGGACUGCCAUGCAACGGAUGCACUAGAGCUAUAAGUGUAUGAAAACUGAAAAGAAAACUAAGUGGGUGUGCAUCCAACUUGCUUGAUCACGAAGACCUAGGGCAAUUUGAGGAAGCCCAUCAUUGUACUAUACAAGACAAGUUCUAUAAUAAAAAAUUCCCACUAGUAUAUGAAGAGACUCUCUAUCAUGAAAAACAUGGUGCUAUUUUUGAAGCACAAGUGUGGAAAAGGAUAGUAACAUUGUCCAUUAUCUCUUUUUCUCUCUUUUUUUUGUUUGGGCUACUUUGGAAUCUUUUCUUAUUUGGGCUUCAUUGGCCUCUUUUAUUUUCUUAAAGUCCGGAGACUCAUCCCAACUUGUGAGGGAAUCAUAGCUUCCAUCAUCCUUUCCUCACAUGGGAUAAUGCUAUAAUAAUGAUGAUCAUCACACUUUUAUUUACUUACAACUCAAGAAUUACAACUUGAUACUAGAACAAAAUAUAACUCUAUAUGAAUGCCUCCGAAGGUGUACCGGGAUGUGUAAUGAUCUAGAGUGACAUGUAUAAAAAAAUAUGAACGGUAGCCAAGCAACAAAUACUAUGCCAACUACAUGAUCAUGCAAAGUAGUAUGACAACGAUGGUAUGUUUCAUAAUAAACGGAACGGUGGAAGUUGCAUGCCAAUAUGUCUCAAAAUGGCUAUGGAAAUUCCAUAACAUGUAGGUAUGGUGGCUGUUUUGAGGAAGGGUAUAUGGUGUGUUUAAUGCACUAACGAAAGUUGCACGAUACUAGAGAGGCUAGCAAUGGUGGAAGGGUGAGAGUGCGUAUAAUCCAUGGAGUCAACAUUAGUCAUAAAGAACUCACAUACUUAUUGCAAAAAUUUAUUAGCCUUCGAAGCAAAGUACUAAUAUGCAUGCUCCUAAGGGGAUAGAUUGGUAGGAAAAGACCAUCACUCAUCCCCGACCGCCACUCAUAAGAAAGACAAUCAAAAAAUAAAUCAUGCUCCGACUUCAUCACAUAAUGGUUCACCAUACGUGCAUUGCUUCGGGAAUCACAAACAUUAACACAAGUAUUUCUACCAAUCCACAAUUUCUGACUAGCAUGACUCUAAUAUCACCAUCUUUAUAUCUCAAAACAAAUGCAAGGAAUCAAACUUCUCAUAUAUUCAAUUCUCUUUAUGAAAGUUUUUUAUCAUAUCCCACUUCAGUGCCCAUCAUAUUAGGACUAAAUUCAUAACAUAAGCAAAUUACCGUGCUAUUUAAGACUCUCAAAAUAAUAUAAGUGAAUCAUGAGAGUUCAACAAUUUCAAUAAAAUAAAACCACCGUUGUUCUUUAAAAAGAUAUAAGUGAAGCACUAGAGCAAUCUGUAGCUCAAAAGAUAUAAGUGAAGCACAUAGAGUAUUCUAAUAAAUUCACGAUUAAAGUGUGUCCCUCUAAAAAUGUGUGUACAGCAAGGAUGAUUGUAGCAAACUAAAAGCAAAGAAUCAUAUCAUACAAGACCCUCCAAGCAAAACACAUAUCAUGUGGUGAAUAAAAAUAUAGCCUCAAGCAAAGACUAUUUAUGUAGUGCCCCCUCAAAACCAACCGUUACAACAGUUUUUAUACCGCAAUGGUACAACUACUCCAAGAACUAGUACAACUAGAAUUCACGGGUACCCUGCAACAACCCUACAAGGCGGUACAAUCGGUGGGGUGGGUGGUAGUACUGGUAGACAGAAGUAAUCGGACCAACCGCCCUACCACCGCUCAACAACCGCUCCAAACCAGAAGGGAAUCACUACUAUAGCAGUUGUAGGAGCGGUAGUUGCAUCGGUGCACAUGCCUGGUCCCAGUUCAGAUGAUGGCUUAGUCCUGAGCCGUACAACCGCUCCGGACACCAGUAGUACUGGUUAAAGGACUAUAACCGGGACAACCGGGCCACCACCACCCAAUGACCGCCUCACCUCAGAAAGACACCCAGUGGUUGGGCGGUACUGGGCUGGUACAACCUCUCCUGAAGCAGCCCUAGGGUUUUCCCAGAUGUGGCAGUACCACCGCCCGGGGGCGCCGGUACAACCGCUGGUAUGGCACCUGGGAGCUGCAACCCCGGGGUAUCACCCCUAGGGCGGUGGAAGCACAUGACAAACCGAACAGGCGGUACAACCACCCUGACCAGCGGUACAACUAUUGUAGGAUCAAAACCACUAAAUAGAGAGUUUGAGGGCUUCUCUCUCUUCGAAUGGAAGGAUAGCAAGGGUGGACAAGAAUGUGUACAUGUAUUUAUUCACCUGAUACCUUCAUAUGCGGAUUCCCUCUUAAUAGUAUGAAUUUCCUACAACCAAAGAAAUAAACAUGUAGGAAACACCGUGUUUGAUCUUUUCCGUCUAGAGGGAAUGCCUAAUUGUCUUGUACCAAACAAGAGAGUACCUAAAGAACUUGGCACACGAUUAGACCACAAAGUGAGUUGUCAUCAUCACCAAGCACUAAGGCAGGAAAUGUCCUAACAAUCUCCCCCUUUUUGGUGGAUGAUGACAAACACACGAUUUGCACUUGGAGUCUAGAAAAUAUAAAAAGGGAUCCCCCCUAUAUGUGUGCACUAAUAUGAUUUGCUUUUGAAAUGCAAAGUGCUCACAUAAGGAUCAAUGCUCCCCCUAGAGAUUUUAUAGACCAACCAAUAUGUACAAAUGGAAAAGAUAGACAAUAAGCAUACAUAUGUAUGAAAUAACCGCUAAGUAAAUGAGACAACAAGAUUAAUGAAUAAAAUAUGAUAGAUAGGGAUCGCAUGUCUCACACCAUCACCAAGUCUCCACAGACAAUAAGUUCACAAGCCAAAUCAAAGAAAAUAGUAGUUCAACUCGAAGAAAAUAAAACACACCCAUGCAAAUCCCGAGACCUAAUAGAACUCUCUCCCCCUUUGGCAUCAAGACACCAAAAAGGAAAAGAGUGAUGCUAANNNNNNNNNNNNNNNNNNNNNNNNNNNNNNNNNNNNNNNNNNNNNNNNNNNNNNNNNNNNNNNNNNNNNNNNNNNNNNNNNNNNNNNNNNNNNNNNNNNNGAGAGAGAGAGAGAGAGAGAGCUAGAGAAGGGGAGAGGGAGCUGAGAAAGAGGGAAGAGGUAGAGGAGGCCGUACGUGCACGAUCUCUGUGGCACGAAGAUGGGCUCGGGGACGCGCGGGACAACGCGAAGCAGGAGGUGGGCGUCGACGCACGAACAUGCACCACGCAGCGGUUUCCUGGCGAGGGGUUGAAGACGAGUGGGACCCCACCCGCAGGUCAAAUACCACCUUUGACCACGCCACGUCAGCAGCCGGUCUGGGCAAACCACCCAGGUCUUUUUUGGUUCGGUAUGGAAUUAUUUUGGGGGUAAGGAAACCGGAAUAAAAGUCAGGGUAAUCUCCAACUUUGUUCAGGAUAGUAAAAUGAAUUUUUUUCCAAUAUAAAAAACCAUAAACGUGUACUCUCUGAAAAAAGCAUAAUAUAAGCGUGUGCCAAAGAAAUUUCUAUGCGGAAAGCUUGUGUGACUUGCUCAGUUUCAAGCCUGGAUUUCUUUUAAAUGGAAGCUUUAAUUGCUUCUGGUCUCCGCAUACCAAGAUGCAUACAAUUAACCACACAAAUCAAUAUAAAGUAGCAUGCGAAUCAAGCAGGGACGUUCAUUUCCUACUUUUCCUUAUCUUAGAGUAUAUAAGAAGAAGAAAUGAUCACAAGAAAUGGCUGAAGGUUGUGUUCAUGAGGUACUCGGCGAUGAUCUUGUUGGCCCGCUCCGUCGGGUGCACGGCGUCCCAGAAGACGUAUCGGUUUGCGUCGGCGCACGUGAGCGCGUCCCACUCGCUGCAUGUGUACCCCAUCUCAUACAACCCCGUGCCACAACAACCCCUGGCCGCCUUCACGAAUCCGUAGCUCGACGGGUUCUGCAGGAUGCCGGUGAAGAAAUCGUACACCUCGGCGACCCGGAACUGCGCGCCGGGAAGGCUGCCGGUGAGCUCGUCGACCAUGGCUCGGAGCUUGGCAUUGAACGACCUCGCAACGACAUUGUACUCCUCGAUGCAGAGCAUGACCCGGCGUCCCCGCUCGAUGGGGAGGCAGCCCAUGGCCCCGAGCCCUGUGAAGCCGAUCUUGCGCGCGCCGAGGCCGUAGAGCUCCACCAGGAAGCUCCGGGCGAGGCCGAUGAGGAAGUCGGUGUAGUCGCCGACGGUGAACUCCAGGAAGCGGGCCGUCGUGAGGGCGAAGUAGUUCUCGAUGAAGUCGUUGGUGCCGAUGCUGAUGGCGUAGACGGCGUCGGCGACCACCGCCCUAGCCUCCGCCGCGCCGAGGUGCUCCGCAAGCCGGGCUUUGUAGUCUCUGAAAUAGUCCACUUGCUUCGACAAUGGUAUCACUGACUGAUCGAACAGUAAACAUUUACUUCAUUACACUUGUUUGGAUAAAAACUUACACAUUUACUUCAUUACCAGAGGCGUGUUUUUUUUCUUGUAGUUUGAUGAUUGCAAGUUACACGGCUGUUAGUUGCCUUGGCUGUAAAUGCCACUGGGUCCAUGCAUGGUACUACUAGCACACUGUACUGUACUCAUAAGCUUACAUUGCUAGCUAGUCCACACAGUACGAGAGCGAGCGUGAUGUAUGGCCGUGAAUCACGCUAACAGUCACGAUGUCUGUCACUUUUUGCAACACAUGCAUGCAUGCAUGGGCCCUAUAAAACCAAUAAAUGAAUAAAACCACAAAAUGAUUCAAUCAAGGUUACAUCUAAUUCUUGCAUAUCUAAGUGAUUCAAUCAAACAUAAAACAAAAUACCCACACGAAUCUUCACGUAAAAUCAAUGACAUACGACUUACAUGUGCAAUAUUAGAUCACAUGUAGACGUGUUCUUAGCAAAACUGAUAUCUUAAUUAGUUUUCCUUUCUGCAUUUGUUUUUGCAGCUACAAAGAUGGCACUUUUCUGAAGCAGCUAGCACACGGUGCAUGCAGGAGUGAAGAAAAAGAAAGGGAUCACUCACGAAGACGCCGGCGGUGGCGACGUCGAGGCCGGAGCCGGCGGACGCGAAGCAGACGCCGACGGCGAAGUCCUGGAUGCCGUAGUCCGGGUCGAGGUAGGCCGGAACGAAGGGCCGGAGCCCGAACGCCUCGGAGUAGAAGUCGGUGGCGACGCGGCCGUUGCAGAACCGGCCCGUGGCGCGGCCGCCCGGGAAGUCCCGGCCGUAGGGCGGGAAGUUGCUCCGCACCGCCGUGGGCACGGCGUUGUUGUUCCCCGCGUCCACCGUCGAGUCGCCGAACACGAUCAGCGCCGUCACCCGCGCCCGCACCACCGUCACCGCCGGCGACGACAGCAGCAGCACGCUGAGCAGCAAGAAGCGCGCUGUGGAUGCCGCCAACGGCAUUGUUGCAAGAGACGCAGUGCGCCUGCUUCUGUGCUGCUGCUGCGGCUGAGAGUGAGAGAAGGUGACGACGCAAGACGGUGUAAAUUGUUGGUUGGUUGGUUGACGGGACGUGAAAAGCGGCGCUGCGCACAGUGGGAGCAAUAAAGCCGGAGGUGAGGUAUCAUGCGACCUUGUGCGGUGCAUAGCUUGCUAGGUAGGUUGGUGUUGGCCUGUGGCGGCGUAGUAAAUUGUUGUAGUCGAGCAUAGCUGUCAAGAAGGAAAAUGCAGGUACGUCCGUAGUAACUCUAGUCAAGCAUAACACGUUGUAUUGAAGAAAAAUUAGCGUGGUACACACAUGCUAGCUAUCACGUGCACACGUACACCUGCAUGACUUUUCACUCGAAGAUAAGAUCUGAUCGAGUACAUUACAUAGUGGAGUUUCAAGAUUGACAUAUAGGCGCAAACACAGUCUAGAAUACAGUAUACGCGACAUGGGGACAUGGUGGAACCACUUUUCUUGGAAAAUCUUUUGAUGCAUUCAACUGUUAAGGCAGUAUAAAAAACACCAGAAGUAAGAUUUCAUCUAGGUUUGUUGACCACCUAGCGACGACUACAAACACUGAAACAAGCCAAAGGCACUCCGUCAUCAUCGUCCCUUCCUCGCCGGAGCCAGACAAACCUUGUUGCAGAAGACUGUCGAAAGUCGUCGUGCUAAGGCCUCACAGGACCAGCGCAUCUGAACAACAACCGUCCCCGAUGAAGUGAAUAGUAGAUCGGUAGAAUCUAACCUCUAGACACAUGAGCGUAAACGAACAAAGACCGGAUUCACCAUAGACAAACAUUUUCUGCAUCCCGUGAGAUCCACUGGAGAUACACUUCCACACGCUAUCUGGCGACGAUUGAUAUGGGCCGCCGGGAUGGGGGCUAGGCGGGGAGAACCUUAUUACAUCUUCAAGGAACCGCCACCUCCUAGCCUUCCCGAGCAGGACACAAACAAUAACCAAGAUUUAAUAAACACCUAAAAAUGAAGCCCUACUGCUUUCAAGGGCCGGGAUCGACCACACCUCCAUGGCCCUACCGCCACAAGGGACAAGGUGGAUCAGCGGCGGAGCCGACAGGAGGCACGAAAACCGUAUUCUUGUUCGCCCGGGUUGUUGUAUUACGUACUGAUCCCGUUAGAUGAUAAUAUUUUGUUAAUUCCACUGGUGGAAAAAAGGCCUUUGGUCGCGGUUCGCAACUGCCAUUAGUCGCGGUUGCGCAACCGCGACCAAAUAAGCGCGACUAAAGCCCCCCACCUUUAGUCGCGGCUGCUUAAGAACCGCGACUAACGGCCCGUCCACGUGGGCGCCAGGCGGCCGUCGGGGCGGAGGACCUUUAGUCGCGGUUCUUCUGGCCAACCGCGACUAAAGGCCGCCACAGGUUUAGGGUUUUAGCCCCCCCCCCCNNNNNNNNNNNNNNNNNNNNNNNNNNNNNNNNNNNNNNNNNNNNNNNNNNNNNNNNNNNNNNNNNNNNNNNNNNNNNNNNNNNNNNNNNNNNNNNNNNNNCCAUGUUUGCGUCCUUGGCGUCCCAGUCGCUGGAUGAUUGCUGGACUACCAAGUCCGAGUGACCAUAGCAUAGGAUCUGGCGGAUGCCGAGUUCCUUGGCUAGUCGGAGCCCGUGUAUGAGUGCCUCGUACUCGGCCACAUUGUUGGAGGCGGCAAAAUGGAUUUGCAAUGUGUAUCUGAGCUUUUCUCCUUUGGGAGAGGUGAGGACGAUGCCGGCUCCCAAGCCAGUGCGCAUCUUGGAUCCAUCGAAGUGCAUCCGCCAAUGAGUGGAGUCGGGGGCAGGCGGCAGGUACUGGGUCUUGGCCCAGUCGACGAGGAAGUCGGCCAAUGCCUGGGACUUGAUGGCGGUGCGAGGUUGGUAGAAGAUCGUGUACGGAGCCAGCGCAAUGGCCCAUUUUGCCACCCGGCUGGAUGCAUCCCGGCUGCCUAUGAUCUCGGCGAGCGGGGCAGUACAUACGACCGUGAUGGGGUGCUCUUGAAAGUAGGGCUUGAGCUUCUUGGCGGCGAAUUACAGACCAUAGCACAUCUUCUGAUAGUGUGGGUAGUUCUACUUCGAGGUGGACAACACUUCACUCAGAUAAUAUACCGGCCUCUGUUCUAACUGAGCUCGGCCUUCUUCUAGGUGCUGAACCACGAUAACGGUGCUGACCACCCGGCUAGUGGCGUCAAUGUAAAGGAGCAUGGGCUCUUUCUCAGUCGGUGCCGCCAAGACAGGCGGCGUGGACAACAUCUUCUUUAGCUCGUGGAAAGCUUGGUUUGCUUGGUCAUUCCACUCAAAGUGAGUGGAUUUCUUCAUGAGUCGGUAGAGGAGGAGAGCCUUCUCUCCGAGCCAGCUGAUGAAGCGAUUGAGGGAGGCCAAGCAUCCAGUAAACUUUUGGAUGUCUCGCAGCUUGCUAGGAAUCUCCAUUCUCUCUAUGGCCUUGAUCUUCACCGGGUUGCAUUCGAUGCCGCGUUCGGAGACCAGGAAGCCUAGAAGUUGGCCGGCUGGCACUCCGAACACGCAUUUCUUGGGGUUGAGCUUGAUCUAAAAUCGGUGCAAGUUUUCAAAUGUCUCUCUGCGGUCUUCCAGCAGGGUGCCGCGCUUCUCCGUCUUCACCACAAUAUCGUCUACAUAGACGUGGGCAUUUCUGCCGAGUUGCUUGAGGAGGCAUUUCUGCAUGCAACGCUGAAAAGUGGCACCAGCAUUUCUCAACCCGAAUGUCAUAGUCAGGUAGCAGAAAGCUCCGAAUGGUGUGAUGAAGGCGGUCUUUAGGCGGCCAGCUGGGUCCAAUUUUAUAUGGUGGUAGCCUGAGUAAGCAUCCAAGAAGCUCAACAGCUCGCAUCCGGCUGUGGAGUCAUCACUUGAUCAAUCCUUGGCAGAGCAAAAGGAUCUUUAGGGAAGGCUUUGUUGAGGCUGGUGUAGUCAAUGCACAUGCGCCACUGUUUGUUCUUCUUCAACACUAGGACCGGGUUGGCAAGCCACUCAGGGAAGAACACCUCCAUAAUGAAGCCGGCUUCCAGAAGCCGGGCUAUUUCUUCUCCGACUACUCUUCUCUUCUCUUCUGACAGGCGGCGCAAGGGCUGCUUGACCGGCUUGGCGUCUGAUCGGUCAUGUAGCUUGUGCUCGGCGAAAUCCGUCGGAACACCCGACAUGUCCUUGGGAGACCAUGCGAAGAUGUACCGAUUCUCACGGAGGAAAUCGACGAGCUCGCUUUCCUAUUUGCUGUCAAGGCCGGUUCCCAUGACAGCGUACCUCUCCGGGUGCUCCGGGUCCAGAGGUAUCUUCUUCGUUUCUUUGGCCGGCUGGAAAGAACCUUGAGCAUCAUAUUCCUUGGGGUCGGGGACAGGGCCGGCUGCUUGCCGGCCAUAGCCACGACUCAGUACAACAUCUUCUUCUCUUCAGCGAUCACGAGGGACUCAGCCAGCCGGCUGCUAGCUGCUGCACACUCAGAGGACUUCUUGUAGUCUCCGGCUAUGGUGAUGAUGCCCUUGGAACUCGGCAUCUUCAUCUUGAGGUAGCCGUAGUGGGGCACAUCCAUGAACUUGGCCAGAGCAGGUCGGCCAAGCAGUGCAUGGUAAGGGCUCUCUAGAUCCACCACUUUAAACCAUAUUGCUUCUCGGCGGAAAUGAUCUUUGUCCCCAAAGAGAACAUCUAUCUUGAUUUUUCCGUUUGGUGCGCAGGACAGGCCAUGUACGAUGCUGUGGAACAUAGUCCGACUCGGCAUGAGCUACUUCGUCUUGAUGUUCAGCUUCUCCAUGGUGUCAUGGUACAGUAUGUUUAUGCUGCUCCCGCCAUCUAUCAGCACGCGGGAGAAUCGGGCAGCUCGCCUUUCUGUCGCGAGGGUGGCGUCCAAAACCAAUGCAUAGGAGCUGGGAGACGGCAUCACCUCUGGGUGAUCGGCUCGGCUCCAGCUGAUGGGCUUCUCUGACCAAUGCAUGAACUCGGAGUUAUUGGAGGCGACCGCGUUGACUUCUUGGUGUUGUCGGCGCCGGAUGCGUCGAUCUUCAGGCUGGCUUGUAAAGAUGACAUAAUGGGCAUGUUCGUCAGGGAACUCAUCUUGAACAGCUCCGAUUGCUGGCCGAGCGGCCAGCUGUUGAGGGGCCGGAGGCGGCUGACCAGCAGGCGGAGGCGGCACCAGCCCUUCGCCCUUGGAGAUUCGCGUGAGCCAAUGGCACUUCCGAGUCGUGUGGUUGGAGGCCUUCAUGCCACUGUGGAACUUGCAGGGGGCAUCAAGGGCUUGCUCGUAGGAGAAAGUCGGUUGCCAAGCCGGCCUGCCGCCCUUCUGCUUCUUGGGUGCGGGCCGCCCUUCGGGUUGUUCGUCUUCGACUGUGGCCACUUGCCGACUUGUGGAUGUCGGCAUAGGAGCCUUGCGCUUGUUGUCAUUCUGGUAUGGGCGUCGGUUGGAGUCUCCAGCCGGCGUCUUGGGAGCCGGAGUGAGCACCUUCCCGGAGGCGUCUACUCGGAGCUCGGUCUUCAUUGAGGAGUCGACUGUGGCGUACUUAUCUGCUAUGACCAGCAGCUCGUCGAGGGUAAUCGGCUCGUCGCAGAGGAGUCGGUGCUUGAGGAGGGUGCCUUCUCGGCACCCGGCGGUGAAGUAAUCUAUGGCUUGAACCUCGUGCACCCCCUCGCAGGAGUUGCGGAGCUCGGCCCAACGCGUGAGGUAGUCGCGAGUUGAUUCAUUGGGCCCUUGAACACACAAGGAGAGCUGUCGGGGCUUGGGAGCCCGUUUGUAGGUGCUGGUGAAGUUGCGGAUGAAGGCUUCCGUGAAGUCUAGCAAGCUGUUGAUGCUGUAAGGCUUGAGGCUGUUGAGCCAGGUGCGCGUCGUGCCUUGGAGCAUCAGGGGGACAUAUUUCACGGCAACGCGCCUGUUCCCGUUUGCUAUGCGAACUACGGUGGAGUAGUCGAUCAACUAAUCUUCCGGCUUCACGGAGCCAUUGUACUUGGGCGUGUCUCUUGGGAGCGAGAACCGUUUGGGGAAGGGCUCGUCGUGGAUGCAGGGGCCGAAGCAAGGCGGGCCGACAUCAUCUUCUUCUUCUAACGCCAAGGAUCGCGCUAGGCGGUCGAUCCGAUGGUGGGCAUCGUUUUUGCCGACUCCUUCGCGGCGACCUAGUCGGCCGCUGAGAGUCGGAUGCAUGACAGGCGGCGGGGUGGGGUAUCUCUCCCCACGAGGUAGAGGAGGAGGCGGGUCGCCCCGUCGCUCCACCGCUCGAGGGUGGCCUUCUGCGUCGCGCUCGAUGGUGAUUCGAGUCCGACUGCNNNNNNNNNNNNNNNNNNNNNNNNNNNNNNNNNNNNNNNNNNNNNNNNNNNNNNNNNNNNNNNNNNNNNNNNNNNNNNNNNNNNNNNNNNNNNNNNNNNNCCGCCAGGAGAGGACGCACGCGCCCGAUGCCCUCUGCCCGAUCCAAUCUCCCUCGCCUAUAUCUCUCUCUCGAUCCCCAGGACCGCCCCCACUUCCCUCGUUCCUCUCCUCGAUCUCCCUCGAACCCCUCCUAUGGCGCUGCCCUUGCCCCGACCUCGCCACUGCUACACUACUUUGCCAUGCUCCAGCGCCGCACCGUUGCAUCCUUGCUGCACGCCGUGCCCUGCCUCCUCGACCUUCCCGGAGCACUAGUUGACGCCGGCGCCCGCCUUCCUCCGCCUCGCCCGUGUCCUCCUCUGUACAGGAUCCGGCCCCGAUGCCUCAUCCCCGACCUCCUCGUAUGAUUCCUCGUCAUCGUAGACGUGCCAAGUCCUCUGCUCCAUCUAGGAAGUGGGCGCAUGUCUUCAUCGCCUGAAAUGGCCCAGUCCGUCGAGCAGGGACGCCACGGCCGUCCUCUUCUUUGAAUCAAGGCUCCGGCAGUCGGUUCCGGUUCCCCUCAGCAACACAUCGAGCUCCGGCCAGUCCGGCCUCGUGUCUUCCCCGUCGUCCCUUGCUAACGCCAAGCUUUGGCCGCGCACGAAGCUUCUGUUGCAGUCGCCGCUGCUCCUGUUCCUCAGGAGUUGACGAGGCAGACAGCUCGCUCGCCUCCCCUGCUUCGUGCAUGUGGGCAUCGCAGCCGCAGCCCAGCUGCCGCCCUCCUUCGCGUCCUGCCAUCGCCACGAACCCUCCCCGUAACAGGAGCUCCACGGUCUUCCGCACGGCCAUGGGCGUUUUGGAGUCGUAUGCCUCCUGCACACAUCGUGGUUUCCACCAAGUCCACCGAAGGCCACCCUACAACAACUACCAAAUACCCCUUCAUUUCGUCUAAGCCUGUCAAGCCCCUCGACAACAAGUGCACGACUAUGCGGAUCGUGCCAAGUAUCACGAUGUCGAGACCCCUCAAGUUCGACUGCAAGAAAACGGCAAGUACCCCUACGCGCGAAGAUGCCAAGCCCGUUUCGGGGUUCACCAAGUACCGCUACUGAUGGCUCGAACGCCUUCGAAAUGUAUACCACUACUGCCGCCCGAACAUAUACGAAACGUGUACCACAACCAUCGCCGAAGAACCGUGAACGUCUACCGAUGACCCUCAAGUUCGUCCACGAUUGCUAUGUACCACUACCAUCGACGCGAACCACUACUUCCACUACGGCAUGAGUACAACUACUACCACUACAAACGUGGCGAGAACGUCUACUCCCUCUACUUUGCACCGAACCGAUACGCUUCAAAACGCACGCUUCGAAGGUAUAACCCCAAGACGACCGUCCGAGAACGUUUGCAUGUGUUGUAUGAGUUGCACCCUAUGUUUGUACCGUGCCCGAGUUGUCACUUGCUCGAUCCUCCUCUUCUGCAGCUAAUUCAUGGGAACCCGGUUACCGGAUCACCCCACCAUCUUUUGCACGCUCCUGCCAUACUUCCUUUGCACCGGUAUUUCCAUGAGCUACCGGAACCGUUAUCGUUACCGUGGCACUCCCUUUCUUUCCACCACGGUGACAAAUGCUUCGUAACGCUCUUGUCAACUUUUAAUAAAAAUUGCAUAAACUUGCACAUGUCAUCCGCAUCAUGAUAACAACAGUUAAAAUGUUUAAAUUGUUGUUGCAUUAAACUACUAAGGCAUAUGGGGAUUUACCGGAUUCAGUAUUUGUUAUAUCCGGCCCCAUUUAAAUUGUUUAGAUGUGUAGUGUUGUUAUGCCUAACCUCUUGCCAUGUUAAUCAACAUUUAAUAUUGUUGGGUACAUAAACAUGAUAGAACUAAAUAACUUGUUGUGGUGUUUCGUCAAUAUGCAACUCGUUGUAUAUUGAGCUCCACUUAAUUUGUAGUUUUGCUUGUUGCACUUUGCCAUGCCAUGCCUCAUUAAACCGGACAUGCAUCAUACUUAUUUGCGCAUCGUGCCAUGCUUAUGUGGUGGUUGUUUACUAUGUUGUGUGCUUCUUUCCGGUGUUACUUCUUCGGGUUAGUUCCGAUAACGUCGCGUUUGUGAGGAACCGUUCGACUACGUCCGUUUUUCUUCUUCAUGGACUAAUUCUUCUUCCUUGCGGGAUCUCAGGCAAGAUGACCAUACCCUUGAAAUCACUUCUAUCUUUGCUUGCUAGAUGCUCGCUCUUUUGCUAUGCCUAUGAUGCGAUACCUACCACUUGCUUAUCAUGCCUCCCAUAUUGUUAAGCCAAGCCUCUAACCCACCUUAUCCUAGCAAACCAUUGUUUGGCUAUGUUACCGCUUUGCUCAGCCCCUCUUAUAGCGUUGUUAGUUGCAGGUGAAGAUUGGAGUUUGUUCCAUGUUGGAACAUGGAUAUUUUGUUGGGUUAUCACAAUAUCUUUUAUUUAAUUAAUGCAUCUAUAUACUUGGUAAAGGGUGGAAGGCUCGGCCUUAUGCCUAGUGUUUUGUUCCACUCUUGUCGCCCUAGUUUCCGUCAUAUCGGUGUUAUGUUCCCGGAUUUUGCGUUCCUUACACGGUUGGGUUAUAAUGGGAACCCCUUGACAGUUCGUCUUCAAUAAAACUCCUCCAACCAUGCCCAACAUUGGUUUUACCAUUCGCCACCUAGCCUUUUUUUCCCUUGGGUUCCGCGGACUCAAGGGUCAACUUUAUUUAAACCCCGGGCCAGUGCUCCUCUAAGUGUUGGUCCACCUUGUCAGUCGUCGGUGGCCACCAAGGGCAACUCUGGGCUGGCCUACCGGAAGUUUGGACAAUCUGAGUGUGCCCUGAGAACGAGAUAUGUGCAGCUCCUAUCGGGAUUUGUCGGCACAUUCGGGCGGUGUUGCUGGACUUGUUUUACCAUUGUCGAGGAUGUCUUGUAACCGGGAUGCCGAGUCUGAUUGGAUUGUCUUGGGAGAAGGAAUAUCCUUCGUUGACCGUCAGAGCUUGUGAUGGGCUAAGUUGGGACACCCCUGCAGGGAUUGAUCUUUCGAAAGCCGUGCCCGCGCUUAUGGGCAGAUGGUAAUUUGUUAAUGUUUGGUUGUAGAAAACAUGAAGUUGACCUUAAUUAAAAUACAUCUACCGCGUGUGUUACCGUGAUGGUCUCUUCUCGGCGGGGUCCGGGAAGUGAACACGGUGUUGGAGUUAUGCUUAACGUAGGUUGUUCUUAGUUCACUUCUUGAUCAUAGUUUUCUCGACCAUGCUUUGCCUUCUCUUCUCGCUCUCAUUUGCGUAUGUUAGCCACCAUAUAUGCUAGUCGCUUGCUGCAGCUCCACCUCAUACCUUUUUACCCUAGCUAUAAGCUUAAAUAGUCUUGAUCGCGAGGGUGUGAGAUUGCUGAGUCCCCAUGACUCACAGAUACUUCCAAAACCAGCUUGCAAGUGCCGUUGAACCGUGCAGAUGACGCAACCAAUCUCAAGGAGGAGCUUGAUGAAGAUCUUGUCCUUUGUGUUGUUUCGUUCUAGUUGAUCAGUAGUGGAGCCCAGUUGGGGUCGAUCAGGGAUCUGUGUAGCAUUUUGGGUAGUCUUCUUUAUUUUGGGUUCCGUAGUCGGACCUUGUGUGUAUCUGGAUGAUGUACUGUUAUAUUUUUCAUGUAUUGUGUGAAGUGGCGAUUGUAAGCCAACUAUGUACCUUUCCCCUUUUUUAUGUACAUGGGUUGUUUGCGAAGAUUACCUCACUUGCGACAUUGCUUUCAAUGUGGUUAUGCCUCUAAGUCGUGCUUCGACACGUGGGAGAUAUAGCCGCAUCGAGGGCAUUACACAUUGAGAAUUCCACUGUGCCNNNNNNNNNNNNNNNNNNNNNNNNNNNNNNNNNNNNNNNNNNNNNNNNNNNNNNNNNNNNNNNNNNNNNNNNNNNNNNNNNNNNNNNNNNNNNNNNNNNNCCGCCAGGAGAGGACGCACGCGCCCGAUGCCCUCUGCCCGAUCCAAUCUCCCUCGCCUAUAUCUCUCUCUCGAUCCCCAGGACCGCCCCCACUUCCCUCGUUCCUCUCCUCGAUCUCCCUCGAACCCCUCCUAUGGCGCUGCCCUUGCCCCGACCUCGCCACUGCUACACUACUUUGCCAUGCUCCAGCGCCGCACCGUUGCAUCCUUGCUGCACGCCGUGCCCUGCCUCCUCGACCUUCCCGGAGCACUAGUUGACGCCGGCGCCCGCCUUCCUCCGCCUCGCCCGUGUCCUCCUCUGUACAGGAUCCGGCCCCGAUGCCUCAUCCCCGACCUCCUCGUAUGAUUCCUCGUCAUCGUAGACGUGCCAAGUCCUCUGCUCCAUCUAGGAAGUGGGCGCAUGUCUUCAUCGCCUGAAAUGGCCCAGUCCGUCGAGCAGGGACGCCACGGCCGUCCUCUUCUUUGAAUCAAGGCUCCGGCAGUCGGUUCCGGUUCCCCUCAGCAACACAUCGAGCUCCGGCCAGUCCGGCCUCGUGUCUUCCCCGUCGUCCCUUGCUAACGCCAAGCUUUGGCCGCGCACGAAGCUUCUGUUGCAGUCGCCGCUGCUCCUGUUCCUCAGGAGUUGACGAGGCAGACAGCUCGCUCGCCUCCCCUGCUUCGUGCAUGUGGGCAUCGCAGCCGCAGCCCAGCUGCCGCCCUCCUUCGCGUCCUGCCAUCGCCACGAACCCUCCCCGUAACAGGAGCUCCACGGUCUUCCGCACGGCCAUGGGCGUUUUGGAGUCGUAUGCCUCCUGCACACAUCGUGGUUUCCACCAAGUCCACCGAAGGCCACCCUACAACAACUACCAAAUACCCCUUCAUUUCGUCUAAGCCUGUCAAGCCCCUCGACAACAAGUGCACGACUAUGCGGAUCGUGCCAAGUAUCACGAUGUCGAGACCCCUCAAGUUCGACUGCAAGAAAACGGCAAGUACCCCUACGCGCGAAGAUGCCAAGCCCGUUUCGGGGUUCACCAAGUACCGCUACUGAUGGCUCGAACGCCUUCGAAAUGUAUACCACUACUGCCGCCCGAACAUAUACGAAACGUGUACCACAACCAUCGCCGAAGAACCGUGAACGUCUACCGAUGACCCUCAAGUUCGUCCACGAUUGCUAUGUACCACUACCAUCGACGCGAACCACUACUUCCACUACGGCAUGAGUACAACUACUACCACUACAAACGUGGCGAGAACGUCUACUCCCUCUACUUUGCACCGAACCGAUACGCUUCAAAACGCACGCUUCGAAGGUAUAACCCCAAGACGACCGUCCGAGAACGUUUGCAUGUGUUGUAUGAGUUGCACCCUAUGUUUGUACCGUGCCCGAGUUGUCACUUGCUCGAUCCUCCUCUUCUGCAGCUAAUUCAUGGGAACCCGGUUACCGGAUCACCCCACCAUCUUUUGCACGCUCCUGCCAUACUUCCUUUGCACCGGUAUUUCCAUGAGCUACCGGAACCGUUAUCGUUACCGUGGCACUCCCUUUCUUUCCACCACGGUGACAAAUGCUUCGUAACGCUCUUGUCAACUUUUAAUAAAAAUUGCAUAAACUUGCACAUGUCAUCCGCAUCAUGAUAACAACAGUUAAAAUGUUUAAAUUGUUGUUGCAUUAAACUACUAAGGCAUAUGGGGAUUUACCGGAUUCAGUAUUUGUUAUAUCCGGCCCCAUUUAAAUUGUUUAGAUGUGUAGUGUUGUUAUGCCUAACCUCUUGCCAUGUUAAUCAACAUUUAAUAUUGUUGGGUACAUAAACAUGAUAGAACUAAAUAACUUGUUGUGGUGUUUCGUCAAUAUGCAACUCGUUGUAUAUUGAGCUCCACUUAAUUUGUAGUUUUGCUUGUUGCACUUUGCCAUGCCAUGCCUCAUUAAACCGGACAUGCAUCAUACUUAUUUGCGCAUCGUGCCAUGCUUAUGUGGUGGUUGUUUACUAUGUUGUGUGCUUCUUUCCGGUGUUACUUCUUCGGGUUAGUUCCGAUAACGUCGCGUUUGUGAGGAACCGUUCGACUACGUCCGUUUUUCUUCUUCAUGGACUAAUUCUUCUUCCUUGCGGGAUCUCAGGCAAGAUGACCAUACCCUUGAAAUCACUUCUAUCUUUGCUUGCUAGAUGCUCGCUCUUUUGCUAUGCCUAUGAUGCGAUACCUACCACUUGCUUAUCAUGCCUCCCAUAUUGUUAAGCCAAGCCUCUAACCCACCUUAUCCUAGCAAACCAUUGUUUGGCUAUGUUACCGCUUUGCUCAGCCCCUCUUAUAGCGUUGUUAGUUGCAGGUGAAGAUUGGAGUUUGUUCCAUGUUGGAACAUGGAUAUUUUGUUGGGUUAUCACAAUAUCUUUUAUUUAAUUAAUGCAUCUAUAUACUUGGUAAAGGGUGGAAGGCUCGGCCUUAUGCCUAGUGUUUUGUUCCACUCUUGUCGCCCUAGUUUCCGUCAUAUCGGUGUUAUGUUCCCGGAUUUUGCGUUCCUUACACGGUUGGGUUAUAAUGGGAACCCCUUGACAGUUCGUCUUCAAUAAAACUCCUCCAACCAUGCCCAACAUUGGUUUUACCAUUCGCCACCUAGCCUUUUUUUCCCUUGGGUUCCGCGGACUCAAGGGUCAACUUUAUUUAAACCCCGGGCCAGUGCUCCUCUAAGUGUUGGUCCACCUUGUCAGUCGUCGGUGGCCACCAAGGGCAACUCUGGGCUGGCCUACCGGAAGUUUGGACAAUAUGAGUGUGCCCUGAGAACGAGAUAUGUGCAGCUCCUAUCGGGAUUUGUCGGCACAUUCGGGCGGUGUUGCUGGACUUGUUUUACCAUUGUCGAGGAUGUCUUGUAACCGGGAUGCCGAGUCUGAUUGGAUUGUCUUGGGAGAAGGAAUAUCCUUCGUUGACCGUCAGAGCUUGUGAUGGGCUAAGUUGGGACACCCCUGCAGGGAUUGAUCUUUCGAAAGCCGUGCCCGCGCUUAUGGGCAGAUGGUAAUUUGUUAAUGUUUGGUUGUAGAAAACAUGAAGUUGACCUUAAUUAAAAUACAUCUACCGCGUGUGUUAACGUGAUGGUCUCUUCUCGGCGGGGUCCGGGAAGUGAACACGGUGUUGGAGUUAUGCUUAACGUAGGUUGUUCUUAGAUCACUUCUUGAUCAUAGUUUUCUCGACCAUGCUUUGCCUUCUCUUCUCGCUCUCAUUUGCGUAUGUUAGCCACCAUAUAUGCUAGUCGCUUGCUGCAGCUCCACCUCAUACCUUUUUACCCUAGCUAUAAGCUUAAAUAGUCUUGAUCGCGAGGGUGUGAGAUUGCUGAGUCCCCAUGACUCACAGAUACUUCCAAAACCAGCUUGCAAGUGCCGUUGAACCGUGCAGAUGACGCAACCAAUCUCAAGGAGGAGCUUGAUGAAGAUCUUGUCCUUUGUGUUGUUUCGUUCUAGUUGAUCAGUAGUGGAGCCCAGUUGGGGUCGAUCAGGGAUCUGUGUAGCAUUUUGGGUAGUCUUCUUUAUUUUGGGUUCCGUAGUCGGACCUUGUGUGUAUCUGGAUGAUGUACUGUUAUAUUUUUCAUGUAUUGUGUGAAGUGGCGAUUGUAAGCCAACUAUGUACCUUUCCCCUUUUUUAUGUACAUGGGUUGUUUGCGAAGAUUACCUCACUUGCGACAUUGCUUUCAAUGUGGUUAUGCCUCUAAGUCGUGCUUCGACACGUGGGAGAUAUAGCCGCAUCGAGGGCAUUACACAUUGAGAAUUCCACUGUGCCNNNNNNNNNNNNNNNNNNNNNNNNNNNNNNNNNNNNNNNNNNNNNNNNNNNNNNNNNNNNNNNNNNNNNNNNNNNNNNNNNNNNNNNNNNNNNNNNNNNNUAAGCCGCAGCAAGCAGCAGCGCACAGCCCUAGCCGCCGCCUUAGCCGCGCCGCGCGCCAGCCCCGCCGCCCUAGCACCGCCGCCGCCUAGCCGCCGCCGCCGCCGCCCUUGUCCCGCCGCCGCCGGAGCCCCUCGCCGGAGCCUCGCCGGAGGUAGCCGCGCAACCCCUCGCCCCGGUUCGGUUUUUCCUAAAAGAACCGUUCCGUUUUCUCUCCGAUUCUUUUCUUUUUCUUCCGAUUUUUGUUUCGGUUUUCUUCCGAAAACACUAGAUCGGCUUUCCGUUUUCUUUUCGGUUUCUUUUCCGAAAACCCUAGAUCGGUUUUCGUUCUUCUUUCGGACCGUUCGUCUCAACGAACGUGAUCACCGAUUUUCCCGGUUAACGACGCCCGUUCGUUUAACCGUUCGUCUCUUUCUUUUCGUCGGAUUUAUUCCGCGAUCGUGAUCUCAGAUCCGAUCUUCGUUCUAGUCUUUCUUCUCGCUCGUUUAUCGGAAUCAGGUGAUUCAAGCGCCUGGAGUUUUGUUUUGAAACCGCCGUUCCGUCUAAUCAACUUAAACAAGUUUUUGCCCCGGUAAAAUUUGACCUAGUUUCAACUUGCUAGAACCGAGUUGUUUUCUUCCGCCGUUUGUUUUCCGUCGUUUGUUCGGUUCGUUCUUUCUUUGCAACCGGAGUUCUUAAGUUGAACUUUCUGGUUCGUUCUCUUGUUCGAGUUUUACCUGUGCAUUAGAUGAGUACUUAUUGUGUGCUUGUUGUUUGUCUGCGAUAGAUCACCCGGAUUGCACCGCUUGUUACUUCGAUUCCCUAGGUCUCGCGGAUCAUCAGCAAGGCAAGUAACACUUUGAUCAUACCUUUUCUACAACCCAUGUUUUAUUGCAUUAGAUCAAUCUUCACACAUUGCAUGAUUAGGAUCUAAUUAAACUGUGGGAUGGGAAGUAGAUGAGGUAGUAACUAUUACCUGUAUUAAUAUGAAACCUUUGGGAGUUACUUCUACGUUUGCUUAUUAUGCCAUGCUAUGCUAGUAGACGUGGAUUGGGUGAGUGAUAUCCAUGACAGAUGUGAGUUGAUAAUUUUUAAUGGUUUAUCUAAGGUGGCCACUUAAACAGACAUCUGGGUGGAUUGAGGCACCUAAUGUCUAUCAGGACUUGCCUGUUUUAUUUUGGACCGCCACCCAGGCUCAAAGGGAUCAUAAGAUAAUUCAUGCUAGAAACUUCCGUGUGCAGCCACAUGCUACUAUGGGCUCUGGCAUAGUUGACUAAGUUGUGCGAACUCUUACGGGGUGGACUAGCAGAUGUAGGGGUUGUAGGUGGUACGGUCUACCCCACAUGUAAGGUGCUAGCACUUCUGAAAGACUAUGUCUCGGUCAUCCGUUUCUCAAACACCAUGUAGUGCGAGAAAACAACCGGAGGCGAUCGAGUCAUGUGGGGAAAAGUGCGCAAACCUCUGCAGAGUGUACAAACUAAUCAUGAUUAGCCGUGUCCCCGGUUAUGGACAACUUGAGUAUCUAGUACUUGAAUAUCAUGUGAAUCUCAUCAUGUUACUUCUAAUUAAUGUUGUUGGGUUUUAAUUGUUCACUUAAUUGGGAUCGGAAUGCUGUCAACCAUUCUCGAUGUUUAACAACUACCAUGAUAGUUAAAUAAAUUUAUUCCUUUGCAGUAGGGAAAAAUUGGCUUUACGCAAAACUGUAACCAUAGAGCUUUCCACCAGCCAUAUAUGCAUAUAGUAUAGCUAUUUCAUUCCAUUACUCUCUAUGUGUUACAUUGCCAGCAUAUUCCAUGUGCUGACCCGUUUUCAGGCUGCAACUUUCAUGUUGCAGACUUUUCAGACGACGAGUAAGGUGCUUUUAGGUCGUGGUUCUAUGCUCAGUGAUGCCGUUGGAGUUGAUGGACCCAUUUAUCUUCCGAGUCUUCCGUUGUUAUCAUUAUUAGAUGGCCUUAAGCCAUAUUUAUUGUAAUAAGUUCUCUUUGAGACAACAAUGUAAUAAGUGUGUGAUUGCCACUCUGCUAUAAAUCCUUCGAUGUACUGUGUGGUGUCAGCAUUACUGAUCCAGGGAUGACACCUGAGCACAGAGCACUUGAUCCAUUCGGGUCGGGUCACUACAGAGAUGGUAUCAAAGCACACGCUGACUGUAGGACACGACCACUAAGUUAAAGCCAUAGAAUACCCUUCUCUUCUCAUUUUCUAACUCCUCAUCUCUUCUACUCUUUUCGGAUGACGAACAUGAAGAUUAAGUACGCUCAACCGGAUGAAGGCACACCUUUUGGAUUUCACCUGAAGGAAGUCACCAAGUACCUGAACAUUGGAUUACCAAGCUUCACGGGAACCUUCAACGCCACUCUGCCUGAAGAGGAGCGCUGGAAGAUUCAAGCUCACGUUCCGGGAAGAAUAUUCGCGCCAAUCACGAAGCCUAUAGAUAGUGUUUUCAAUGCACCAACCUGGAGUCUGGGAAGGAGCAUGGCAGCUCAUAUCACCAUAGGACGCAUUGGAGAAGUUUAUCAAGAAGACCUCAAGGACACUAUCUACCAGAUUUGCGAACACCGAGAUGAACAAUGGGAGUUAGUCAGCACCAAGAAGGAUAGAUCCAUUGCAUCUUUCAUCCAGGAGUUAAACCAGCACAUUCGACGCCACGAGAACCAGAUAUGCAAUGAUAUGAUAGAGUUGAAGAAUGCGAAGGCAAGGAUCAUCGAGCUAGAAGGAGAACUGAAGUCUACACGCAAGGACUACAUGGACGAGAUCGUAGCUCUAGCGAGACACAAUGGCGAUCUUAAGCAGGAGAUUGAAGAACUCAAGGGGAAGUUAGCAUCCAGGAAGGAAGACAUGUACGUCGCAUGUCCGGACAACUACAUCAUCAUCGACGACACCGAUUCGGAUCCAAGUGAACCCGACUUUGAAGACGAAGCUGGAGCAGAUAUCAUGGAGUCUUCCACCGGUUCAAAUUUCUAGAUGACCAUCAGAUAGUAGUAGUAUUCCCCCAUGUAAACACAAUAGUUCGAGCACUUUUGCGAUAGUUUUAGACUGGUUGUAAGCCCUUGUUUGAUUGAAUGGAGUGAUUUUGUGUGCAUUUGCUCAUGUGCAUUGGGGUAGUGUUUUCCCUUUAGACCUUACUUUAUUCUUAAUUCUCGUCUUUUCUAAAACCCUCAGCUGCUGGCGAGCAAUGAAAAGCCGCGGCGAGGUGGCUCGGCGCCGGGGCGGGUGAAAGCAAAGUACCGGCAUCGUCUCGAAGGCUACUGCAUGCUCUACUCCGACUACUUCGCCGAUGCUCCACUUCAUGGCGAGAAAACAUUUCGGCGCCGUUAUCGGAUGAGCCGAAAGCUCUUCCUCAGGAUUGUGAAUUCCAUCCGGGAGUUCGACAACUACUUCAAGUGCAAGAUGGAUUGCACUGGCGCUCUUGGAUUCACCUCCAUCCAGAAGUGCACGACAGCGAUGAGGAUGCUUGCAUAUGGAGCUCCCAGUGAUUCACUCGACGACUAUGGGCGCAUGGCCGAGUCCAUCAGCAUAAAGUGUUUCUACAAGUUCUGUCGGGCAGUGGUGGCAGUAUUUGGGCCACAAUACUUGAGAACACCCAAUGCGGAAGACACUGCUCGGAUCCUAGCCCAGAAUGCAGCAAGAGGAUUUCCUGGGAUGCUUGGAAGCAUCGACUGCAUGCAUUGGAAAUGGAAGAAUUGCCCAUUUGGUUGGCAGGGGAUGUACAAAGGCGCCAAAGGCGGUUGCAGUGUGGUGCUUGAGGCGGUAGCCACACANNNNNNNNNNNNNNNNNNNNNNNNNNNNNNNNNNNNNNNNNNNNNNNNNNNNNNNNNNNNNNNNNNNNNNNNNNNNNNNNNNNNNNNNNNNNNNNNNNNNGAGCGCGACGCCUUGUGCUGGCCGAGGCGGCGAAGACCACCUCGUUCACGUCCUCAUCACUAGCUUCGUUCACCGUGGAGCACUGCGGGCCACAGCCGCAAUGACCACACGUAUAGAGGCGGAUCCGACUUCCGACGCCGGCCGCAUCGGCGCGGGCGAGCAGGCGCGCUCAGCUCUGCCCACUGGCGGCACCUCGACCGGUUCCACGACGAGCUUGCGGAGGUAGGCGUACCCGGAGUUGUUAGAAUACGUAUAGGAUUUUCACAGGACUGCGGCGGCGGCCUGAUGGUCAGCGUUGGCGAAGAUCUCUCCGAAACAAAAAUCUGUACACCCCUGCUCUAUCCGAAAUCAGAACAAACUCUCUCUCAAAAAAAUAAAAUACACAACAAAGUCAAGUAGGACUCGAGUCCGGUUUCAGUGGAAGCAAAGCCGAAACCAGGUAUCUGAGGUCGGUACACACAACCAAUAAAUAAAUAAGCACAGGCAUAGGUCGAUCCAUACAUAUCGAGGUCUCACGUGCCCCAAAAACUCUCCAAAAAAACAUGCCCCCAAAAAAACGACGCCGGACGUCGGACGCAGCGAUGGAUCCACAACGCAUCGUCUACAGAGACUUUCCCGCCGACGUGCUGGCGAAUAUCCUGAUGCGCCUCCCGCCCAACACCCGCCGCCGGCUCCGCCUCGUCUGCCGGCACUGGCGCGACAUCGUGGGCACGCGCACCGCCACGAACCUGCGGAGCCGCGCCAAGAUACUCGUCGCCGCGACGGGCACUGCGUACGUCAUCGACAACCUAUCUGCGCCAGUGAAGCCCAGAGAGCUGUGGGCCGACGCGCUCACGGAAUACCACUUCAAGGACACAAGCGUGUUCAUGAGCGUGGUCGGCACCUGCAACGGCCUCAUCUGCCUGUGUGAUGACCAGAAGCUCGGCGGCCCCAUCACCGUGGCCAACCCUGUCACCAGCGAAGCGCUGCGCAUCCCGCCGCUGCCGCCGCCGCGGCCUGGCGCCGACAUGUGCUUUGACAGGAGCUGGCACGCGGCCUACAGCUUCGCGUACCUCCAAAUACAAAUACCGUUUGGAAUUUUCAACUGUAAUUCAAAUUCAAAUAUUUUGAACAAGUAAAAUAGUUAAGGCACUAGCUUUUAACAAGAGUGAGCUCAUAGCGUAGUGGUUGUUAGUCAUAGGCUUAUGUCCUCAGUGCCUUGGUGGUUCUCGAGUUCGAACCCUGACGUCCCAACUUGAUAACCAUGCGGUAACUCCAAAUUUCGAGUGGUAACCAAAACACUAAAAUGAUAUAGAUUUUGAGUUUAGUUAAACAUCACCAGAGUUCUACUCGAUUUCGAAACUAGUAGUUCGUGCCAUCAAACAUCACCGGAGUUCCACAUAGAACAUAAUUCUUACAAGCUUAAUUAAACAUAGUUCAAACAGAAAUUAAACUAGUUCAUACUCAAAUAACUAACUAGUUCAUACUUAAAACGUGCGGUUCUAUUCGUCCGCACCGGAGCCGGAGUUGCCAUCACCGUCGCCGCAGGGGAGCUGGGGCCGCCAUCACCGUCGCCGCCGUGGAGGUGGUACUCCAUGAGGGUGCUCGAGAGUACCUGGGCGAGCUGGUACUCCUCGAACAACCCCGGGGCCCGUGCCACUGCAGCAUCAUCACCGGCGGCGUCCGCCUCCUUCGCUUCCCACCAGGCGUGCUCGGCCUCCCAGAGACGCUGGAUGGCCUGAAUCGAAUAUCCGCCCGAGGCGACGGAAGUUGCUGCACGCCGGUGCUGUGGGACCACGCGCCACGGCGGCGCGCCUGCUCCUUGCAUCAUUCCCGCAGUUCACGCCGGAGUAGAGGAAUCACGGCGGAGGCGGAUAGAGGGAAAGCGGGAUAUAUACUGGAAUCGGCAGCGUCCACAUCAGCUCGGGUGCAAGCAGCAAGAGCUCGGCCACAUCCGCAGUAGCGCCCGCCUCGGGCGCGGGCGCGAGCGGCAACAGGUCCAGAAUAAACAGUUAUUAGUUUCUGGACUUGCCCUUCUCGUUGUCAAGCGCAUAAGAGCUAAGAAGAAAUGGCCCGUCCGGAGUCGCCUAGUGUAGCGUAACCUCCCCUCGCUCACGUCGGAUGCCUAAUAUGUGCCAUUUGAAUGGCCAUAGUAGUUACUUUUUGGGCUUGGGCGUGAGUUGCCAAGAUACUGAACUUUUGAGGUAUUCAAAUGAUAGCUCUCACCACUUUGAAUGUAGUAGUCAAAUAGACAACUUCCUUAUAAAGAUGUAAUCCAAGAAUAUCAAAGUGUUUGGGGUAUUCAUCGGCAUCAAAUUUAAUUGUAAAUAAAUUAUCAUUGUCAGAUCUCUCUUUCUCGGCAAAGCAGCAGGUCGGGCAUGCGCACGAGCAGCAACAGGUCCAGAAUCAAUAGUCAUUAGUUUCUGGACCUGCCCUUCUCGUCGUCAAGGGCAUAAGAGCUAAGAAGAAGUGGCCCACCUAGAGUCACCUAGCGUAGCGCAGCCUCCCUUCGCUCAAGCGGAUUCGUCGGCGCUUUGCCACAUCCAGAAUCAACAGUAUCCAUUCGUCGACCUUGCCGGGAUUUCCUUCUUCCAUACAUGUAGGCGUAGGCAGCACACUACCGCUCGACAACUACUACAAUAGGGCGCAGUUUGAGCACGAGCCUCGGGACGCCGCGCCCCCGUUCCUAUCAUGCUUACGGCUAGUUGCUUCGUUGGGGUCGUCAGGGACCCUAUUGUAAUCUAGCUUUUGAUUUUAGGGUGUGUUGUGCUAUUGUGUAGGGACGUUGUUGUAAAUUCAACUACUAACUAGUAGGCUUCAUAUCUGACCUGAAACAUUUUUCACGGGAUUUGUUCCGUCCGAAACCGCGCGGUGCCAUAAAAUAUGUUUUAGUGCGAGCCGUAUACUACUUUUGCAGGACGUGUUUUUGCGAUGUCUGCUAGAGUUCCUCUAAGGAUCUCAGCUUCAUAGUGACCCAUGCAUCGCAUGCAUGCUGCUUGUUCCUUGGAUCAGCCACAAAUCCUCCAUGGGGCCUGCUAUUAGCAAACACUAGUAUAUAGUACAUCUGUAUCCCUAAUUCUUUUCUUUUUUACAUACCCGAUACAUUGAAAAUGCAUUAGUGAAAAAUUAUAGUACUAGACAGUUGACAUCAAUAGGUACGUGUAGAUUUUUUUCUUCGGAAAAUUUAUAGUACUAGACAGUUGACAUACCUGUGGUCAAGGAGUUAGCUAGGGAAGGUCUUUAUUGUCAAGAGGUCUUGUAUUGUGCACUCCGUCAAUUCAAGGAGUCAAAGUCGACACCAAACAUCUCUUUUCCACUCUUUUUGGUUCAAAAACUCUAUUAUCUUUUUCAUCGCGAGAACAAGAUAUUUCUAUGAUAACCAUGUUUGUGCUAUCUCAAAUUAGUAUACCCCUAGCUUGUGCCAGAUAUCGUUCGUUAUAUUGCAUUAUAACUUUAAACAUAACAGUAGGUUAUUAAGAAUUUUCUUAGUCGACAUUUUCAUACUUGUGCAUGAUAUGUUUAGCAAAUUAAAAUUUGGCAUACAUAUACCAUGUUCACCUUCAGUAAGUUGUAUGUUGGCAAAACAUUUAUCGAAUCUAGGCAUGAUAAACCAUUUGAGUCGCAGCUCCAAAUGGGUAGAACGACACUUUUCUGUUGGGCAACCAUACAAGGAAACGAAGUAAACAAAAUCAUAUGAAGCAAUAGUACUUAGCCGGAGACUCUGGUUUGCAAACAUUUAUUAUUUCAAAUAAGACCNNNNNNNNNNNNNNNNNNNNNNNNNNNNNNNNNNNNNNNNNNNNNNNNNNNNNNNNNNNNNNNNNNNNNNNNNNNNNNNNNNNNNNNNNNNNNNNNNNNNUGAAAGCACGUGGCCAUUAAUGCUAGAAGAAAGAUUAAGCACACUACGAAAAUUUGCAUCUAAGUUGGCCUUCAUCUCUUUGAUAAUUUUAUUCUGAUAAAAACACAAAAGAGAGGUGGAUUCAACCUUUUCACUCAUGGGGUGCCGAAAUAUAGCUUCAUCUUUUCAUAGGUAUCGAGGGCAUCCCCCUCAAGAAAACCUUCUUCAAAAAUAGAAUCCAAAACUUGCUUGAAAGAAGAGGGUAAGCCAACAUAAAAACUCUUUAAGUAUAUCUCAAUUUGAUAUUGAGGCACAUAGCUGGCUCCGAUCCUUAAUAGCCUAUCCCAAGCAUCUUGCAGAGAUUCAUCAAGCAAAUAAUGAAAAAUUCCAGGGUCAUCUUCAUCAAAAUUGUUCAAACUCUCAUCGAUAACCCCGGUAGGUCUUUCCAUAGCAUCAUUAUUUAUGAGCUUAGAUAGACACAGGGACUAUCCAAAGUAUGAAAACCCGGGAGAAAACCCUUAGCCCCUUUUGGUUCGGCCAUGGCGACAGAAAGGCAAAGGUUUUAGAAAAUCAUUUUAGAAGUGGGGAAAGGAAAACGAGAGGUGAAUGGAAAAUAAUGUAAUGCGAGGGAGAAGAGUUUAUGAUGGGUACUUGGUAUGUCUUGACUUGAGCGUAGAUCUCCCCGGUAACGGUGCCAGAAAUCCUUCUUGAUACCUCUUGAGCAUGUGUUGGUUUUUCCUUGAAGAGGAAAGGGUGAUGCAUCAAAGUAGCGUAAGUAUUUCCCUCAGUUUUUGAGAACCAAGGUAUCAAUCCAGUAGGAGACAACGCAUAAGUCACCUAGUACCUGCACAAAAAAUCAAGAACCUUGCAACCAACGCGAUAAAGGGGUUGUCAAUCCCUUCAUGGUCACUCGCAAAAGUGAGAUCUAAUAAAGAUAGUAAAGUAAAAAUUUUGGUAUUUUUGUUGUAUAGAUUGGAAAGUAAAGAUUGCAAAAUAAAAGGAACGGCAAUAGAAAUUGGCAAGUUGAGGGAAAACUAAUAUGAUGUAAAAUAGACCCGGGGGCCGUAGGUUUCACUAGUGGCUUCUCUCAAAAUAGCAUGUAUUACGGUGGAUGAACAAAUUACUGCCAAACAAUUGAUAGAAAAGCCCAUAAUUAUGAGAAUAUCUAAGGCAAUGAUCAUGAAUAUAGGCAUCACGUCUGUGUCAAGUAGACCGAAACGAUUCUGCAUCUACUACUAUUACUCCACACAUUGACCGUUAUCCAGCAUGCAUCUAGAGUAUUAAGUUCAUAAGAAUAGAGUAACACAUUAAGCAUGAUGACAUGAUGUAGAGGGAUAAACUCAAGCAAUAUGAUAUAAACCCCAUCUUUUUAUCCUUGAUGGCAACAAUACAAUACGUGCCUUGCUGCCCCUACUAUCACUUGGAAAGGACACCGCAAGAUUGAACCCAAAGCUAAGCACUUCUCCCAUUGCAAGAAAGAUCAAUCUAGUAGGCCAAACUAAACCGAUAAUUCAAAGAGACUUGCAAAGAUAUAAAUCAUGCAUAUAAUAAUUUAGAGAAGAACCAAAUAAUAUUCAUAGAUAAUCUUGUUCAUAAAUCUAUAAUUCAUCGUAUCUCGGCAAACACACCACAAAACAGUAUUACAUUGAAUAGAUCUCCAAGAACAUCGAGGAGAACUUUGUAUUGAGAAUAAAAGAGAGAGAAGAAGCCAUCUAGAUAAUAACUAUGGACCCGGAGGUCUAUGGUAAAAUACUCACACUUCAUCGGAAAGGCAAUGGUGUUGAUGUAGAUGCCCUCCGUGAACGAUUCCCCCUCCGACAGAUCGCCAAAAAAGGCCCCAAGAUGGGAUCUCACGGGUACAAAAGGUUGCGGUGGUGGAAAAGUUGUUUCGUGGAUCUCUCUGAUCAAUAUAGGGUAUAAAAGUAUAUAUAGGCGAAAGAAGUAUGUCGGUGGAGCUAUCAGGGGCCCAUGAGGGUGGGGGGGCGCGCCUACCACCCUGGGCGCGCCCUCCUGCCUCGUGGCCGCCUCGCGGAGUUCCAGACUUCCACUCCAAGUUUUCUGGAUUGAUUUUGUUCCAAAAAAGAUCAUCGCGAAGGUUUCAUUCCAUUUGGACUCCGUUUGGUAUUCUUUUUCUGUGAAACUCUAAAAGAGGGGGGAAAUAGAAAUUGGCACUGGGCCUCCGGUUAAUAGGUUACUCCCAAAAAUAAUAUAAAAGAGCAUAUUAAAGCCCAUUAAACAUCCAAAACAGAUAAUAUAAUAGCAUGGAACAAUAAAAAAUUAUAGAUACGUUGGAGACGUAUCAUGAACCUCGUAGGUCAACCAGAGUAUGUUCCACACUAGAGUGGUGCGGUAAUCGUGUUCUGGAAGUCAUGUUACUAGACCAUGACGAACCUACGAACUAUGAGGAAGCGAUGACAAGACUAGAUUCUGCGAAAUGGCUUGAGGCCAUGAAAUCUGAGAUAGGAUCCAUGUAUGAGAACAAAGUAUGGACUUUGGUUGACUUGCACGAUGAUCGGCAAGUGAUAGAGAAUAAAUGGAUCUUCAAGAAGAAGACUGACACUGACGGUAAUGUUACUGUCUACAAAGCUCGACUUGUUGCGAAAGGUUUUCGACAAGUUCAAGGAGUGGACUAUGAUGGGACCUUCUCACCCGUAGCGAUGCAUAAGUCUGUCCGAAUCAUGUUAGCAAUUGUCACAUUUUAUGAUUAUAAAAUUUGGCAAAUGGAUGUCAAAACUAUCUUCCUUAAUGGAUUUCUCAAAGAAGAGUUGUAUAUGAUGCAACCAGAAGGUUUUGUCGAUCCUAAAGGUGCUAACAAAGUGUGCAAGCUCGAGCGAUCCAUUUAUAGACUGGUGCAAACAUCUUGGAUUUGGAAUAUAUGCUUUGAUAGUGUGAUCAAAGCUUAUGGUUUUAUACAGACUUCUGGAGAAGCCCGUAUUUACAAGAAAGUGAGUGGGAGCUCUAUAGCAUUUCUAAUAUUAUAUGUGGAUGACAUAUUGUUGAUUGGAAAUAAUACAGAAUUUCUAGAUAGCAUAAAAGGAUACUUGAAUAAGAAUUUUUCAAUGAAAAACCUCGGUGAAGCUGCUUAUAUAUUGGGCAUCAAGAUCUAUAGAGAUAGAUCAAGACGCUUAAUUGGACUUUCACAAAGCACAUACCUUGAUAAAGUUUUGAAGAAAUUCAAAAUGGAUCAGUCAAAGAAAGGGUUCUUGCCUGUGUUACAAGGUGUGAAGUUGAGUCAGACUCAAUGCCCGACCACUGCAGAAGAUAGAUAGAAAAUGAAAGUCAUUCCCUAUGCCUCAACCAUAUGUUCUAUCAUGCAUGCAAUGUUGUGUACCAGACCUGAUGUGUGCCUUUCUAUAAGUUUCCCAGGGAGGUACCAGAGUAAUCCAGGAGUGGAUCCUAGACAUCGGUCAAGAACAUCCUGAAAUACCUGAAAAGGACUAAGGAUAUGUUUCUCGUUUAUGGAGGUGACAAAGAGCUUGUCGUAAAUGGUUACGUUGAUGCUAGCUUUGACACUGAUCCGGAUGACUCUAAGUCGCAAACCGCAUACGUAUUUAUAUUGAAUGGUGGAGCUGUCAGUUGGUGCAGUUCCUAGCAGGGGGUCGUGGCGGGAUCUACGUGUGAAGCGGAGCGCAUAGCUACUUCGGAAGCAGCAAAUGAUGGAGUCCGGAUGAAGGAGUUCAUAUCCGAUCUAGGUGUAAUACCUAGUGCAUCGGGUCCAAUGAAAGUGUUUUGUGACAAUACUGGAGCAAUUGCCUUNNNNNNNNNNNNNNNNNNNNNNNNNNNNNNNNNNNNNNNNNNNNNNNNNNNNNNNNNNNNNNNNNNNNNNNNNNNNNNNNNNNNNNNNNNNNNNNNNNNNCGCCCCUACUGCUCCCUUGCUGCCUCCUACUUCCACUAUGGCCCAAUAAGGCCCAUAGACCCCCCCGGGGUGUUCCAGUAACUCCCCGGUACUCCGUUAUUUAUCCGGUGAUGCCCGGAACCAUUCCGGUGUCCGAAUAUAACCUUCCAAUAUAUCAAUCUUUAUGUCUCGACCAUUUCGAGACUCCUCGUCAUGUCCGUGAUCUCAUCUAGGACUCCAAACAACCUUCAGUACAUCAAAACACAUAAACCCAUAAUAUCGAUCGUCAUCGAACGUUAAGCGUGCGGACCCUACGGGUUCGAGAACUAUGUAGACAUGACCUGAGACAAUCUCCGGCCAAUAACCAAUAGCGGAACCUGGAUGCUCAUAUUGGCUCCUACAUAUUCUACGAAGAUCUUUAUCGGUCAAACCGCAUAACAACAUACGUUGUUCGCUUUGUCAUCGGUACGUUACUUGCCGGAGAUUCGAUCAUCGGUAUCCUCAUACCUAGUUCAAUCUCGUUACCGGCAAGUCUCUUUUCUCGUUCCGUAAUACUUCAUCCCACAACUAACUCAUUAGUCACAUUACCGAGAGGGCCCAGAGAUACCUCUCCGAAACACGGAGUGACAAAUCCUAAUCUCGAUAUAUGCCAACCCAACAAACACCUUCGGAAACACCUGUAGAGCAUCUUUAUAAUCACCCAGUUACGUUGUGACGUUUGAUUGCACACAAAGUGUUCCUCCGGAUAUUCGGGAGUUGCACCAUCUCAUAGUCUGAGGAACAUGUAUAAGUCAUGAAGAAAGCAGUAGCAAUAAAACAGUAAUGAUCAUAAUGCUAAGCUAACAAUUGGUUCUUGUCCAUCACAUCAUUCUCCUAAUGAUGUGAUCAUGUUCAUCAAAUGACAACACAUGUCUAUGGCUAGGAAACUUAACCAUCUUUGAUAAACAAGCUAGUCAAGUAGAGGCAUACUAGGGACACUCUGUUUGUCUAUGUAUUCACACAUGUAUUGAGUUUCUGGUUAAUACAAUUCUAGCAUGAAUAAUAAACAUUUAUCAUGAAUUAAGGAAAUAAAUAAUAACUUUAUUAUUGCCUCUAGGGCAUAUUUGCUUCACUAUGUACAUGGCUCACGCUCAUGUAUUGCGUGAAAGUUGAAAAGGUUUGAGAACGUCAAAAGUAUGAAACAAUUGCUUGGCUUGUCAUCGGGGUUGUGCAUGAUUUCAAUAUUUUGUGUGGUGAAGAUGGAGCAUGGCCAGACUAUAUUAUUUUGUAGGGAUAACUUUCUUUGGCCAUGUUAUUUUGAGAAGACAUGAUUGCUUUAUUAGUAUGGUUGAAGUAUUAUUGCCUUAAUGUCAAAUGAUAGAGUAUUGCCUUGAAUAACUCGUGUCUUAAUAUCAUGCCAUGAUUAGAUUAUGUGAUCAAGAUUAUGCUAGGUAGCAUUCCACAUCAAAAAUUAUCUUUUUUUAUCAUUUACCUACUCGAGGACGAGCAGGAAUUAAGCUUGGGGAUGAUGAUACGUCUCCAUCGUAUCUAUAAUUUUUGAUUGUUUCAUGCCAAUAUUCUACAACUUUUAUAUACUUUUGGCAACUUUUUAUACUAUUUUUGGGACUACCAUAUUGAUCCAGUGCCCAGUUCCAGUUCCUGUUUGUUGAAUGUUUUCUGUUUCGCAGAAUACCCAUACCAAACGGAGUCCAAACGGGAUAAAAACUUACAGAGAUGAUUUUUGGAAUAUAUGUGAUUUUUGGGAAAAAUAAUCAACACAAGACGAUGCCCGACGGGCCCACAAGGACGGAGGGCGCGCCCCAGGGGGUAGGGCGCGCCCCUGGCCCUUGUGGACACUCCGUAAGGCGGUUGGUGCCCAUCUUCGGCCGCAAGAAAGCUAAUAUCCGGAUAAAAAUUGUGUUAAAAUUUCAUCCCAAUCGGAGUUACGGAUCUUCGGGAAUUUAAGAAACGGUGAAAGGCCAGAAUCUGUGAGCGCACAAACAGAAGGAAAUAGAGAGAGAGAGAGAUCCAAUCUUGGAGGGGCUCCCGCCCCUCUGUCGCCAUGGAAGCCAAGGACCAGAGGGGAAACCCUUCUCCCAUCUAGGGGCAAGGUCAAGGAAGAAGAAGAAGGAGGGGGGCUCUCUCCCCUUCUCUCCCGGUGGCGCCGGAACGCCGUCGGGGCCAUCAUCGUGACUGCAAUCUACACCAACAACUUCACCGCCGUCAUCACCAACUCUCUCCCCCUUUAUGCAGCGGUGUAACACCUCUUCUCCCCGCUGUACUCUCUACUUAAACAUGGUGCUCAACGCUAUAUAUUAUUUCCCAAUGAUGUAUGGCUAUCCUAUGAUGUUUGAGUAGAUCCGUUUUGUCCUAUGGGUUCAUUGAUGAUCGUGAUUGGUUUGAGUUGCAUGUUUUAUUAUUGGUGUUGUCCUAUGGUGCUCUCCGUGUCGCGCAAGCGUGAAGGAUCCCCGCUGUAGGUUUUGCAAUAUGUUCAUGGUUUGCUGAUUGUCUGCGUUGCUUGAGUGGUAGAAACACAAACACGGAUAAGUGGGUUAUGGCAUAUGGGAAUAAAGAGGACUUGAUACUUUAAUGCAAUGGUUGGGUUUUACCUUAAUGAUCUUUAGUAGUUGUGGAUGCUUGCUAGAGUUCCAAUCAUAAGUGCAUAUGAUCCAAGGAGAGAAAGUAUGUUAUCUUAUGCCUCUCCAUCAUAUAAAAUUGCAAUAAUGAUUACUUGUCUAGUUAUCGAUUGCCUAGGGACAAAUAACUUUCUUGUGAAAAAAAGCUCUCUACUAAAGAUAACUUAGUUGUGUCUUUAUCUAAACAGCACCUAUCUUUUAUUUACGUCUUCUUUAUUAUCUUGCAAACCUAGCCUACAACACCUACAAAGUACUUCUAGUUUCAUACUUAUUCUAGGUAAAGCGAACGUUAAGCGUGCGUAGAGUUGUAUCGGUGGUCGAUAGAACUUGAGGGAAUAUUUGUUCUACAUUUGGCUCCUUGUUGGGUUCGACACUCUUACUUAUCGAAAGAGGCUACAAUUGAUCCCCUAUACUUGUGGGUUAUCAGCGGCCGAGGAGGAUGAAAUGGAAGAGGGUCAAUUCGGCCCCGAAGAGCUCGCCGAUCACGAGGAUUCGGAAGAUAGCAACUACUUACCUAUCUCCGAAGAGGAUGCUAGCCUUGGUGACGAAGAAUUCAUCGUCCCAGAGGAACCCCUCGAAAAAGAACACUUCAAGCAACGGCUUAUCGCUACCGCGCGGAGCCUGAAAAAGCAACAGCAGCGGAUUAAAGCCGAACAGGACACGCUCAACGAGAGAUGGACUAAGGUUCUAGCCGCCGAAGAAGGAUAUGGCUUUGAGUGCCAAACAAAGAGUUAUCCCAAACGUAGUCUACUGCCGCAAUUCGACGAUAAGGCCCCAGUGCCAAUACCGUGAAGAUACAAUCAGGCUGAUCAACCUGACCGACCACCACGUGGACGGGACAAAACGGCCAAUAAUGCCGAACACCGGCCUGCAGCCCCUCGCCAUAGAGGCAAGGAGACAGCAGCUCCGGGCUACAAGUACGACCUACGUCAGGACCUGGCAAAUAGAGCCGGCCAGACUAGAUCAAUCUACGGAUCAAGAGGACGUGCUCCCACACGGGAUGACAGCCAUCAAGCCUGGCACGACAAACAUAAUCAAGUUCAGGGUCAGCACCGGACACAAAUGCCAUCCGAACUCCGAUGCGAUGUUGCCCAGUACAGGGGUGCCGCACACCCCAUGUGUUUCAUUGAUGAGGUGAUGNNNNNNNNNNNNNNNNNNNNNNNNNNNNNNNNNNNNNNNNNNNNNNNNNNNNNNNNNNNNNNNNNNNNNNNNNNNNNNNNNNNNNNNNNNNNNNNNNNNNUAUAUAUAUAUAUAUAUAUAUAUAUAUAUAUAUAUAUAUAUAUAUAUAUAAUUUAACAACACUGAAAACAUUUUCCACCUAUAUAUUAACUAUCGAUAAUAACUGGUAUUACCCGAUACUCUUUGAAACCCUUCAGGUGACCCCGAAACGCUUCCAGAUCCUCUCAGAACUGUUUCGAAUAUUAGUCAAACAAUUACACAAAUAUAUUGUCAUCACUCUCGUCCUAAUAAUAAUCAUCAGAUCAUGAUUGCCUUAAGCUUGUGAACCCAUAGUUUUAGUAACUCAUAGACAUGAACGAAACCCCUUCGUUCAAGGACCGACAGAUCAACCUUGGACGUCCAUAUCGAUCCCUGUGAGAACACAAAUGAUAUUCGAGUGAACCUUUGGUUACCAUGUGAUGUUCCCUUUGCUUCUCGAUACUACAGAAAACCCGGGAUGCAUCAGUAUCCUCCUGAGUCAUCAAAUGCUUACAAACUGUUAUCCUCAUUACCAGUUUUGUUCUUCUUUCUCAUUGUCAUGUUCUGGCAUCCCCAGGACUAAGUCACAUGUGUCUGGCCAGAUGAUAAUAUUGUUCUCACACCAAGAGGGACCUAAGUAUAUCUCUCCAGCGUCGGAGGAGCAAAUCACACUCUCGAGCUAUUUAGUCACUUGUCAAACUUACAGAUGAACCUAUAAGUUGCCUUUAUGAUCACCAUGCUAUAGGUGACGUUUGAGAAACCCCAGGAUCCACCGUAUGGUAAGAAGUGACUACGAUACUCAUGGUCUAAGGAGAAUAAUCACAUGUUAACUCUCGGUGUUAUUACAAUUGAUUACAUACGAUAUUAUCCUAAUUCAUAACAAACAAGUUUGGGUCGAUUCAGUAUGAUUGUUGUUCCAAUGUCAUAAUCUCCAAGGUUCUUUAGGACUACCGUUACACUUAAGGGUAUCCUAAGAUCCGAAAAAAGUGAUCAUCAACAACACUUGAGCUAGUCCUAGAGGCAAGACUAGGAAUAUUUUAUUUAACCAUUUAUCAUUCAACACAUGCAUAUGAGUUUUCCACUGAAUCACAUAUUCCAGGAUUAUAGCAGUUAUAACAUAGAACAUAAACUCUAUAAUUAUGAAUAUGUAAAUGUUAUAAUAGAAUUAUUAUUGCCUCUUGGGCAUAUUUCAACAGUCUCCCACUCGCACUAGAGUCAAUAAUCUAGAUCUGUGCUUUUCUAACACCCAUGGCUAAUUGGUGUUCCUCAUGCUUUGCUAGUAGUAGAGUCUUUGCCGCCGGAUCUGAUACUCUUCAAAUUCUGAUUUUAUUUGUGUUGGUAAAAUCUAGUUUUUCUAUGUAAUUGUGAUGUUACAUUAGUGGUAACAUUAUAUCUCCAUAUAGUCCAUUUUACAGUAAUACUAUAUCUCCAUAUAGUCCAUUUGGUAUAUCUUUAUAUUGUCAAUUUACAUUUGGAAAUACACCAUAGUCUAUCAAUAAACUUUUAUUGAUCCAGAUUAUAUUCUAUUGAAGACUUCUCAAGCCUCAACCUAAAUCAUUUGUAAAAUCCACAAUUAUGCUCAUUUUCUAAAACUAUUCAAAAUAUAUUGUCCGAUAAAUUGUUUAUACCAUUCAUGAAGUUUCUUGUGUAACCUUUACAACAAAGAAUUUGUGUAACUAUUUACAACAUUCUCUUCAUCUCCACCAAGCACAAGAAGCAAAAAA